rnacentral:lncRNA from 1 species
UUUUUUUUUUUUUUUUUUUUUUUUUGUUUAGGUAGGCUGUAGGUUAACAAGUUUUUUUUUUUUCUAUCUUUGCAAAACAUGGUAUUUUGGGAGGGAAAACAAGGUUCUCUAAUGAUUAUAUCACUGGUUCUAUGUCCAGAUCAAGGUAAAGUUCCUCAGCUGAAGAGAAGACUAAAAGCAGAUAGCAUCAUAAAAAUAAAUAUUGAGAAGGCCAUGAUUCACAAAAACCUGACAAAGGUUGUCAACAAAUAUGGAAUCCAUGAUCUCUGCAAAUAUGGAAACAAGAAAAUAUCAGAAUCUUUGAAGGCUGUUUAACUACAAAAAUGAAGAAAUUCAAGAUAACAAUAAGAACGAACUUCUAACCUGAGUCAGUAGGCGUGCCUCCCUCAGAAAAAGUAUACUGGCAAUAGCUGCAGGUCCAACAGUCCAAUCAUUUAACACAUAGGAAUUCAACUUAAACCGUAUGAAAAAGCUCCAAUAUGUAGCGAUUACAAAAGUAAACCAUAACUAACCUGCCUGCCCUUUCAAGGCCAAAGGAAAUGAUUCUCCUUGCUUAAAUGAUCUCAAACUCGAAAUACUUAAAGCCAAAAGAGUACCACCAAGGAUAACCCCAAAUCUAAUUGCAGCAGUGCUUCCAGUUACCAUGAAGGAAAGGAUGCCACCAAGAGAGAGAACCAAACCUUUAAAACAUAAGACCAAAAUCAAAAUCGCAAAUUUCUAUAAAAAUCUAAAGGACUAUGCAUCAUUUUAUUUUAUUUCUCAUAAGCUAUACCAUAUGGUAUCCCAACAUGAAAGUCGCGGAUUUUUGUGACGUCAUUGAGAUCAUCAGAUGAUGUUUGGAACGUCUCAACAAUUUCCUUCACUGGCUCGGGAGAAUUCUUUGCGGCUGUGGAGAUAAAUUCUUUACCUUCUUCGCUGAUCUCUUUAGCUACCUCAGUCAAAUCACACAUUGCCUUAUCACCCUGUAUUUUCAACUGCUCUGACGUUUCCUUCAAAAUUACAAAUGCUUUCUCAGAGUAUAUCUCAUACGCUUCCUGAGAGACACUUUUCAGGUUUAAAGCUUGUUCUUUGAAAGAAGCUAGAGUCUGCUUCCAAGCUUCUUCUGAUUCUUCAGCUUUCACUUUGGCAUUUUCCUUUUCCUUCUCCACCUCAACCUCUGGAUGCUUCUAAACAAAACAAGCGGAACACAAAUUAGAAAAUUCAUAUAAAAACUCAAUGCUAUAUGAUCAAACACACAGUUAAAAGAAAAACGAAAAAGCAUUUACCAGUAAUUUCAAACAAUUUGGAUAAUUACUAUACCAAUAGCCAAAAAUCCAAGAAAUCCAAAGCUUGAGACUGUACCGAUUCAUCGUGCGAGGCAGCGGCGGCUACAAUUGGCCGGCACCACAAGCUCCGCCGGUGCAGGGAGAGCGAGCCACCGCAAGAACCGAGCCCUUUCGGAACCGCAACCGGAGCUCCUCCAUGAAAUUGAUGGAAUCGCCGAGAGAACAAGGCGAGCGGAGUCGUGGCGGCCUUGGUGAAGCGAGAGGUGGAGCUAGGGUUAGGGUUUAAGAGCGAGAAGGAUUGCAACGUCACGGUCAUUUUGAGAAAGGGGUUUGAAAAUUGAGGGCGGAGGUGACGAAGAGGUUUAGGUCAGAAGCGAGAGAAUUGGGGAGUGUUGGAAGAUUAGCUGAAACAGGGAGGAGGCAGAGUGUUCACCUUCACUAUAGUGCCGCGAGGGACGUGAGGUGCACGCGUUUCAGGUGGGGUGUGUGUUUCUCAAAGUGAGAGGAAAUGAUACUUGGUAGUUGAUGAUACGCGCCAGAGCCCACUGAAUCUUUCGAAAGCGCCAACGUGUUGCUUCCUAUCUGGUGCGCCGCGGGUGCAUUGUUCCUCCGUGCGUCCUCGGUGUUUUUAGCCGCUUUUUGUAUGGUGAAUAGAAGAAGUAAACACUGUGUAGUAUGAACUGUGGAGCAUUACUACUAAUGAUUAGAACUUGUCACACCAAGAAAUCAAAAAGGAAAGUAAAAUUUUAUAGAUAUAUUAUCUUAUCUAUUUAUUUAUGAGAACGACAACAAACUGAUGAAUUGAUAUUCAAUUUCAUAUGCUUCUCUAUUAUAUGUAUCAUCAAAUUACAACUCUAAACUUACACAUCAACAAAAGACAAAAAAGUGUUGGUCUAUGUAUGUCGGCAAGAAAAGAUGGGAUUAAAUAUGUCAUUGCACAUUGGAGAGCUUGAGAAAAGUUCACUGGAAUUCUUGAGACAUUUUCAUGACACUUCCAUAACAUGACCAUUGGGUAGCAGAUAAGCAGACCAAGAAAGGAAUAGAGUUGCAUGCAAAUUACAAGGCAAAUGAUCUUUUUCAACACAUGAAUCCAAGCAAGGCACCUCUAAUCUGCAGCUUCCCUUUUCUCUCCUAUCGAACAGAAAAUUCAACUUGAACCAUAUGGGGAAAGCACACAAUGCUUAUGUAUCCAAAAAAAGAAAGCACACAAUGCUUAUACAAUGAUGGACUGAUGGUCCAGUAAAUCAUGGUUACUGGACUUAAUUAGGAGGCAGCCCAAUAGAGAUUAGGUCUAACAAACUGAGCCCAGAUCACUUGGAUUAUAAAUGGUUGACAUAGAUGCGCCAUUUGCGCCACCAGGCUGCCAUCUCCAAGAAACACAGUUAAACAAAUAAGACUGACUUGGUUUUCUUUAAUCGAAGUCAUACAAGCAUCGAAACCAGAGAGAGAUAUCACAGAAGAAGAAGAGGGUGUGAGUGAGUUUUAAAUUAGUGCAAGUUCUGGGUUUUGGGAGUUUCAGGAAGUCAAAGAGAAAGAGCCAAAAACAAGUUGGUGUAAGUUCGUUUAGGGUGUUUGAAACUUGAAAGAAGCCAAAGCUAUAGAUGGUGUUGGUUGGUCGACUACCAUAUAAUGGUGGAUUUUCACAGCCAUUGAAGACAAACAAAGAGUGUAUCAGAAGGAAUUUUGACUACACUUUCUCUAAGAGUUUGACAUAUCAAUAUGUCUCUAUGGCCACCCUGCAAAAGAAAUUAUGCAUAUUUUACAAGUGCUCUGCUGCCCUCGACAACCCUUUAGGAUUAAACUAAUAUGUUUGAUGCACUAUGUAUACUAAAUGAAACCUAGCAAGUUCUUGUUUACAGGAAAUCAUAGCUAGCAUUCUAGAUACCAACUGAAAUAAGUCAAUUAGUAAAGGAUGUGAGUUCAGAUUUGAGAUCUCAUCGGUCAUCCCAACAUGUAAACGUCAAGUUUCAUUAGUUCAUAUUUAUUGUUCUAAGUAUUUCUCUUUUAAUUAAGAGCUAUACUUCUGAUAACUUUGAAUACUAACAUUACAGUUACUAUGACUUGCAUAUCUUUGUUUCAAGACUAUAUUCUGUAAUGUUGUCUCACUCAAAUUGCAUACAGAGUUAUAUGUUUUUGCUUCAAGGUUUGAACCUUUUCUAUCUGUUCUAAAACGACCAUCAAAGUUAUUCUAAAACGACAACUAAAAACAUUGAUUACUACCAUUCAAAUUCAACAUUUAUAUCACAUAUUUGCUUGAUCGUUUAAUAUAAGGCGCAUCUAUUGUCACCCCACAGAUCAUUUUGCUCACCCCACAUUCUCUUCACACCCCACUCAUAUAAUUUUAAUUGUAUGUUUACUUUGUUCACCCAUUAACAAUACCUAAAAAACCAUUUUCUCAAUUUUACUUUGCUCACCCUACAUUCUCUUCAUAUAUUUUUCAAAUUCAGAUUUGCUCAAAGUAAGUAAAAUCACCAAGUGAACAAAAAUUCACAUGAAAGUAUAAAUCCAAGUUAAAGAACAAAAAAAAACUCUCAAAUUUAACAAUUUAAUGGUAUCAGUCGAUAUCAAGAUGCAAAAUAUCUGUAAAUGUAUCUGUAGUAGCAACGCCUUUCAUACUUCUAAGUUUUUUGAACUGAUCUAUUCGUUGUUCAUAAAUACGGUACAGUAGUUGUCCAUAAGAAUUUACAUACAAAGUCGACAUAAGAAAUAAUGAGUAAAAGGAUAGAUGAAUCAUCAACAAAGAAAAAAAAAUACAAACAGUUUACCUCAUCUUCAGAUUAAAUGCUAGUGUCUUCAAACUCACGAUCGAAUAUGAUAAAUCUGGGUUAAAGUUAUGAAAUUUGUAUUCAUCCAAAACAAAAAGAUAAAAAAGAAAAAAAAUUAUAUUUGUAACAACUUAUUGUCCCUUAAUGUAAUUUUACAUCAGGAUAUUUUAGUAAUUUAAUAAAUCAACAAUUUGUAAAGUGAGCAAAAUGGUUUGUAUGAUGACAAUAAGUAUACCCUUAAUAUAUUAACAAACGACACUCUAAAAACGUAAUAACAAUCUAGUUUAAAUCUACAUAACGAUUUGCAUUUUGAAUAACCAGCCUCAAAAUCUCAAAUUGUGUUCCAAACAAUCAGUCCACCCAUUGAAAAUUUGUUGAAAAUCAUAAAUAUGUAUCCAAAAAUUCACGUAUUAGGAAACUAACAAUCACAUAAAAAUACAGCCACGUAGGAUAAUUAAAUAAGUCAAAAGCCAAGUGCAUCACCCAUCUGCUUUGACUAAAAUUGGACUCCCGCGCCCCUCCUCCCCCCCCCCCCCCCCCCAACCCUAAUAUAAUCAAGCUCUCUCUCUCUCUGCAGUUAGAAGAGCCUUAAAUGCUCUUCUCCUAUACCUUAACUCAGUCUGAGCUAGCAUCACCCACAACACCCCCCACACCAUUAUUAUUCUCUGUCACUCUCUUCCUCUCUACCUCACUCCCUGACAUCACCCCCCUUUCUUUACUCCCUCCUUCCUAUUCACUCCUUCCCACGCCGCUCCCGGCGUUUCCCCGGCGACCCUUCCAUCUUUGUCAACUCCCUCCUCCUCCGACGAUCAUGUUGUUUCUCCGGUCAACAAAAACCACCUAAAAAGGUUAAGACUUAACAAAGUGGAAGGUGGUGUUGGUGCGUUACUUUACUUUUUCUCACUCUCUUUUGCUUUCUUCAUCAUCAUUACAUUUCCUUAUUAUUAUGCUCUCCUGUCUGCUCCUCACACAUACUCUCCUCAUUCUUUAACUUCCAUGAGCUUUCAGACUAGCUUUGAAACUUUCAUGAGGUUGUGAGAAUGUCACUCAUCAAUAAGCUAGUGUUUCUUCUGCUACUCUGCCUGCCUGUACUAGUGGUUUCCUUAAACCCUGUUUUCAACGACGACGUUUUGGGGCUGAUCGUGUUCAAGGCCGGGUUGCUGGACCCGGAGGCCAAGCUCAGUUCGUGGAACGAAGAGGAUGACACUCCUUGUCAUUGGGUCGGUGUCAAAUGCGAUGUGAGAAGUAACAGAGUCUCUGAGCUUGCUCUGGAUGGGUUUGGUCUAUCCGGGCAUGUGAACCGUGGCCUUUUGAGGCUGCAGGUCAUUCAAAGACUCUCACUUUCUAAUAACAACUUCACUGGGUCUAUAAACCCUGAUCUGGCUCACAUUGGGACUUUGCAAGUCAUUGAUUUGAGCCAGAAUAGCCUUUCCGGGUCGAUCCCUGAUGAGUUUUUUCAACAAUGUGGGUCACUGAGAGUUGUUUCGUUUGCAAAGAACAAGCUAUCUGGGAGAAUUCCGGAGUCUUUGAGCUUCUGCUCAGCUUUGGUGGCGGUGAACUUCUCGUCGAAUCAGCUUUCCGGGAGUUUACCAUCCGGGAUAUGGUAUUUGAGGGGGCUUCAGGAGCUGGACUUGUCAGGGAACUUGCUGGAGGGUGAAGUUCAUGAAGGUAUUGGUUAUUUGUAUGAUUUGAGAGUAGUUAACUUGGGGAAGAAUCGGUUUUCGGGGUGGCUUCCCGGGGAUGUUGGAGGCUGUUCUCAUUUGAAGUUGCUUGAUUUUAGUGAUAAUUUGUUUUCUGGGGGGAUUCCUGAGUCGAUUAAGAGACUUGGUUUGUGUAGGUCAUUGAGUUUGAAGGGAAACUCUCUUACAGGUCAAGUUCCAGCUUGGAUUGGUGAGUUGAGAAGCCUUGGGAUGUUAGAUUUAUCUUGUAAUAACUUUUCUGGUGGAAUUCCUGGUUCAUUAGGAAAUCUAAAGCUACUUGAGAAGUUGAAUUUGUCAGUGAAUGAAUUCACUGGGAGCUUGCCAGAGUCACUGACAAAUUGCUUCAACCUUUUAGCUCUAGAUGUUAGCCGAAAUCAGUUGGUAGGUAAACUUCCUUCAUGGAUUUUGAAGCUUGGUGUAGGACAUGGAAAGCUCGAGUACAAUCCAUUGAAACCAAUUGCUGCCUCUCAUGGAGGUCUUCAGGUGUUGGAUUUGUCUUCCAAUGCAUUUUCCGAUGUGCUUCCAUCUGAUAUCGGGGUUCUUAGUAGUUUGCAGUUCUUGAAUGUGUCACGGAACCAGCUUCUUGGUUCUAUUCCUGCAAGUAUAGGUAAUUUGAAGACAGCAUAUGUUCUGGACUUGAGCGACAAUAGGCUGAAUGGAAGCAUUCCUUCUGAAAUUGGAGGAGCAGUCUCACUCAAGGAGCUAAGGCUGCAUAAGAACUUUCUAACUGGGAAGUUACCAUCUCAGAUUGAGAAGUGCUCAUCUCUAUCAUCUCUGUAAGUUCUCUUGUUCUGUUUUUUUAACUGUUUUACUAGUUAUGUUCGUUCAUGUGGAAUUUAAAACUUCAGAUAGCUAGACUCAAGCUGUAUUUCCAGUGUUAUUCAUUGUGUAUAAUGGCAUAUGGUUGAACAGCAAGAACAUUUAUAACUGAUGAAAAUGUAAACAGGUAUCAUUUAUAACAAUUUUUUUUAAAAAAAAAACUUACAGUUAGGAAAAGUACAAGCAUAAACAUUUUGAUCACCAAUUUUAACAGUCUGCAAAGGUACUCCACUGCUUGUAAACAAAAUAAAAUUCAAGUAGCAUCCUAUGUUUGUUUGGAAAGAUAUAACUUAAUAGUCAAAACUUUUGAAGGCAAUACAUUGUUCUGAAUGUCUUUUUGUUUUAUUUAUUCAAAAUUUACAGGUUGCUAUCCCAGAACAAUCUUUCUGGCCCUGUUCCUGUAGCCAUUGCAAACCUUACCAAUCUUCAAUACGUCGACUUGUCUUUAAACCAGUUCUCUGGAAGCUUGCCUAAAGAGUUGACUAAUCUUUCCCACCUCCUCUACUUCAAUGUCUCCUACAAUCACCUUCAGGGUGAGUUACCAGUGGGGGGCUUCUUCAAUACAAUCUCACCCUCAUCUAUCUCAGGCAAUCCGUCCCUAUGUGGUUCUGUUCUUAAUCUUUCAUGCCCUGCUGUUCACCCCAAACCCAUUGUCCUAAACCCAAAUUCUAAUAGCACUGGUGGUGGCUCUUCCUCUCUAACUCAUGGUCACAAGAAUGUAUUCAGCAUAUCUGCCCUCAUUGCCAUAGGUGCUGCUGCAUUCAUUGCAAUUGGUGUUAUAGCUAUUACUGUCCUCAAUAUGCAUGUGCGGUCUUCAAUGACACAUUCUGCUCCUCUUCCGCUACCUGGUGGGGAAGAUUUCAGCUGUUCCCCGAGUACUGAUUCAAAGUAUGGCAAGCUUGUUAUGUUUUCUGGUGAUGCUGACUUUGCUGCUGGGGCACAAGCCUUGCUCAACAAGGACUGUGAGCUUGGUCGUGGUGGCUUUGGAGUCGUGUACAGAACAGUCCUCAGAGAUGGGCGUUCAGUUGCAAUAAAAAAGUUAACAGUCUCAAGUUUGAUCAAGUCCCAGGAAGAUUUUGAGAGGGAAGUAAAAGGACUUGGAAAGAUAAGGCACCAUAAUCUUGUGACACUUGAAGGGUAUUACUGGACUCCUUCCUUGCAGCUGCUCAUAUAUGAAUACAUACCAUGUGGAAGUCUGUACAAGAAUCUGCAUGACGGACCUGACCAGAGUGGUCUCUCUUGGCGACAGAGGUUCAACAUAAUUCUUGGGAUGGCAAAGGGUUUGGCUCAUCUGCAUCAAAUGAACUUGAUCCACUACAACUUGAAAUCAACUAAUAUUUUGAUAGACAGCUCUGGUGAACCGAAAGUAGGAGACUCUGGUUUGGCAAGGUUGUUGCCAAUGGUAGACCGGUGCAUCUUGAGCAGCAAAAUCCAAAGUGCACUUGGGUACAUGGCCCCUGAGUUCGCUUGUCAAACGGUCAAGAUUACUGAGAAAUGUGAUGUGUAUGGGUUUGGGGUCUUGGUUUUGGAGGUGGUGACUGGAAAGCGGCCUGUGGAAUAUAUGGAAGAUGAUGUGGUGAUUCUCUGUGACAUGGUGAGGGGGGAACUUGAGGAAGGCAGGGUGGAAGAAUGUCUUGACAGAAAACUUUUGGGUAAUUAUCCAGCAGAGGAGGCCAUUCCAGUGAUCAAGCUUGGUUUGAUAUGUGCUUCACAAGUUCCAUCAAAUCGUCCCGAUAUGAGUGAAGUAGUCAACAUUUUAGAACUCAUCCAAUGCCCUUCAGAAGGCCAUGAAGAUUAGAUUAAACUCAAUAUACAGAUGCAGAAAGCGACAUAAUGUUCUGGUGAAGAUCAAUCCGGUUUUUUUCAAGUAAAAGAAAAAAAGAAUGUUGGAGGAUUUUUCUCCAUUUCUUUUCAGUCAUUUUCUUUACUAUAUUGUAUUCCUUCUUUUGUACUUCUUUAUCAAUCGAGUUCUAUAGCACUUGUAUGGUUCCGGAUUGCUUUUCACCGGUUUGAAAUGGGACAAUUUGAGUAUGUUCUUUAAUCAGGGAUCUCUCUCAGCAUAAACUAUAAAACCUGAUUGCUAUACUGGUUUGAGAUAAGACACUGCAGUAUUAAUAAAGCAACAAUGUAAUUGACGCAGUUCGCCAAACUCUGAUUUUCCAGAGUAGAAGUCUUGAACUUUGUCGCAGCAAUUUCUUCAUCAUUCAAUGAAGAGAAUAAACUAAGCUAAACACAUGAUGAGCAAGAUUAAAAUCUAAGCUACCCCAAGAAGUGAAUGGGGAAAUUAGUAUAGCAAAUGAUGCAGUCCAAAUGAGAAACACUCUUUGCUUUAACCACACUUUUCUGUUGGCCAUGUUGCUUCAUUUCUACUACAUUUGAUUUCUAACUUUACAAUUCAAAAUGAGCAUUAUAUGCAUAUAUAUGCGUACUCCACUGACCCUAAUCAACCUGCUGUCUUCUUUAUCAUAAUUUGAACUCCCAGUUCCUGCAAGCAUGUUCAAUAAUUUACCCUUAGAUUUGAAGCUUUAACUUAAUCGAAGUGUUGGACCCGAGGGGCGAGGGGAACCUAAUCAACUGGCCUCGAACACCAUCAAAGCACCUCACAUGGUGCUUCUCAAAAGCACUUGAAAGCUUUCUCCAACAGUGAUUAUGUAGAACAUGGCAAUCAUGCCAUGCAUACUACAACAGGAACCUUCUGGCUUUUGGCUUUUGCAUCAGGCUUGGUUGGUUGAUUCAUGAUCACGCUACAUAAGGCUUGGAACCAACAAUCUGUUAACCAGUUGAUCAGGGCCAAGGCAAAUACCCACAUCGGAAAUCGAUGAGAUAGGAAGAGAAAACAAGGAAUAUAUUUUAACGAGAAACAGAAUGAUUGAUAUCCACCAUGCUUCCACUAAGAACCUAAGUAGGGAGACCAUGUAUUGGGGGCCAACAGAACAAGAGCAAGUUUUACCAACUCAAAAUAAUCACACAACUGUAUGCAAGUAAGUAAACACAGAGUUUCAACAUUCCGAAACAUCUUAGUUCUCGAAUGAAACCGGAGUUUCAAUAUUCCGAAACACCUUAGUUCUGAAAUGAAAUUUAGUACCAGUUAUUAAUAUUAUCACUGUGACAACAAAUCACCCUAAGAAAUAAAAUAAUGCAGUGUAUUGUGUACAAGGUUACAGAAAAGUAUGUGAUUUCCGGUGAAUCAGUGGCAGAUCUUAAGCUAAGAUGAAGUCAGAGAAUGUAGUAGGACCGGGGUGAUCUGACACCAACUUCAUGGGACAUGGGACCUUGCUAACAAAAAGGUAGAAUAGAAACCUUAUAUGUCUGUAUUUUGCGCACUAAUUAAUGCCUUCUGACAUAAGCAACUCAGUUCCACAGUGAGCUUACAGUACUAAAUUAUCAGCUUGAACAUGGGCAGCAAAACUGCAAAAGCUAAAAGCAAGCAAUAUACUCAACAUGCUUUCUGGAUACAUCGCUAUAUUUGCUACAUUUAUUUCCAAAAUUAGUAGAGUUGAAAGUUGAAACAUUUAAAUGGAUGAGUUCCAUUGUUCCAUGCUCAUGUAAAACGGUAAAUGUUUUAACACAAGUGAAUUAAUUCAGGAACAGUGUUCAAAGGAAACAAAACCAAGGGAGUGAAAUUGUACUUUUGGACAAAAAAUAUAUUACCUCUUGCACUUACAGUAAAUAUCAGGCACUUAUACAGACCUAUUUCCUGGGACAAUGACUACACAAAACUCACUAGUUUCAACAAGGGCAGACUAUUAAAAAAGGUUUAACUUUCGUAUUCGGUUUUCUGGGAUCUUCAUUCGUGUCCCACUUUCCUGAAUCUUUUGAGCAAAAUCUAAUCUUAAGCUGUGUUCUCAUCUAACUAAUCAUCCCAGUUAUUUUCCCACCCAUCUUUGUUUGAAGACCUUGCAGUAAGACCAUUAGCAGAGAUGCUUCCUACCAGAUGCCCUCCAGGUGAUUUCACUGCAUUAUCUCCAUCCCAGUCGUCAUCCCAACCCUGAUCCCAACCUUCAGCCGUAACCACCUCAGUUGCUGAAGCCGAUUCCGGCAAUGCCAUUUCAAGUUCCUGAUACGGAACUCCACCUCCAGUUCGCUGUUUUCUCCUCCUAACCAGGCAGAAAGCCCACAUCCCUCCAAAAAUUAUCACUGUAACAAUCAACAAGUAAGCACCGUUGACUGGUGUCACUAACUUCUCAUAAGAAGGGAAACGCAUGAAAAAGUUUCCUUCAGAUACAAAAGGGUCCAUCUGGAGCACGCAUUCUCCCUUUCCAGCUUUAAGUACUAUUUUGUUGCUUUUACCCAUUUUGAGCUUGAUCUGCAAAAACAAAGACACAAACAAUGCGAUUUUGCUACUCAGAAACAAUGUGAAGCUUCCCACAUACAAGUAACAAAAACGUAAACACAAAGUCCAUGGUUCCUCCAUGACUCCAAAUAGUGAACCAUACAAAACAACUUGACAGAUAAUGGUAUGGUCAUGUGUCACUUAAAUAUUCAAGUAGAUCCUCUAUUAAAUUCAUUGAUUGUUUUUCAUAUCUUAGCUGAAGAUUGAUAAUGAAGAAUGUUCGUCAUCCAACCCUUUCCACUAGCCUUAUGCAUAUUCCAGUCAUAAUUCCUACUCAAUUUCCAAUAGUUUAGAGGCAAGAAAGCGAGAGGUGAGCAUGGUAGGGAGGAAUGGAUAGGAUUAGAACUGAACCAAACCCAUUGAUUAUUUUUCAAUCUUGUUUUAAGAAGAAACCUAAAACCACACUUUUAAAAGUCCUAGUGACCAGAAUAUACACCCCAAACCUAAGCAUUCGUUCUAAAUUUCACCACCAAAUAUCUAGAUGCCAAUGAUUCAAAUCAGAGAAACAAUAACACGAAAGAUCAUUACAGUUUUUUCACCUUUUUAUAUUUGUGUUUGGGAAUCUUCAGGUCCAUGGUAUCUUCUGCAGAAAGGUUUCCCUUUAAUGUGCUGUCGCGUACAUUUUGGACCAGAAUGACUGCUUCUGUUGAUUCUGCAAUAUAUGAGCAAAAAAAAAAAAGUAAAUAAAAACUUGCCUCACAAAUAAUUAUGAGGUCAAAUGGUAUUGAAUCAUGUCUGGCACUCUGACACUACUAGAUUAAUCUAACAUAUAUACGACAGAGAACAUGUCAAUGAAUUAAUGGUUUAAUAAGAUGUACACAGUCUAUAGCAUCUUAGCUGAAUCCAUUUAAUACACACACACACACAUUCCAGCACCUGCCUGCAAUAAUGAGGCCAGGGCAAUUCUGAGUAGUAAUUGAGACAAAGUGGUGCUUGAGGUGUUUAAUUUGGUUUUAUCAAUUAAGCCUCCAGGCUAUACCUAAGAGAACCCCGGAUAAUUUCAGAUUACAUUGUGGACUUGGGGAACUCAACAAAGUCAUGUGUUACUUACUAAUGGGCAAGUUAUAACAUCAAAUGGUACUUCACUUUAUAACCCUUUUCACCAAAUAGAAAGGUAUUGCAAUCAGGCCUCACACUGUAUAACAAGCCAAGUUCACAUACAAUUAUACAUGAUACACACAUAUAUAUAUAUAUAUAUAUAUAUACACCUUGUACAAAGGACUUGCGCACCAAAUGGAUAAAGAAUAGAGCUGCCAAGUCACAACUUGUGGUUUUUUAUAUAACCUUUACCAAAGGUAUUUCCAUAACAAACCCAUAAUGGCACUCUCAAGUUACAUUUUAACUACCUAGAGCAGCAUAAAUGAGACACAGCUUGAAUCUUACUAAAUUUAGUUCUGAUGAUAGCACAAGUAUGAUAAAAUGAAAAAUGUAUCAGCACUCUUAUAUAAUAUUCAUGCAAUCAAGCAAACAAGUUAUCAAAGAAGGGUUUUCAUCUUUCAAGUAUUCUACCAUUGGCCUAAUUGUGUUCACUGAUUCCCUCACAACUGCUCAUGGCUCACAAAAAAUACAAUGCUUAUAUUUGAGUGCACAAUAUCUUAACAAGAAAUAAAAAUCAGUCCAAAAGUGCCAGCAGUAAUGUAACUUACCCCUAUCAAAGCUCUUAAUGCAGGCAACCAUAGCCGUAUUGUUGCAUGUUAUGCUUACCCCAUCACAGCUUUCUUCGCUCACAUUCGGUACAUUGGUCACAUUGUCACUUUUAUUCUUAGUCUUCUCUACUUCACCUCCUUCCACAUGAGGAGGCGGUGGACUAGCAGAACCAGGCGCACUAUCCGAAUGCUUUGCAUUUGGAUCCUCUUCCGGUGUCUUGCCAGGCACCGGAUUCGGCUUCUUAUCAGUCUUCGGAGCUGGAUUCUCCUUCGGCUUCUUCUCCGGAUUCGGAUCCGGCUUCUGAGUUUGGUUAUUCUUCCCGUCACCGGCAUCAGUCGGCGGACUUACCGGAGUCGAUUUAGUACCGUUAUUCGGAUCCGGAUUCAGGUCCGGCGUCUUGGCGGGCGGCGCAGAUACCGUUUUGUUCUUCGCAUCGUCAACUGGCGUAGGAUUAGUAUCAGGAUCAGGUUUAACAGGCGGCGGUGGAGUCGCCGCCACCGGAGAAGCCUUAUCCUAAGAAUUAGCCAUAUAUGAAUAAACAAACUACCAAUUCGAAACAAAAACCAACUAAAUUCAGAGACGGAGGAGAUAGAUUUACCGGCGGUGAUGUGGAAUUGUCCGAAUUGACCUUCGUCGUCGUCGUCGGAUCACCGAUCAAAAAUCUAUGCUUGGAGAGCGAAGAAGCAUUGGAGGAAUCGGCGACGAUGAAGAGCAAUAACAACACCGUCAAAGGGAUAGUCUUGAACUGACAGGGAUUCGCAUCACCGCGGCGGAACCCUAGGAAGCGAUUCGAAUUGCGAUCCGAAUCCAUUUCCCGGGUGAAAUUGGAGGCUUUCUUACGACAUGUGUGCGAUCUUGAGCUGGGAAAUGAAGAGGUGGCUUGAAUUUGACGAUGUUGAAUUGGAGAGAGGUGGGUUGUGAUGAUGGAAAAGUUGGAGAUGAAUAGAAAGCAAACCCUAAAUUUGAGUGGGUUUUCUGAGCAGAGAUUCGACGCUAGAUCGCUGGGGAAGAAGAGUCGAGGAGCUUAACAGAGAUGAAGAAGAGUGAGACAACCAAACCAAUCCAACAGUUUGGUGUGAAUAAUUUAAUGGGCCUUAAUGGACCUUUCUCUUUUAUGUGGGCCUCCGUACUAGUUUUGGUCUCUUUGGUCUGUUUGUUUGUUUUUUUUGUUUUUUUAAUACAUUACAAGCAUAAGUUAUACAUUGUAAUGAAUUAAAAUGGGUUGGAACUCCAAAAUGAAAUUUGGAGAGGUGUCCUUUAGAUCUGAUUCACCCGUUAUAAUAUAUAUAGACUAAGAGAAAAAGCAAAUUUAAAUGAAUCUUCACUGCUUUUGUGCUAAUUAAGCCUCCAACCAUGCAAGGGAAAUGAGAUAAUAUCAUAAUAUACAAGGAAUAAGACAUAAUCUAUAUGGGUAGUGUUAGGGGGCAUUAAUAAGGUCUAAGAUUUAUGACAUUGAUCUUAUGUGGCAUGUCAUGUCACAUAGACACAUCAUCAAUUUAAUAAAUCAUGUCAUUUCAUUCUUAGGUAAAAAUACAAUCUUAAUCUUAAUAAUUAAUGGAUGUUACAUACUAAUAUGCAAUAUUUUCUUACCCUUUUAAUAUGGAUGCGUAUAUACCAAAUUUAGUUAAUUUUUUAAUAAUAAUGACCAAGUUAAUAAUCAUACCAAAUUAGGCUUUAUACCAUAAAUCAAUUUCGUAAAUUUAUUAAAAUUUCUUUCUAUCUUUGUGAAUCGAAAUUUAGUUCCAUUUUAAUAUUUUAUUUUUGCAGUUUAAAAUUAUAUAUAAGCCAUUCUGUAUCGAAUUUUUAAAAUAAAAUAAAAAUAGAAAAAUCCCUAUCGAAUUUCUUUUGGAUGAUUACGUAUAUAUACUUUAUUUUGGAUGAAUUAUAUAUAUGUAAAAAAAAAAUAACCUAGACGAAAUUGUUUUUUCUUGGACAAAUUAUAUAUGUGUGUGUGUGUGUAUUUCAUAAGAAUUCGUUGUUUUUGAACAAGUAUAUUCUCAUAAAUAUAUGUAUUUUCACACUAUAUGUUACGUUCAAUCUAAGCAUAAUAGUGAUGAAAUGAAAAAGAGAAAGAAAGAAAUAAAGAAAAUACUAGAAAUAUAUAUUUUUAAUUAUAAAGAAAAGACAAAUUAUUUUUUUUCUCUUAAUAAAAAGAAAAAAUAAUCUAGAGUAUUGGAUUUAGAAGGAUACAAUUAUAUUUUUGCUUAAGAAUGAUAUGACAUAAUAUUUUUAAUUGGUAAUAUGUCUAGGUGUGAUAUAGAACAGAUGGCGUUAGAGAUUGAAGAACAGAUCGAUCGAAACAAGUCCAAACCCGGUUUGCUCCAAAUUUGGCGUUCGGUGUCCGAUUAACCAUUAUGAUACCUUUCUGGAAGCGGAACGGGCCAAUGAGACAAACUCGUCGCUUUGCCACGAUGUAUGGGCUUUUUAGGCCUUUCGAGUCCGUUUAAGCCUUCAAAAUACAGAUUUACUUGUUUUCAACAAUUAUUUUUAAUAGUUUGUUUUUGGUUAGGUUUUCUUUUAAUCCAUGGGUUUUUAGGCUUUGAUGUUAGUUGCCUUAGGGUUUAUUUACUCCUAUAUAAGGAGCCUCUAUCGAUUGUAGUCGUUAGCUUUUUGAUUAAUAAAACCUUUGAGAUUUUCUCAACUUUUCUGGUGGAUUCUAGAUUCUCUCGUGGAUUCGAGAAAACCAGACUUAUGGAUUCAAGUCGCCGUUGGUGGAUUCCAAUGUUUAUAUUUCCGCUGCAUCAAGGUGAUAUAGCAUGCCACCUAAGAUUAAGGUCAUAAAUCUUAGGCCUUAUUAAGGCCAAAAAUCAUUUUCCAAUCCAUAUAUGCAAGUAAGAAUAGAAGUGUACAUAUCCAUACACUAGUUCCUUGACAUAUAGUAAGAAGAAAGUGUACCUAUAAAUCUUCACAUGUAUUUCUGUAAAAGUACUUUAGUAGUUAGUGAAUAAGUAAAAUGAAACAUGUAUUUUAGUCGUACAAAAUAUUCAUUUGAGAACACGUGUUGAAUGUCGAGUUUAAUUAAUUUAUAACAUAAUAAGUCUCAAAAUCUAAUUAUAGUAAACCAGUUGUUGGUUUAUUAAUUAUCAUCCAUUAUUUCUCACUUCUUUGUUUUCACAAAACUGGAUCACUGGCUGACUGCUAAAAUCUUUGAACUGUCUUUUCAGCUACCAUGUUAAUGUUACGUAUUCCAUUAUUCCUUGCUUCAUUGCUUAACCAAAGACCUCAUUCACUCCUCUGUCUUGUGUGUGUGUGUUAUCAUCAAUUCCUCACCUAAAUCACAUUGAAAAAGAGAAACCCCAGCCCUUUAAGCUUCUAUUUGGUACAUGUUUUCUCUGGUAGUACUAUAAAACAUGUGAACCAGGUUGAGGUGAAAGAGAGGAAUGGAAGAAGUAGAAGUGAUCAUGAGGAAGUUUGGGGACGAACAGAGCUCUCUGCUCGACCGAUACGAAAGGCUCUCGGUGGAGAUACAACUCAACCAGGCCAUGUUGAAGCGGAGUCUCUCCGAGCCGAUUCAUCAAAGUCGAUCUCAACCAGCAGUUUUGAUUGCUCAAAGCCUUCAAGCACUACCACCGCAGCAGCAGCCGCCAUUGUUUAGUAAGAAGAAGGGUGGCUCUGGCUUUCACAAGGUUUUAAAGAAGAUGAUCAAACCCUUUAUUGGAAGAAUGGAUAGCAGCAAGAAGAAGAAAGCACCAGAUGUGGAAGUCGACCCGAGGUUUUGGAAGACAUUUAGCAGAUCUAUGAGGCUUUGAAGUUUGAACAACUGUUGUGAAUGAAUGAGAGUAUUUACAUAUUUUUGAUUCUUUAGGCUCUUACCAGUUGAUUCCUUUUGAUAUACAUGUGUUCAUUGUAUGCAUAUUUUACUGAUAAAAUACACCUUUCGCUCUUAAUUUCCAUUAGUCAUUCGUAAUUGCUUCAAAUUUGUAUUUGCUAUAUAGAGGUGUGAUAUCACUUUUGAGGUAAAACAGUAGUGAGUUAUUUUCCUCUCAUUCUUGAUGAACUUUUUAUUUAUAUUCUACGAGUUGAGUUUGUAUUCUCACAAGUUAUUUUAUAAUGUUAAUGAGAUUUGAACAUGCAAGUGAUGUGACAUCGAUGUAUCAGUUAUUUCAAACAAUCGAUAGAUCAUAAUUCAUUGACGAAUAUUGAUUUCGAGAACUUAUACGUUAGUGACAAUUUUUUUGACGAGAUUAGUGCUGAAAUGUGAAAAUACUUUUCCAUUUUAGCCAAUAAAGUAAUUUCAUAAUAAUUGGGCUGCUUUGGGCUACCCGUUGGAUUUAUCAAUUUGGGCUGAUUGAUGAAGUAUAAUUACUGACCAGAAAAGAAAAAUUAAGAAAAAGUCAGAGCUGCACAGAUAAUCCAUGGCACUCUCUCUGUCUCUGAUGCCUUCUCCAUAUCCCGUACGCUUCAAACUUGUUCAGACCCCCUUUUCAUACAGAAGCAGAUACAUAAGAACCCAACAAGGUAGACUACUUACUUCUAAAGCACUUUCAUGCUCUGCUACAGAACUUGCUGUUGAUAAACGCCUCACAUCCUCAAAAGAUAUUGGCUUUUACUCCCACAGUGAAGAACCCAAGUUGGGUUUUGAUGAAAUUACUAGUAGGUUGCAUGUACAGAGCUUAGUUGAAAGAAUUAGAGCUUUGCCCACUAGAGAGACAAGUCAAAUUCUUAGUAUUUUUGAGCAAGAUGGUUGCUUUAAAACCAUAUCCGAGUUCAAUGACAUGCUGUUGGCUUUAGCUGUAGCAAAAAUGCCUGAUGUUGCUUUGAGUUUGUAUAGUCAGAUAUCAUCUUACUGUUUAGUUCCUGAUUCUUCUACAUUUUCUGUCGUGAUUACGUGUUACUGUGAGAAAAAUGAUCUGGAUGAGGCCAAGAGGGUUUUAGUCCAUAUGAUUGAAAAUGGGUUUAACCCAAGUGUUGCAACAAUCACUUUUGUUAUAGAUUCAUUAUGCAAAAAGGGUAGAUUGCAGAGAGCUUUGGAGGUUUUUGAGGUGAUGGGUAGAGUUGGGUCCAAGCCCAGUGUUCAAAUGUACAAUUGCUUGUUAAAGGGUUUGUGCUAUGUGGGGAGAGUGGAGGAUGCAUAUGACAUGUUGAUGAAGAUAAAGAAGGGUGUUAUACAACCUGACAUUUAUACAUACACAGCUGUUAUGGAUGGCUUUUGUAAAGUGGGUCGAACAGAUGAGGCGAUGGAACUGCUUAAUGAUGCUGUGGAGUUGGGAUUGAUACUAGAUGUGGUUGCUUUCAACACUUUGUUUGAUGGGUACUGCAGGGAGGGUAGGGCAAUGGAAGGACUUAAUGUGUUGAAGCAGAUGAAGGAGAGAAACUGCAUCCCUGAUUAUAUCACUUAUAGCACAUUGAUACAUGGAUUAUUGAAAUGGGGUAAGACCCGUAAUGCGCUAAGAAUUUAUAAGGAGAUGGUAGAAGUUGGUUUUGAAGUGGAUGAGAGAUUGACAAAUGAUCUUGUGAGAGGGUUAUGCAGGAGAUCAACGAAGGAAAAAGACCUGUUGGAAGAUGCUUGUGAACUGUUUGAAAAAUUGCAGAACGGGGUUUCUGACAUAGACGCCAGUACAUAUGGGCUUAUGAUCCAAAGUCUUUGCAUGGGAAAGAAGAUCGAUGACGCUAUGAUCAAUCUGAAGCAGAUGUUGACAGUGGGUUAUUCACCACGGAUGAUCACCUUUAACAACGUGAUUCAAUCCCUUUGUGCCGAGGAAAAGAUGAUUGAUGCAUUAUUAGUUUUAGGUACUGCAUAUAAAUUUGAUAGAGUAGCAAGUAGAGUAUCUUAUAACCUUCUGAUUCAAAAGUUGAAUCAACAUGGCAGUAUGCUAGAAGCAUGUACUGUAUAUGGUGCAGCAUUGAAGAGAGGUUUAAUCCCGAAUAAAAAGCCUCAACAAUGAGGAAACUCUGUUCAUAAGUUUCCAAUUCUUCAUUUUACAGCAGAGAGGCAGCACCACCCCGAUUGGUCCGAUCUCGAGUUUACAUGCAUAUGUUGAGCCAUACUCGAAUGAGGUUUUUGUAAGUGAAGCCAACAAACAAUUAAGGGGCUAAAGUUCCUAGUCAUCUGGCAGCUUCUAGCUCUGAGGGAAAGCCUGUUCCAGCUCCAAAUAAGAUGUACAAAUGAUGCAAACCAAAGUAAGAAGAAAAACGCUGGAAAAGUUAUAUUACUUGCAGAGGCUGCUACAGGAUCAAUUGUAUUCCAGUGGUGGAAGCAAUGCUCAUGCCGAGUGCGUCGCCACAGACUUGUGAGCAAUUGUUUAUCAUGUGGGAAGAUAGUCUGUGACUAAGAAGGGGAGGGACCUUGCAGUUUUUGUGGCGCUUUGUGUUACGGAAGGUAGCAAUUGUGGUGGUUUUGAUGAGAGUUCCACUAAUGUGGUGUCAGAUGCUGAGGCAGCAGCUGAAUAGAGUACUUAUGAAAUUGAGUUCUUCAUUCAUAUGCAUAGAGUCGUCGAGUAUGAUCGAGACUCUGCAGCCCGAACAACAAUUGUUGAUGACCAAAAUGACUACUUGCGGAACAGAUAUUGAUGACCAACGUGACUACAUUGAAACUAAGGGGAACAGCUGGUAAUCAAAGGAGGAAAAUGAAAUUCAAAAAGAGAAGCCGGGAGCAAUUGAAGAAGCUGAGCAGAUGAAAUGAAAUAGUAUACUUAUGAAUGAAGAUGAACUUUCUGAACUGGAAUCAGAAUGUUUAACGUUGAAGCCACUGGAUUAAAGGGAACUAGGGAAGUGAACCGUACGUUGAGUCGGAUUAAACCAAAUGUAAUAUGUACUUACGUAGCUGCAUUUAGAACUAGACAUACAUUUUCCAGUCAUGAUAUAAAUGUGAAUACUGAGGGUAGCUUAUAUAGUUACUGUGCAAAUCUUUCUUUUUCUUUCAUGUGAGGAUAGUACAUUUACUUAAAAACUGAAUGGUUAAAAUGAGAAAAUAUGAUCGAAAAAUAUGUCUAAUAAAGAAAUUUGCACCAUAAUUAAGUUAAGGUCUUUACCCGAAAAUGAUUAUAUAUAUAUACUAUUUUCUGAUUUAUUUGAACGAAAUAUAUAGUAUACAGACAUGUAUGGCAUCCACACAAUCACACAUAUAUGACAUACACAUACAUGAUUUAAUGCCAUAAUGUUGUGUGCAAUACUAAAGCAGAAGUUAAAAAUACGAAUUGUGAUUGUAUAUGAUCAUAUAAUCUGUGCAUUGUUACAUGCAAUGUAAUAUGCGUGUUGUGUCCCAGAGGUAGCAUAGCCUGUUUAUUUCUUCUGAAUUUUAAUACUUAUGGUACUUGGAAGUUUGAACUCCCAACACACCGAUCAUUUUGCGGAAUUCCAACCCAUCGUAGUGGUUCUAAGAUGUUAGAGAGAAUUAAAAGAGAGGGUUACCGAUCAAAGGUUCACAAACGGCAUGGUUGACACGUCUGGAGUCUUGAAGAAGCACACCAUUUUUCUUCUGAGAAGGUUCAAGAAGGGCAGCCGUAAUAACCGUUUGCUUGAAGUAUGAUGAUCGUCCGGUUUUUCGUCAUCAGAGAAUAAAAAACCAAUAAAAAGAACUUCAUUUUCAGUAUUUCCGACGCCACAAGCAGUGGCGUAGCCACAAUAGGGCCAAAGGGGUCAAUUGACCCUUCUUAAUUUUUUACCAUGUUUCUCAUUGGUUGAAUUUUUUACAUCUUAUUAUACAUAUUAUCAUAACACUACAUAUUUGACCCCUAUGACACAAAGACAAAGAUAAAAAUAUAAGCCAAUCUAUAUUCAUUUUCUUAAAACACUGGACUCAAAAAUAAUAGAUAUGUCUUCUGCCAAACACUUACAAAUCUACCUAAAAGGCUAAACCCUAUCAUGUAUUUAUUUUCUUUNNNNNNNNNNNNNNNNNNNNAGUGUACUUGUCUAGUCUUGUCUUCUUAUAUAUAUAUAUAUAUACAUAUAUAUAUAUAUAUAUAUAUAAAAUGUUCCAUCGAUGACCUGCAAUCAGAAAAAUUAAAAUCACAAUUUACUGCCCGCAGCGACAAGAGUUCAUGUGAGACCGAAGACUCAUGAGAACUUUCACCCUUUGUAACCCGUGUUUGCUUUGCUCUAUAUGUAGUGACUCGUGGAUGCAGAAGAGAGGAUUUGUUUCAUGAACUCUCCUUAGAUGUUACAUAGAUUAUGGGAAGUCUGUUCAAUUUUUGGGGACUCAUGAGAAAUGUUUAUGAAUCUUUCUUCAGUUUUCUUUUGACACCGGUUGGUGAUCCGUACAAAUUUUCCUCGGAUAUUUUUACAUCCCACAUUGCAGAAGUAACUAUUUAUUUUACGUUUACAAGCUCCGAGGAUGAUGACUUGAGAAUAUAACACCACUGGGCGAAGCGAUUGGGCAAUGAUAAGGAAUUAUGCCCAGGAAAGUCCCCGGGCCACUAUCUGCACAGAUGCAGACCAGCUUUUACUGGUAACCUCUGUUGAGUUGAAGUUCUAUCGUUCAGUGCGAUGGGGGCUGAAACAUGUGUGGAGCCUAUUGAAAAUGAAAAUCUAUGAUGCUACGGUCAAUUACUCAAUUUGCAGUAGAUGGCUUUAAGUUCAUAAUUCUUGCUUCACUAAGGUGCCUCAAAUAAGAGCCACUUUUGUAGUUUUAAGUUCAUAAUUCUUGCUUCACUAAGGUACCUCAAAUAAGAGCCACUUACAGAAGGGAGUUUAUAGGUUUACAGACCAUUUACUAACAUAUGUAGCAUAUCUAGCAUGAAAUGAAUGUCUCUCUACAUGGUAUACAAAACUUUUCGCCUGAUGAUUGUAAACGUCUAUGCACGAUUCAUGUACUGCCCGGUUCUGGUAUCCACCAAAAUUUCAUCACCUACAUUUACAAACAAUGGGACAAAGACAACAGCACCAGUGUCAAGGGUAGCUGGCUUUGUUCCACCACCUGCGAUUCCAUUUCAGUUAGAGGAAAUAGUGAUAGAAAUUAUAGAAUAUGAAGAAGUAAAAUCUCACACCAAAUUGUAUGUUAUACUCUUUGGAUAAUCCCUCUACCCCAUUGCCAUCCGGAUACCAUCUUUCAACACAUGUAUGGUAAAUGUACGGAAGGGUGUAAUGAGAAUUCUAAUUGUUACAAGUUACAACAGUAGGCGUAGUUACUAGCAGGAUGAUGACUUCUAAACCCCAAGAAUUCAGUUACACACACUCUGUAUCUGAAGCUAUCUAAUUUUGUUAUACCAGUAACCUACCACUGUCCAUGUCCCAGAAAGCUCAUGGAUUGAAGGGCAUUUAGUCGUACUAAUAGUAAAACGUUCUUUAAAAGUUUGUGAAAGGUUGCAAAAUAUUACCUUGAGCUGUGUCACCUUUCAGUCCAGGAUCAACAUCGACCACAGUAAGCUUCGCUGUGAUGGGGAUUUCAACAUCGAAAAGCUGCAAUUGUAUCACAGAAAAAAGAGCACUGUUCAAACUUCAGAGUAAAAUUUCUUUUCAUUUCAAAAAGAAAAAACCUCAGUGUACGAUUAUGAUACUAAGCACCAGUGCACCACCAGCCCCAUGUAUUGUUAUCAAUGCCUGAUGCCACUAAUACUAUCAAUCAUCUCACCAUGAAUCUCAGUUGCACUAACAUAUACAGGUACUGAUUACAACACAUGCGGUAGUUGUAGAGCCAGAGAGAUCUAUCUAGGAUAAUGCAAUAGUCCUCGAAUAAAAGUACCAUUCUGGAAGCAGUUAAGAUAUUGUGCCAUUAACUAUUGCAGCAAAAUGUGGAAACUUAAUUGCUUGACAAAUACGAAAGCAUAAAAUAGAAUAAGAGCAGUACUCUAUCAUUCCACAGGAGCAAAUUGCAGUCCAUUCCCUCUUUCAGCCAUUUUGUUUUUUCCGCCCCAAUUUGAGAUUCAUUCACACGAGUUUCUUCAAAUGUGGUCUGAAAUAGGUAGAAAGAUACUCGAGAUAGAAAAAAAAAAGUUACUUCAUUUAGCUUCCUUGAGAAGAUGAAAUUUAAAAGUCCAUAUGAAAGAAACCCAGUAUAAAUUUACAAUUAAAAGAAUACCAGGUCCAUGAAAACAUAUUGGGGACCAUCUUUGUAUGUGAAUUGCUUGGUUUCCUUGUAGAUAGCUGCCUCACUCAUCUGGGAAACAAUCAAAAUAUCAAACAUAAGAGGGUAUGCAUGUGAUGUGACUACUUACAGCUAAAUUGACCACUUUUAUGCACAAUGUGCUCCAUGUUUUAGUGGGGGGAAAUAAUCCAUAAAGAAGUAUUUUGAUGACAUGGAUGAGAUUCUAAGCCAUUGUACUUGAUAUAUGACUAAUAUCUAUCGACGGAACUCGGAAGUGGAAGUUUGCAUACGGAAUGUAUAUAGAUAACACAACUGGCCAAACCUCAAGUUGGGGAAUUGAUAUGGGGAUUAUGCAACACAAGGCUAACCACAAUAUGAUUUGAAACCUCAGUCUUGUAAGAUAUUUGUCUGAUUGGAUUCUGGGUGAAACCUUAUCAUACUAUUUCUUUUCUUAACAACAAAGUCAAACCAAUUAUAACUUGAAUGUUAAACAAUGUCAUGUUUCGCUGUCAACUAAAUUGAAGCAUGCCACAUUCCAGCACAUAGUACUUGCAUUUCAAGCAUCUUAUGAAACAGAUUUUAGUAACAGGUUUGUGGACAUUACCGUACUUCCUGCCCGAAAUGUCUUCUCAACAGUGUUUCCUGUUAGAUAAUUUCGCAUUUUGGUCCUUACAAAUGCAGCCCCUUUCCCAGGUUUCACAUGAAGAAACUCUACAGAAGGCAAUUGCCGAAAGUGCAAAAGCUUAUAAGCUCAGAAAUACAGGAAAAAUGAAAAAGGAGUACAUUGUAACACCGACAUUCAACUCAAACAUCCCUAGCAACUACUCACAAACCAAAAGGAAAGGUACAUAUUAUCAUAUACCAUCACAAUGCCAUAAAGAAUCGAAAUCUCCAAUGUGAGGCUCGUAAACCAACUACAUGUACAGACCACCUCAACAAUAUCUGUUGUAUAAUUUACCAGCAGUGAAACACAAAUGCCAUAUGAGUCAAAACAAAAAAUGAGUAAAACAGUAUCCUAGCUCCACCAAAAUUAAGCUCUAUUUUCUAAAAGCAUUACAUACCCAACAAGCAGAAAGCCAGUACCUUUCUGAUUAAGCUCAAAAACCCAGAAAAAGAAGAAGAAGAAGAAGACUAAAGUGGUACCUAUAACUCGCCAAGGAGCUCCGUCAACUUCAAUGUUGGAACCCACCUUAAUAUCGUUGCUAGAAAACGCCAUUAUCCCUGAAAUUUUCAUCACCAUAAACACCCAAAGACUUCAUCUUUCUGAAAAUAUAGAGCAAAACAAAAUCAAAACUACGUGACAGUGAAAGAAGCUCACUUGGAAAUCUGUGACUCAAAGGGGCUCGGUUCAGACUCCGCAUUGGCAAAAUGAACGACUUGGAUGAGAACGAGAGAGAGGAUAGCGGUGAUGGACGGCUGAGGAUUGGGGAAGCUGACGAGAUACUGAAGCUCGCUGCCAUUCCCGCCAUGGCUGUGUGAUUUUCGCAGUUUUUCCCGGAAAAUUUAGAGGGACAUAGCUCCAGUAAGCUUAGAUAAGAGACUGGUUUCGAAGUGUUUAGAUUUGGGCCCUGCUUUGGGGUUUGGGCUGCCUUCACAAUGACGAUAGGCCCAAUGAUAUCCAUUUAGCUGACUUGAGGAUGCUAUUAAUCAAAAAUGGAUCCAGGAUAUGAAAAUUAGAUUAGGCUGAAUUUAGUUUACGACUAAAAUUGUGUGAAAACAUGUUAAGCUGCAGGUAUGACUGACAUUAUAACGAUUCUUCUGGUAAUACUAAUAGGAGGUACUUGGUCUGAAACCAAGUCUCAUAUCCAGGAUUGGUAGUUCACUAAGCCAUCAUUUCUUGUAACAAAAAAAAUAUCAGCAAAAGUAAGUUUUUUUUUUCUUUUCUUUUAAUCAAUACUAUGUUGACUAGGGUUGGGCACUUAGUACCGGAAUCCCGAUCCCGUACCGGUCUCGUCCCGAAAGUUAACGGGACGGGACGGGACGGGAUAGGUUUUGAAAAUGGCAAUCUCGUCCCGUCCCGUCCCGUUAUGGUAAUGUUGAAACUGGACGGGACGGGAUCGGGACUAUUCCGAAAAAUCCCGUCCCGUCCUGUAAUAUUAGAAUACUUGAUUUUAAUCAUUUUAUACUUGAUUUUUUAGGUUGCAUGGUGUUACAAUGCACUCAACCACACUCAAUUUGGUUUAAAACAUUACUUUUAAUUUCAUUCAUGUUCUUUUUUUUUUUGCUUGUGUGAUUUUGGAUAUUUUUAGUUGUUGUUUGAGGGUCAAUUUUUAAUAUGGGGUGUUUAAUACUUUUAAAGUGAGAUGUAAUUUAGCACCUAUGCACCUAUAUUCUUGUUGAUUUUAAUAUUUUUAAUUCAUUAAUGUUCUUUUUGGCUUGUGUGAUUUUGGGUAUUUUUUUUCUAUUAAUUUCGUUAAUGUUGUUUGAGGGAGCUGAAGACGUCCAAGGAAGGACUGUUCUCACAAACUUCUGGGGAAUGAACUUCACCACCGAUAAGUUGAGAUCAUUGGUCCGCAAAUGGCAAACCUUGAUCGAAGCUCAUGUGGAUGUGAAAACCACAGACAACUACACACUGAGGAUGUUCUGCAUUGGAUUCACAAGAGACGUCCUAACCAAGUCAAGAGGACUUGCUAUGCUCAAUCCAGCCAGAUUAGACAGAUCCUUCGCAAGAUGACUGAAAUCAUGGUCUCCCAGGCCUCAUCUUGUGAUCUCAAGGAUUUGGUGCGCAAGUUCAUUGCUGAGAGCAUUGGUAAGGAGAUUGAGAAGCAAACUACAAGUAUCUAUCCUCUACAAAAUGUCUUCAUCAAGAAGGUCAAGAUCUUAAAGGCCCCCAAGUUUGAUCUUGGAAAGCUUAUGGAGGUGCAUGGUGAUGAAGAUGUUGGCACCAAGGUUGACAGGCCUGCUGAAUAAGCAGUCCCUGAGGCACCUGUCUAGAUUGUUGGAGCUUAGAAAUUUGCAGUGUCUAGAGUUAUUAUGUUUUGUGAACUUGAAUACCAGUUACUUGUUGCUUCAUGUUCUAGCUUUGCGAACAAGAACGUCGUUUUGACUUAAAUUUUGUGCUUUUAUUCUAAAUACUUGAACUUUAUUAAAAAAAAAAUAAAAAUUGUCGGGAUCGGGACGUACGGGACAGAUAUUUAAAAACGUCUUCCCGUCCCGUCCCGUUUUUUUAUUUUCGGGACGGAACGGGAUUCACCAAAUCCCGGCCCGUCCCGUCCCGUGCCCAGCCCUAAUGUUGACAAGCGUACAUUUUCAGAGUGCAUCCAUUUUUAUACUCCGUUCUUACAACAGACCAUGCAAUUUUUUGUGAUUUCAUUAAGUAUAAAACCUUAAAUUUGAAUCCAAUAAUAAGUGACUUGUUCAAGGUUGUGAAGUUGAUGAAUUAAUUUUUAUGACGAGAUGUGUUAUUGUAUAUUAAAAAUUUGAAAGUUAUAUUCUCACUCAUCCUUAUCCUUGUAUCUACAUCCUAGAACAUGUCAUACUUUGGAACAUGGCCAAAAAAAAUAUGUCCUUGGCAAAAGUUUGUCAAUGUUGGGAUUUAGGGAUUUAUCAUAGUUUAAAAGUAUUAGGAAAUGCCAUCAUAGAUACAUGUGUGACACGUUCAUAACUUGUGGUGAUAAGGCAUUAUGCCUACACUAAUUGUCAUCACUCUCUAGCAAUUUUUUAAAAAGAAGUACCAUCUCAGCAUAAGAUAAUCACCAAUCCAUUUAACAAUAAUUCACUAAGUGUCGUUAUGGUUGUUGUUGUUAACAAGUCUCUUUCUCUAAUUCUCAAAAAAAUGACCCAAUAAACGUGUCAAUAAUUCACAGUCCCAAAUAAUUACAUUCACCCUUAAUCCUAAUCCAAAACCCAAACCCACACCGUCCAACUGCAGCACGUGCGCCAUCGACGUGACAGCGCUGUCACCUGUGCCGCGUGCGUUGGCGUCUCUCUUUCAUUCCCCCCGGUAGGUACCACAUUCCCCGGUCAUCUACCGUCAUCACCACCCUAAUUUGACGUCAUAAAUACAACCCGAGUCAACGGCCCAGAUUCCUUCUCAUCAAACUUCACCGUCCUAGACGGUGCAGAAUCCUAGUGGUAAAGUCGUAGUUAAAUGCUCAACCAUGGGCCUUUUGUACACAGUCAUUAUAACAAUUCUUUAUUGCAUGCGAACUGCCCGAUUGGACGUACGAAACGCCUAGUGGCGCAUUUCGCGGUGGUGCUCUUCUGCCGCCGUUAUAAUUCAUCGUAUUUAUUAUUUAUUAUAAUAAUUUCGAUUUUUAAAUAAUUAAAAUUUUCUUUUUUUAUCAGAAGAAUAAGAUAGCAAGUCACGUUUGUUUACAUUAACGUAUUAGUAAUGCGCUAGUCAAUAUUCAUUGAGACUGAACUCAUAUCAAGAUUUUAACAAAACUAGACAAUCAUUCACUUAAAACGCAUGACCUUGAAAACUCAUCUAAUAUGUCCAUCAAAGAUCAUUACUAAUCAAUAUUUAUUAAGAUUGAACUCAUAUCAAGAUUUUAACAAAAUUAGACAAUCAUUCACGCAAAACACAUAAACUUGAAAACUCAUCUAAUAUGUCCAUCAGAGACUAAUACGAGUCAAGACUCGAACGUUAAAACAUGUACGAUUCAUGCUACGUUGCUCGACCAAUUAUUAAUAAUCUUGAUUUUAAUUUGGAUUUUUUAAGAAAGAAAAUAAUUUGGGGGAUAAUAAGGAAGGAAAGGAAAAGAGAGAGGUGGGCGAGUUGGCCGAGUCUUGAAGCAUAAUCAUCAUCGUGCAUGCAUUUUGUGCCCAUAUUUUCUUUCAAUUUUCAACUUUGCAUGCACACGUCUUCUUCUUCUCCCAAAACGCCAAAUCGCCGAUCCAACUCUCCCUUCCCCUUCCGUUUCCCUCCUCCGUUCACCCCCUAAAUCGCCGCCGAUCCAACUCCAAAUCGCUCCCUCACGAUAUAAAUCACACCCACACCACAGCCGCCGCCGCCGCCGCCGUGUCACUCCUCUCUCAGCAAAUGAACUAGCUCCAGCUCUGCUCCGGUGCAAAGCUUCCACCUCCAGUUCGGUUCUCUUUUCUGCUUUGCUGUUUUUGCUGUUCAAUUUUGUGUUUAAAUCAUCAGAUAUGUGGAAUUUGGAAUUUGAAAUUUGGAUUAGGGAAUUUCUGUGUGUUAUGAUUUCGAUUGGAUUUUAAAAUUCGUGAAAAUUUGCAGGGAGAUGGAUCCGAGUGCUUGUAUGAACGCCUACUGCGGCAGCUCGAGCUCGAUCGAAUGGAAGAAAGGCUGGGCUUUGCGAUCUGGUAGAUUCGCCAAUCUAUGUCACAAGUGCGGGUAAUUCAGUCUAGUUUAUUCUCUUCUUGUUUUUUUUAGGUAAAUAUUUACUGUCUGAUUGUUUUGUAAUGUGUAGCUUUAUGCUGGUUUGGCAUGAUUAUACCGAAUUGUAUGCCGACGGUUUGGAUAAGUUUUUUGUUUUUACUUUGCAUUUGGUAAAAUUCAGGGGCUUGUUGGAGGUUUUAAGUCCAUGGUCUGUUGACUCUCUUCUGUUUCAACGUUGUGCUCUGUUCUUAACGGCCGCAUGGUAUUUGUGGCCGGUAUUGUGGAAUUUUAGUUUUUUUCUUAUUUUCCCCCAAUUCUAUAUUUGUUUUAUCUUCUUACAUCUAUGUCCGGACUAAUUGUGUUAGACAAAUAAUAACUAGAAUAUGUCAAUCUAAAAUUCAACCCAAUGGAAUAGUAACCAUGGAUGAUUGAAAUCUAUACUGAUGUUGGUGGUUUUGAGAAAACAAUUGCUCGUUUAAAAAUGUGUGUCUUUGUGUUUAGAGCGUUGUUAUGAUCUUCUGGUAUUGAAAGAAACUCUUUUAAUUAGAACAUGAAACAUUUUUGACUUAUAGUGUGAUCUGAAAUUGAUAUCGGCACUAGGUCGGCAUACGAGCAAUCUGUUUUUUGUGAUGUUUUCCAUUCAAAAGAAUCCGGUUGGAGGGAGUGUGCUCAAUGUGGAAAGGUGAUCAAUGACUCAACAUCCAUAAAAUUUGCUUUUUGGUUUCUUUUUCUAUCCUCCGUAUUUUGAUAUUAUUUUUUCUGAUUGCUGACACCUAUUCGUUCUCUGCAGCGUCUUCAUUGUGGGUGCAUUGCUUCUAGGAGUCUGCUUGAUUUCCUUGAUGGUGGUGGUGUCAAGUGUACACACUGCACGAAAAAUUCGGAACCUCACCCUGUAAGAUUUAUUCGAUAUCAUAUCAACCUUAGAAUGGAAAAUUUUCAUAUGUCAUAUUUGGAAGAGUGUACAUUAUCGAGGAUUUGGAAAAUAUAAUUAAAGCCUGUGAUGUUUUAUAUCAUGGCCUUAUGGUUCGUUAGUUCCCGCAUAUAAGAACUAUAAUGGGAUAAUGCUUCACUGUCUUAAGUGUACCCUUAAGUUAUGUAAUGAUGAGUUUGAUACAUAUUCACACAGAUUGCAAGUGAUGAAAAGCCUGAUGGACCCGGCACAUCCAAAAUCAGUGAGCUGAAAUCAACUCCUUCAGACAAUCACUUGGAUAGAAGCAAUGUUGAUAAUGUGAAGCUUAUCCAGUUGGAAAAUGAUAAAGAGUGUAAUGGGCUCAGGAACUUGCUUCAAUCUCAGAACAAUGAAACAGUUGGGUUAUUGCAGAAAAUGAAGCAGGAUGAUGUUCCAGCACCUGUGGUUGAGAUUGGAGGCACAGGUCUGUCAAUAUUUAAUCAGACAUCCAAUGUAUCGUCUGAAGGUUGUAAACCAGUAAUUUAUAGAGGAAACUUAGGAAUAAAUGAUAUGUAUGAAUCACUGCCGCACACAAAUUUGAGUAUGAGCCUGGGUGCACCUUCAGGAUAUGCAAAUCCUUUUCCUGGUAUCGUUGUUGACGAACACACUAGGACAUCCUCCCUGUUCUUACAGGGAGCUAGGUCUCGUCAUCUUUUACCCAAGCCCCCAAAGUUGGCCCUUGCCACAGGUUUGGAGGAAAAUUCUACAAUGGCUUCACAGUCACGUGUUGCACGGCCACCUGCUGAAGGACGGGGGAGGAAUCAGUUACUUCCCCGAUACUGGCCCAGGAUCACGGACCAAGAGUUACAGCAAAUAUCUGGAGAGUAUCCUUGAUAAUUUAUUUCUUGUUUUAUGUAUAUUACAUCCUGACUGAACCAUAUAAAUGUCGUAACAAUUUUGCUUUUUCAUAUAUAUCUGCCAACUCGGGCAGUGAUUUCCUUAACUGUGAUAUCUUCAAGUCCAAAUUCCACAAUUGUACCGUUGUUUGAAAAGAUGCUGAGUGCCAGUGAUGCUGGUCGUAUUGGUCGUUUGGUGCUCCCUAAAGCAUGUGCUGAAGUAAGCCUUCUGGUUGAUAGAUUCUGAACCUUUUACUGAUAUGUGUAGCCUUUGUCCAUAUGUUAUCUGUAUCCAUUACUAUAUUCAUCAGCCAAAUUGAAACCACUAUGUAGGCGUAUUUUCCUCCUAUCUCUCAACCCGAGGGCCUUCCUUUGAGGAUUCAAGAUGUUAAGGGAAAGGAAUGGGUGUUUCAGUUCAGAUUCUGGCCUAACAAUAACAGUAGGAUGUACGUGUUAGAGGGUGUAACCCCUUGCAUACAGUCGAUGCAGUUGCAAGCUGGAGAUACUGGUAAUUUGUUUGACUGCAUUUACCAAGUUAGUUAGUAUACACACACACAUACAUGGUAUUGGUAUAUAAUGUGAAUUGUUAUUUAUAUUUUUUGUGAUUCUUUUGUUGCAGUGACAUUCAGUCGUAUGGACCCUGAAGGAAAGCUUAUUAUGGGGUUUCGAAAGGCAUCUAAUUCAGCUUCAAUGCAGGUGAUAACCUCUAUUUACUUUUAAAAUAGGAAAAUGGACAGUUUAAUAUUGAUAUGCAAAUUAUCAAAAUAAACAGGACACCCAUCUUUCUGCCAUUCACAAUGGCGCUCACUCAAGUCAAACUUUCUUUUCGGGUGUUAUUGAGAACCUUCCUGUAAUAAGUGGUUACUCUGGUCUUCUUCAGUCAACGAAGGGCAUGGAUCCGCAUCUAAGUGCACUGUCCAAGCAAUUGACUACAGCUCAUGGUGAUCUGAGCUGGCAUAAAUCUGAAAAUCCUGAAAGCAGGGCAAGGGAAGGCUUGCUGCUGCAAUCAUUAGUGGUUCCGGAGAGAAAAAGAACUAGGAAUAUUGGGUCUAAGAGUAAAAGGUUGCUCAUUGAUAGCCAAGAUGUUCUAGAGGUGAAGCUUACUUGGGAAGAGGCUCAGGAUUUACUUCGUCCUCCUCCAGCUGUUAACCCAAGCACUGUCAUGAUCGAGGAUCUUGAAUUCGAAGAAUAUGAAGUGAGUGAUGUCUGAGUUCUAUGAACAUAUUUGCAAUAUUUUCUUAUUAUUUCCCAUUUUAAAAAUUGUCUCCACUUUUUUAUCCUUAGUUAUUUUCUUCAAGUUAAUUUACGUAUUAUUUGCUCAACUAUGAUUUGUGUGACUUAGACGUAGUUGUCAUGGCUCCCAUAUGUUACAUGUCCAGAAAAGGGUUUCAUAGAUCUCCAGUCAUGGAACAUGGGAUAUGUGCUGUCAAUCUGAAUUUAUGGUUUGCAAAUUUGUCUAAAACUCCCUUCACUUUGUGUUAAUCUGUUAGACAGUGGCUUCUAUUCUUGUCCAUGCAGACGAGCAUAAACGCAUGAAGUUUUUGAUUCUUUCGCCAGCAGCAACAAUUUAUUAUUUUAUUUUAUUUUUUUAAAUAUGGAUAUUGUUGGGUUGCUUAUAUGUGCAGUUAUUUCUAUUAUGUAGGAACCUCCUGUGUUUGGCAAAAGGAGUAUUUUCAUAGUCCGGUCAACUGGGUAAGACUUCUUUUAUGUUAUCUAAGCUAAGGUCUCAUUACUUGAGGAAUGUCACUGGGUAUCUGUUAUACACUAGUUUUCAGCAUUCUGAAUGGUUUUUAGUUUAGCUAAAGAACAUGGUGUAGAAGUGUAUAAAGAACAAACUUCUCCUUUUGUCACUGCGCAAUUUGUCUUCCAUAUUCAAUUAAAUGCUUCCGCUAUUUUUGGUUGAAAGGUUUUAUUUCAUUGUUGCUAGGGUGAGUUGGAUAAUUCAUUUAGAUACAAAAUAAUAAGCUUUGUUUCAGGGAACAUGAGCAAUGGGCUCAGUGUGAUGGUUGCUCUAAAUGGCGAAGGUUGCCAGUUGAUGUGCUACUUCCAUCUAAGUGGAUGUGUACAGACAAUGUUUGGGAUCAAAACAGGUUAGUGAUGGGUUUUCAUUUACAAUUUUUCUUGCAGUAAAGCAGUGCUUAAAUAAGUCUUCUUUAUGUCUCAAACUUUGUUUUUUAUUAAAUAUCUCAAACUCUUUUUUUCUCAACAGGUGUUCGUGCUCUGCACCAGAUGAAUUAACCCCUAAGGAACUGGAAAGUUUUCUCAGACUGAGCAAGGGUAUAAGGCCACUUUAUGUCUCUCCAUUAUCUUUAAGUAGAAACUUAUGGGAGAUUGGGUGUAGUAGCUUAUCUAUUAUGGUCAUGAAGAAUUGCAUUCUUAAGUGGAAAAUUAGUGUUAAAUUUACUUUGGGAACUGUUUGUUAUUUAUAUUGGGAUGUCUUCUUUUGUAGAAUUCAAGAAAAGGAGAAUGGCAACAAACCAUAAUCCAACCCAGGAACAUGAAUCUUCUGGGCUUGAUGCUUUGGCCAAUGCUGCAAUACUCGGAGACAAUGUGGCUGACCCAGGAACUGCAUCAGUUGCUACAACAACAAAACAUCCCAGGCAUCGUCCUGGCUGCUCAUGCAUUGUGUGCAUCCAGCCCCCAAGUGGGAAGGGCAAGCAUAAGCCUUCAUGCACGUGCAAUGUGUGCAUGACAGUUAAACGACGUUUUAAAACCCUAAUGAUAAACAAGAAGAAACGUCAAUCAGAACGUGAAGCAGAGAUUGCCGGUAGAAACCAGCUUGCAUGGGGUCCUAGGGAUGAUGCAGAAGUAGACAGCACUUCUAGGCAUCUAUCAUCACACCUUGAUCCUUCAGACAACGAAGCUAAGUCUCCAAAUGAAUUAGAAUCUAAGAGCCAACUUAAAAUGGCCGAAAGUGGGAAGGGAAAGUUAGACUUGAAUUGCCAUCCUGGCCGAGAAGUAGACUUGCCAGCGGAGCCAAGUCAGUUGAGCAUGAUGUCCCUUCUUCAAGUAGCAACGCUUCCUCUAGAUAGUUAUUUGAAACAAACCGGUCUUACCAGCUUGGUAACUGAACAGCAGACAAGCUCAUCACCUCCUGUGCCACCACAAGCGACCGAGGAGAAUGAGGAACAGCUUAAUGGGGAUCAAUGUCUUGUUUCUAUUGUUCAAGAUCAGGAAAGUGGAGGUGAAGAAAGGCAGGAUCAAAGCCAAGAGGAUCCUCUAUGAUAAAGUUCACGCUACCCUUCCUUAUUUGCUUCUUCCUUGUAUAAUACUGGACUACAGAGGUCAUUUUGGUUUGGUUGGUCUUAUAUGUUUCUUUGGCUGAGAGUGUGAAUGUGAGAUUACAUUACAAAAUAGGUUGUAUGAUAUACACUCAAUUGUAUUUAUAAAUACAACAAAGUAAGAUAUAACUUUCAAUUUUUUUCGUUCUUUUCUGCCUAAACUAUAUAUACUUGUAAUACUUGCCGUAUUCCAAUACAACUUAACGUAGCAGAGCUAGAAAUCCAGAUUUUGGGGCCAAAAUGUAAGACAUUCUAUGUGGCGCCAAUAAGUUAAUUAAAGAAGCUUAAGAAACAAAGAGCUCGAGCCCUCCUCUCUUAGUUUGGUGAUUUAAAAACUCAAUUUUUAAAAAACUCAGUUUUAAAUAAGCAAUUCACAACCAGUUUUUUAAAAUCGUAGUUAUUUAAAUUAAAAAGUUUUAGAUAAACAAGUUUUAAGAUUUUACUAAACAAAUAAUCUAUUCAAAAUGAUGAUUAUAAAUAAUUUUAAUUCUCAAAACUUAAUACAAAACUGGGCCUGAGCCUGAGCCCUACUUCAUCAAUCUGAUACUACCUUGAUCCAUUCCAGUCUCGUUAGUUUAAGCUUUCAAGCAAGUAUGGUUGAUUGAAUCAAAUUCGAUUUUUCAACAAUUUUGAUCUUUUUCUUAGAAUCUAUAACAGUUUCGAUCUGUAUGGCAGAUAUCCAAUCAACAAUGGAGAUUAAGGAGAGCACAAACUUGAUGGACUUACCCGUCGAUAUCCUCAUCAACAUCUUCAUGAGACUUCUCGCUAUGUCAGAGUGUUCCAUCAGAUGUGUCUCCAAGACUGUGUUGGACAUAAUCGAUGGCCCAGCUUACCGGCGUUUACUUGGUGAUGCCAAGAUUGAAUCUGAAGCACCUCCUCAACUUGUGCUUUUUGCUCAAGACUAUAUUGAGCAAGGACGCAAAGCCUUACCUGCCAUGGAAACCCUAGAAUACGACGACGGCAAUAACCACUUGACCACCAGAGGCAAACAUGAGGGACGAACCUGGUACUCAUCAUACUCCCGCCAGCGCUGCGAGUACCAGAUCAAUUUCGUUUUUGGCAACUUGGUUUGCUUGAAACACUUGAGUGAUUAUCGGCGUUGCUUCUUAGUCAAUCCUCUAACCACAGAAAGUCUAAUGCUCCCAACCCUUGGCCUCCAAGAAAUCAUAGAGCAAGGUAGGGCUUCACGAGUAGUGUAUGAAAAAUAUGGUAUGGGAUUUGAUGAUAUAACCAACAGCUACAAGAUUGUUUGUGUUUCUCGACACAAGCAAGAGAGCCUAUUCGGCGCACCCGUCAUCUCCACCGUUAAUUUUUUUUUUUUGGCGGGUUAAAAUGGACGGUGGAUACACCCGGAUGCGCUGUAUAAUUUUCACACAAGCAUAGUGUUGAUGAUCCUUUUAUUAAUUUAGAGGGUUCGUUCGUGACUCGAGUUCUUGUGUUGGGCACAAGAACAUGGAGAGAGGUACCCUCAGUUCCUCCCUACAAUUGUGAUCUCGAUGACGCAGUACAAAAUGUGUGUGCAUAUGGAGAUAUGCAUUGGUUGCUUAGUCAUCUUAUUACAGUAGGAAGGCAAAUAACGAGACCUAUACUUUCUUUCAACUUCAAGAAAGAAGAGUUCUGUAUAACUCAACAUCCCAUCUCACAAGAGAGGAGAUCGUCCUUGGACUUGCACUUGCUUACUCUGAGAGGAUCUAUCGCCAUUGCAGAUACUUGUUCAUCGAACGGUACGAAUAUCAACAUUCAGAUAUGGGUGAUGAAAGAUUAUGAUAGAAAAGAGUGGAGGCUAGAUUACACCAUAAAUAUGGAAAUGCUUGAAGGUCCACGGUUUGAAACUUGGUAUUAUACCUGCGGUGAAUGGGAACAUGGCAUAUUUUUCAGUAGUAAUUCUCGACUGGUCAAGAAGGCAUUGUUCUUUGUGGAUCUGAGAUCGCCAGUUUCCAUAAAACCAGUGGCAUAUCCCACAUUAAUCUGGAUUUGGGAGAAUACAAGGAUCUUCAGCCUGGGAUAACUCUUAACAUCCUUUCAUUGAAUUACUAGCCUUUCUGCACGCGCAAUGCGAAAAGACCGCGCUGCAACAUAGUUUCAAUACCUAUACUUCACCAGCUCUAAUAUCUGACUGAAAUUGCUUUGUUGGCGUCUUUUGUUUUCUCUUCUCAAUAAUUUUUGGCUCAUUAUUUAUGUCUCACAAUGGAGGCUAUAACCAAGCCUUCAUUUAUACAUACAACCUGCUACAAAACAUGCUACUAAAGAUGCAUGAGAAAUGGUUGAAUGUGAAAAAAUAAAUCAAAGAGGAGAAAAAUGAACCAAAUUGAUGUGAGCAGGAAUAAAAAUUGCAGACACUACAACAGCGCUUUAUGCAAGUCUGUUUUAUAUCUUCUUCUUUGUCCCCUCCCCAAUUAGCAGUCUCCUUGUCCAAUGCCUCUGGGAUCUUUUUUCUAACAUUCAAUUAAUGAAGCAUCAUAACAUGGAAUCUGAUAGACAUGAUUUCUCUUAUUAAUAAAUACUGUUAGUAACACAAUGAAAUCCAAACUAUGAAAGGUAAGCAAAUGGGACAGUAGUAUCCAAACGUAUAUAUUUGGAUAAGAGAAAAAGAAAUGUUGAUAAGGGUUUACCUAUUGUUACCUGAACUGAAAACCUCAAAUGUGUGAUGAUACAAACAACCCUACUAAUGGUGGAGAUUACCUAUACUUUUGAUCUCCAUUUAAGAUUAUGUAUACACUCCAUUUUACCUGCAUUGAUAGCAUCAUAGGAGAGAUGUUGAAAACUGAAAAUGGCUGCAACAAUCCAUCAAAAACAGCGAGAACUGGCAAAGGAGAGAUCUAUUCCGUGGGAACUGGCAAAUAACUAAAACCUUUAUACCUGAAGAAUGCAAACAGAAAAAUUACAAAUCUUCCAGUAAACAAAACAAUCUAAUGAGAGAUAACUACGCAAUUAGAAGACAAAUAACAAAACAAUCAAUGAGAGAAUUACGCAAGAAGACCAAUUCAAAUUAGUUCAAUGGAGAAGGAAAACGGUUACUUGUCACCACAACUAAUCAGAAACCUGCAACAUUCGAAGAAAACAACAGAAGAAAAAAAACGAAAUCAUGUUGUUGCUAUUAAUAUACAUACAUACCUAUUGUAGAUGAUUUCUUCUCUUGAAUAAAGAGAAGAGAGCACGUAGGAGAAGAAAAGCGCAAAAGCAGUUUCUCAUUGUCCUCAAUUGAAUAAUUUGCUUUUUUACACGUUAUAAGGCUAAAAGAAACUGAAUUAGAGUGGAGAAUUUUUUUUUUGUUCGAUGUUCAGAAUUUGAGUGGGAGUUGAUAACUUAUUUUUCUCCUUAAAACGUGGUAGAGGGUUUGCUCUCUAUCUGUUGGAAUAUUUUCUGAUUUGUAGUUUCCCUGUUGUACCCUUAUUUAUUAAAAUAUGUUCCUUGUGAGAGUUUUACAUGUCAGGGUAAUUUCAGGGUUUAUGAAAAUUUAACCAAAAGCAGUUUCACAAGGCAAAUUGCCUUAAUUAAUAGAGAUUAAUAGAGAUAGAAAGGGGGAGUAAAAUUUCGUAUUUUUACUUGAUAGCUAGGUAGCACUACUUCCUGUGUACAUUUCAUGAUUCAUAUAUAUAUUUCAUAUGUACCUUGUUUAGAUUCUGCAAUGGUCAUUCUCUUGGAGUUCCAUUUUCGAUCAAAUCAGCUGCACAUCCAUCUGCAUAGCAAUACUCUGAAUCCCUAAUUACUUUGAAAGUUUUGGCAUGUCUCGAUCAGAGAUGCUCCAGAGCGAUACAUGUCUAUCACACACACAUUUACAUAUGUGACAACCAAUUUGUUGUUAUUGAGGUAACUUCAUCGAACAACAGUAAGUAGGCCGGAGGAAGUCGUCUCUCUCUCUGUGUUCAGAUAGUGUACUUCGAUAUUUUGUUUAAUCCCCAAACUCUCAGCACUGGCUUCUUUAUUAGGAUUUAGGCUUUGAACAUGUUUUUGUUGCAGCUCCUUGGUUAAGUUUUAAGGCCUUGAACAUAUAUUGACGUUGCAGCCGACAUCAUGAGCAUGAUGGAAAUAUAGGAUGUUGAUUAUAAAAGUUUAACUCGAAGACACUUCCAGGAAAAGGCAAAAACUAACUAAGGGAAACUAGAUGAACCCAGUUCUACAAGGCAUGCAUUAUAUCUACAGGGCAUACACUCCGAUUCGGUGGGAACAACCGGACAUCAACCGCAUCUUUAUCUGCUACUAUAUAUGGUGUUGGAUCACAAAGAACCAAAAUAAAUAAAUAAAUAAUGCACAUUAUACACAAUCAAAAUCCCUCAACACUAGCCCUUGGAACCGUGGACGAUGAUGAUUUCCGGCUUUCCAGCAGGUGGUCUAACUCCUCCAUAGUGACAAUGGUGGAACAAGACCGUGGAGGAAGAAGGGAAAUAGGUGGGGCAAGUCGUCUAGUAGGUGAAAAAGAUGGCAGAGCUACUGGUGGAGGUGAAGGCGAAAAACUUAGCCUAGGCACAGGGGUAACAAUUCCAUUAAGACUCGGCGAUCUUGACAUAUGUUUUCCCGCAUAUGCAGCCGGGUCUAGCAAAGGAAACCUGGACGAGUGCCUGAUAUCUUGAAUGAUUUUGAGAUGCUCAACAACAGUUCUCAUAGUGGGUCUCUCGGAUGGGUCCUUCUGGAGGCAUCUCUGUGCAAUGUCAGCCAUCGCUCGGGCAGCUUUGGCUGGGAAGCGACCUUUGAGCUGCGGAUCCAUAAUCAGUGAAAGUCGAUGGUCAUCAGCUAAGUAAGGCCGGCUCCACUUAACUAAAUUCAUCUCUUCCUUGGGGUGCCGGCUAUCAAGAUUCUUCCGACCUGUUAGUAGCUCUAGAAGAACAAUCCCAAAACUCCAGACAUUGCUUUUGGGAGUAAGCAUUCCUCUUUCAAGUGUCUCAACUGAUAGAUUUGCCACUGCCUGCAAAAUGAUGAGAACAGGGGUAACAGUUCAGAUCUUAAAAAAAAAUCAUGUUGAAAUUAACAGUUUCCAACUUUAUAUGGAUUAAGGUAAAGAAAAAUCAUUUAAUACAAAGUAUUAAGAUUAGAACUGAUCUGAAAAGUAUUCACAAGAAACAAAGCAAGAAAACUUACAACAGAAUUGGUAGAGAUUUCUGCCUCAGGGAUAUGUCCAACACAGCCAUAUCCGGAAAGCUUUGCACUAAAAUCUUUAUCAAUCUGUAUGUUCGCAGUUGAAAACUCAUUGUACAUCGCCUGUAAAUAUAUAUGGAUAACGAUAACAACUCAGUCACCAAAGAAAAUGCACAAAUAUACCAUCAAAUAAUCUCAACAAAAUUUUGCUUAAAUAUUUUAAAUAACAUCAGCAAUUUCAGUUUUGAGGUGAUUUUGUGAACGCAACAAAAAGAUUCAUUUUUUUUAAUGAAGGGCAACUUGAAUCAGAGCUACUGGAUGCAUGAGGUGAUCAUCAUUUGAUUUCAGUUGUUCUUAGAUAAAAGUGCAAGCGGGUGUUCUUAUUACCUGGAAAGGUCCUUCUUCAUGCAAGAAUGUAAGACCCUGUGCAGCACAUAAAGCAAUUUUUGUUCUAGUGUUCCAAUCUAUUGGGGGCUUAUCUGAUCGUCCAUAUAAAAAUCGAUCCAGACUUCCAUGAAAGAGCCUUUCAUAGACCAACAUUUUUUGUUCAGAUCCCUCGCGUGCAUGGAAACCAAGCAAUUUACAGAGGUUUGGAUGUUGCAAAGAUGCAAUAGUGUUUACCUCAUUUACAAACUCCUUCAAACCCUGAAAAACCAAUAGCAAUGAGUUUCUAUGAAAGUUCUAAACAUUUGGUAAAAGCACUCUGUACCAUCAACUCUCAAUAACAAUCUGAACACUAGAAGAAGAAGUUACAAUUUACAAAGUGAUUACGUUUACUAUGAUCAAUAGGUAGGACACUAAUGCAAAACAUACAGUGAACCAAAUGUUUCGAGGCAAGGUAGAGUUUAUUUUGCAAACAUACUGACACCAUCAUUCCACAGUAUUACCAGUAACCCCAAAUUGGAAAACAAAACAAGGGUUUGAAUUUCAUAUAAUUGGAACACAUAAAAUGCUUCCAUACUCUUAAUUAUCCAUUCUGUUAGAGGCAUAAUUUUAUUUAUUUAUUUUUGCAAGCGUGAACAUCGCACACGAAGGAGCUCGUUUUUCUUAUUAGAUUAUAUAAGACAACAAAAGGAUGACAAUUCAAAGUUCAUCCAUAAGUUCAGGUAAUUUUCUGUUAAACCGUGGUAACAUUAAGGGGACCAAAUAACAUUAUUGACCAUAACAGACAUAAAAAUUUAUAUUUACCUGAGUGGAAGGAUGAAGGCGAGUAACAGUAGCUUCUUUUUUGGAACUUGAAGAUGAAUCUUCUCCAAAGGAAGCCUUAUACAUGAUGGAAGAUAGACCUUCAGACAUGCAUCGGUCAGAAGAAAAGUUGUGACAAGCUGAUGACACUUCUUCAAAUGAAAAGUUUCGUAACGUUCCAGUUGGAGGCAGGGGCAAUGGUCCAGAAGCAUAGAGAGGGCCGCUGGAAGUCAAUGACUUAAAGCUUCCCGUAGUCCGCAGUGCAGCAACACCUUGAGGUGAUGGGAGGGGAAGAGGUUGCGGAAUUGGUGGCGCUUGUUCCUUCAGGAUUCCAGACCGAUACUUUGGCUCUUCUGGCUCCUCAUAUUCAACUGAUGAAAGAGAUUCUUGGUCUGCUGCAUCUAGGGUAGAUGGAGCAGAUAAUGCCCGAGUUCUAUUGUUCUUUUUGGUGACUUUAUUUACUGGUUGAACAGGUUUCACUCUGUUCCUAAAACUUGGGGGUGCAGACUGUAGUGACCGGGUCGGGAUUUGAGGUUCAGGCAAUGUGGCUGGAGUUUGCUCCUUAGGGACGACACGUUUAAUAUAAAUAGUCUGCUCAGACUUUUUCUUCUUGCACUUCAAUACUGUGAAGCAACCCAUAAUUACGUUCAAAACUAAGAUCUGUACUUAGGCCUAGUUUUCUGCAUCAGAAGAACAAAGUGCAUACAUAUUAGCUGAAGCUGGAAAUUUGGAAAGUAGAUCUUUACUGUGCACCAACCAAACAUAUAUCAACUUUGUAUAGGUAGAUAAGCAGAGAACCCAAUUGAACCAACUGAUAGAAAAAAAUAAGCAACUUCACCAUAAGCAGAUAGGUAAUCCAAGUGUCCCGUCCACCCAAAAAAGAUCAAACAACAAUAACUGAAUGACUCCAAUAUCCUAUGUUAAGGUUCUAAGACUUAAUGAGAAGAAGAUACAUGAGUGCUCUACAACAAACUUUGAAAAGGCAGCAUCUGGGGAAAAAGAUAAUGAGAGAACAUGUCCCCAUAAUUUCCACUAACAAAAUCACGCUAACAUCCUCCUAGCCGUUCCGAAGGAAUAAACAGAUUAUACGAAUGCAAAACUCUUGUUUUUCUUCUCUGAGUGUUGGUGGGUUUAUGGAGAUUCCAUACCUAGUGUGGUUGAUAUUCCACCUAGAACUUAAUAAUUCAUCCCUAAAUAUUCCCAUUACACUCAGCCUAACACACAGACUCUUUUAUUCCACAAAUGCUCAAAAUCUCUUAAAUGUCAACUUAACAAUUACAAAUAUACUGUACCAACUAACCAUUCUACUAAAUUUCAACUCAAUCUAUGAACCCCAGAAACCCAUUUCUUCUGUUUAUCUUUACUUCCAAACAACAUCCAUUCAACUUUAAAAACAAAACAUCCCCAGAUCCACAAAAACACAAACUUUCUGCAAAGUCUACCAAACAAAUACCACAAUUAAUUGCACAAAAGCAAAUCCACCAGCAACAGACUGCACCAGACAAUCUAAACCCAAUGAAACACAUCAAAGAAUGAAUUUUUCAUCUCUAGCAAAAAACUUCAAAGCUCAAAUCUUGCAUAUAAUUUGAACAACAAGGGAAUGAAUUCAGUAAGAAAGUUAAACAGAAUUCAGAAAGUAAGAUAAUUUACCAGCUUUUCAUGCAAGAGGGUCUCAAAUGGACUGAGUAACCAAUUUGGAGAUAUAACCAAGCCUUCAACAAGUCAAAGAGAGAAAGCAGAUUGAGAAAGGUUUAUAGGUGAGUGGGAGAGAUACAGAGAUUGUCAGAGAGAGAGAGAGAGAGAGAGAGAGAGGGAAAGGAGGAGAGAGUUCUCAAAAGAGGAAUGAAGCCCCAAUGAGCAGUGGUCAAACCUACCAAAAAUCCAUAAUUAAUAAGCAUUUAAAAGCAACCAUUAUUAUUAUCCUUAAACAAACAGAAUUGCCUUUCUCAUUUCUUUUUUACCCAUUUGCCCUCCACAAUAUCCACAUUUUUAAUUGUUUUUCUGUUUUGUUUUUGUGCUCCAUUGGGAAAAUAUCAUUUUGUUUAUGUUCAAUUUGUGACGUGUGGAACCGAGCUAGACCAAGACCAUGCCUACGCGUAAGAUGUGAGGAGGAGAAGAAAAGGACUUCUGCUUCCAACACUAUCAGUUUUUUAUUUUUCAACUUACCUAAAAUACUAACGAAUCAAUUUGUCUAAGACCAACACUUAAACGAGUUUCUAUAGUAAUUUUUUUGUUUUAGAGGAUUGUUUUUAGAAUGUAUGUUUUUAAGUGUGUUUGAACGUUAUACUUCUUAAUGUUAUAUGACAUUCUUCUAAAAUUUAAAAAGACAAAUACCGGUCUUAGUUUUAGAGGUUUGUGUUUGAAUUUUAUAGAAUUGCGAGGAGAUAGUUUGAUUUUCAAAACAAUGAUGUAUACAGUUGAUUAUAAGUAUGUUGUUGAUUACUUGAUUUGUAAGUGAUUAGACUGAAACCACAUGAUUUGUUAACUAAAGUUGGUCCACAUAAUUAUAACGGAUAAACUUCAUUUUUUAAACCAAUGACUUCUACUCUUAUUGACAUCAUAAACAAACCUGAUAAUACCGAUUUUUGGUUUUCAGACGUUAAGAUUGAAACACAUAAUAGGUUAACCAAACUUGCAUAUAUUCUUGUGAUUGCACAUCAUCUGUGUUGACUCCCAUGUUCAUUGCAACUUACAAUGACAUGAGAAUAUCUUUUGCUCGAUUAGGUAAACUAGGCUACCAAAUGUUAGGAUCCAUGGCAUAUUAGGCAAAUGAGGCUAAUCAAGAAUGAUAAAGAUGAAGAAUAUGUUGAACUUUGGUAUAAUUUAUCAACAGUUUCCUCUAAACCAAACAUACACCUACGUUAUUUCUCAUUAGUAUACAUGUUGUUGAGUUUGACAAUAGCAAAAACAAACACGAAACAUAGUUUAGAUCGUUUAUUUUUAAUAUAAAAUAAUACUUAAAUGUUUGAAAUUAAACAACAAAAUACUCUGUCUAAUUCUCAUGAUUUCAUUUUCAGUUGUCAAAUGUAUUUUUAUAGAUACGCAGCUCCAAUCUUUGAACAAACGUAAGAGAUAUAAUUUUUAUGGUCAAUCAAACUAUAUAUGUAACAAUUAAAGUACAACCAACUCUAAGCAAAAAGAUAUAAUUAAAGGUUACUCUUCUAAGAAGCUAUUGUUGGCAAUUGAACACCAAUAUUUUUGACUGUUUGAAUUGGACUGAUACAUCUCUAGCCCCCCAUUUCAUUUUUAACAUAUGCAUAUUACAUCUCCAAGAUCAGUCAAGAAAGGAAACCAACCUUGUCAAGUAAGAACCAAUUGAAAUAUUAAAAACAUGGAGCCAACUCCAACUCGUAGGCACUACUUGGGAAAGUUUCUCAUGUGUUACUAGUCAUAGUCAAAUUCAUAUGGUUUGUUUAUACAACAUCUUAUAUACUCAUAAGCUAUUUGCGGCCAUGAAAGGUUGGUUACAGAUCAAAACUUCCAAAGGGUUAAAUACAAUGCACUACUUGACGUCUUGACCAUUCCAAAAUAAGCACAAAAUUACUUUGACCAGCAAAAAAAAAAUGGAAGGGUCAAUUGGACAUUUUACAACAGACUUUUAAGAUAAUUAGAAAAGUACAAAAUAGGGAAAUAUUGGAUUGUGGUGUUGGGGGGUGAAAUGGUAAAUUGAGAGACGGAGCUCGAUUUUCAACGAAGAGGGGCCUCGAAUGAAGUGACAUCCCAGUCAAAGUACCCCGAAAUUUAAUAAUAAUAAUUUAAUGGCAUGUUUCCGGUGUGGUCAAACAUACCUAUCAAGAUAGCGCUUUGACUCUCGGCCUGUCCCGUCGGAUCCGGGCGUGGGAGCGGCGACGGACGGUGGAUGUGCGGCCACACACACACACAGAGAGAACAAAAGGAGGACGCGGGACCCACUGACAUCCAACAUACUUUUGUUGUCUGUCCUCAUAAUAAGUAAUGAUCCAAUGUGGGUUGCUGUUCACGCGCCAUCAUUGCCCUCUCUCUCUUUCUCUCUGCAAUUGGUGGGCCCCCACAAGCCCUUCUCAAGGGGAGAGGGAACAGUGUUUCUGAGUGCCAUAACCCCUAAACUCGUAGGGGACUGAUGAGAUCUAACUGUUUCAAAGGAGUGGCCGUGAGGGAUUAGGGGUGCCCUUUAUUUCUGGGAGGGACCGGAAUUGAAGGCCCCCUAUCGAGUGGAAGGGUUUGAAAUUUCAAACAUUGUCAUCAUUUCGAAUUUGAAACUAGCAUCGUCCCAUACUCUCUUUGAUAAUGUUUUUUUCUUUCUUUCUUCUAUGAAUGUUUACUUUUUUUUUUUUUCAAAUAAUUUUUUGAUGGUUACUUUGAUAAUGUUUAUUAUGUCGCAUAUUAAAAUUUAUAUUUGAGUAUAAAUGUAAAAUGAGUAUAUGAGAUUUGGUCACAAUACACUAUUGACUAUAAUGAGUGAUUGAGCACAUUGAGCACAUGAGAUUGGAUCACCCAUCUCAAUGAUCUCAUUACAUAUAUGAUGAACAUUAUACUCAAAAAUUCUGAAGCCGGUGUUGAUUGUAAUUUCAAGCUCGUUGCAGUGUGAGUUACAUUAGGCUUUGUGGUAUAGAAGACAACAUAUUUUGUAUUUUUAAAUUACUCAAUUAUCUUAUGAAUUAUUAAAUAACAAAUAUAGUCAGCCUAAGUUCAAAAACUUGAUUGUAACGCUCUUCACAAUACAUGUUUGGUUCGAUGAGUUUCUUGUGAGAUAUCAGUAUUGACAGAGUUAUAUUUUGUUUCUCUUGACAAUAACAUGUCUUGUGUAAGUCUUAGCCUAACAAUUUCGCUUGGUUUCAAACUUCUUUUGAAAAGCAAAUAUCAAAUGUUUAGCAAUAUGUAUGAUUUGUUGUCUUAUCAUAAAUAAUCUCAACUAAUCAAUUAAUUUGAUUUUUCUUUGAUAUAAAUACAUAAAUUGAAUAAGCAUACGAUAUUCAUUACACUUUUUGUCACUUUUGAUUGUCAAAUUAAUGUCAAAUUAGUUAUCAUUCACAUUUUGAAGUUGUUUGCUCAAUCUUGGGUAUCAAGAAAGCUGGUAUUGAACAUUUCUUCACCGCAAAGUCUCUUUUGAAUGGUGUGGCCUCUCCCACCAUUAAAGCUGCACACACAAUCAAUUGAAAAUAGUUGAUAAUCGAGUUCAAAUGUUGAAGUGUUAGACACUUGAGGUAAGUUUCAAGGGAUACAACGCAGCUCCAAGUGUCUUUAGCCACUUUUGUUCUAAAGUCUAAUCAAAACAGCAUUAAGCGCCCUAUUCAAAAUUUCAAAUCAGAUCAUAUAUAUCAAAUCAUCCUCGAAUUCAUUCACAAUAUUAAUAAUUUAAAAAAAUACAAAACCACACUGAUACAUCAAUCAAUUUUUCAAUGACAAGCAAAUCAUCGAUUCAUGAAAACAAGAGCAGCAUACUUGGAAGCCUUCCCAAUGUAAUCCGAGACAUAUCUCCCGCAAAACUUCGUAUAGUUAUCGAAGGCAAACACUGAUGAACUGGCAGACGCCGCAACCAUUAGAAUCACCAGCAACUUGAGAAUUCUUCCCGCACUGUAUUUACCGGAUAGCCCAGAAAAUAAGAACAAGAGCAAGGUAGCCAAACUAUAAACACCGAAACCCUUUUGAACUAUGCUGAAGAUCAACUGAGCUAGAAACACAAGAAUUCCAAUGCACAAAGUAGCAACAAAUAACGGUUCCUGCAAGACAAACAAAACGAGCUACUGUAAAUAUCAUAGAACAAACUUAUGCGACAGUUAUAUAUGAAUGUAUGAAUACCUUGUAAAACUGUUGUUUCAGUCUAAGUAGAGGCGAUUGGAAUUCGGGGUUAUAGUCUGUAUGGUCUCGAUUCUUGAUGCGUGGAAUUCCAACUUUCUUGAGAAUUCUGAGAAGCUUGGAUUUCAGGGUUGCUUUUCUUUUUCUAGAAUUUCUAGAAACUGAUGGUGCUGUGGUUUCUGAAUUCAGUUUCAUUCUGAGGAUAAAUUUGCGGAGCUUGAUCAGAAGAGAGAAUCGAUGUAACUUCCAAGUGGGAACGAUUUGGGUGGAAUUGAAUUUGAAGUUGAAGCUCUUCUUGGCUUUGGCUUGCACUGUGAGUUUCCAUGUCUGCUGCUUCUCUGCUUGCAUCGCAGCUAGAACAGUGGACCAGUUGUUGGAUCUAGGACUUUACUAGCCGUUAUCAGCUGCAGAAAAGCAGAGAGAAACAUUGGAAAUAUGGACUUCUCCAAAACAAACAUUUGAAAUAUGGGCCUACAUCACUGGGCUUCAAGCCCAAAGAGGUUCACUGCAGGUCUAGUACACAUAUGAUUCAUAGACGUCAGAGCUCGAGCCUGAGAGUGCCAAAAACCAUGGUGAUGAUGUGCAUCAACUAAAACAUGAAGUUCCUUUCAAAAAAACUAAAACAUGAAGUUUAAAGAUGACACGAUCAUGUAGGUGGCAUGAGGAACCAAAUAAUAAGAAGAACAAGAAAAAAAUGUGUCCGGUUAAUAAAAAACAGAAAAGGCUGGAGAACCAUUACUUGAGUUGGCCGUAAUUCACCCAAAACGGAAGCAGUUUAUAACAUAUGUUGUUGUUUAAUUCUUACGGUUUUCGACACCAAAACUUGUUAUUUAUUUUGGUUUCCGUAGGAAAUGUACAGGGUUGAAUUUUUGGUGGUUUGGAAUUCCUAAACAAAAUGGUUACACGGAAAAUUUCAAAAGUACACGAUUUUACAAUGAUAUAUCUUUGUUAAAAGAUACGUCUAAAUGAGUGAUUCAAAAAUAAAUUCGUUAAUUAUGAAUGAGCAAAAUACCCAAAAAAUGUACGAAGGAAUUUGGAAAUGAAGUGACUUUAGCACUUCCCUCCCCUUAUAACCCCGACUCGUCGCAUCAGAUGUUGUUCAGCUGUCUGCUGAAAAUCAAAUCCAACUGUCCAAUUGAUUCAAUAUGUUGAAGAGAACUACUACACCAAGAGGCCGAUAGGUUGAUGACUUGAUGGUAGGUGGUCCUAGCAAUUGCUCCACUUAUUAGUGAUGCCUAAUCAACAUGAUAUUUACCAGAACCUCACGAAAACAUGUAUGUCUCUUGAAUUUGUGUGUGUGAUUAAUUAAGCAUAACGUACCCCAAAUCAGUACUAUAAGGGAGGGUUUGUCAACUAUUUAUUAUGGUUUGUCGAAAAUUCUUGUGUGGUUCGUGUUCCAUAUGAAACGAUGUUAUAUUUGACGAGUGAGUGACACAUGUGAGUGGGAUUAGCUAAUUCUUAAUGGUUGCUUGGUUAUCUUUAGUUAACUGUUUAAGUGUCAAAAUAGUGUUCACAUAGUCAGUUACUGAUCAAGAUUCAUGGUUAAUCAUCUUUGGAUGUAAAUCAAAUAACGAAGAAAAUCAUUUUUUAGUAGAGUUAUUUUGUUUUCGACCCUCAGAUAUAAAUCUAAUGAUGAUUAACCAUUAAUCUUUUAGUCAAUAACUUACUAGUUAGAUGAACAUAGCUAAACAGUUCGAAACGAUAAAACAAUAACAUGCGACUGUACACGCUGAUCUUAAAGGGUAGCUCCGCGCACAGUCGCUUUACUCAUCUCCUCUCCCCAUCAGAACAAUAUUACAAUCCCUCUCAAAGCUUCAUAAUACCGUUUCUGUAUGUGACAUUUUCCUGCAUCACUUAGUGUCACAAAUCUCAUUCAUUACUUUAAGGAAUGUAUUCUCAAUCAAUAAGGGCGGUACGGUCACCAAGUUGUGUUACGUACAUUGAGACUCAGACCCAACUUUAGUCCCCGGCCAGCUGCGCCUUGUGAUAAGCAAAGCAUGGGAAUAAAGAAAAACCCUAAAUUUGGAGUAUUGGACCACAUUUCUUCCAAUACUUAUUUGAUAAUUUACAAUACAUCUCAUCAGCUUCGUCAUUGUAAAAUGUAACCAUUCUCUAAUUGCUACUUUUUUUCUUUUUUUUUUGAGAACUCUCUAAUUGCUACUUGGCCUCCGCAAAACUAGCUAAAUCAAACACCAUGUUACUACUUCCCGCUAGUUCUACCAGCACCGUAAAAUAUUUAAUUACUACGUACCCUCAUCGGCGUAUUAAUUUACCUUGCUUCAUCAAUCACCAGAACUACUCUGCCUUCUUGGUCAGACUCACCGGCUGUUGUUGGUGAUGGAUUAGCUGUUGCUUCGGAACUAGCGCCACUGAUGUUACGACUGGUAGUUCUAGUUUUCUUCGAUGGUUGUUGAUGCUCCAGCAGUGAAUGCCGACAAUUCGGGCAUGAUGAGUGUGACACAAGCCAAGUGUCUAUGCACCUCACAUGGAAUCCGUGGUUACAUUUUGGCAGUACCCUAACCUUCUCGCCCUCCUCAAACUCUCCAAGACAGAUCGGACACUCGGUCGCCGGAAUAUGUGUCCCUUCGCCGUAAACGGCCACCGGUAACUGCCUCAAAUGACUCUUCUUGAGCCCUGUAGCCGCGAGUCGUGCCGCGGCCUGCUCCGGGGUCUCAAGAGCAAACCUGUGGCUGCAGCGGAGCGCGCACCGCACUAUUGAGUUCAAGCCAAGAGCGCAUAUAAGGGCACACAAGAGAGCCGCCAAGAUGAUCACCAUGUUUGUGUCGAAAUUCGUCUCGCUAACGUAGGAAUCGGCUGUCCGGUUGCCAUUGUUGUAAGGCAGCUCUGUGGCGUUGCCGAGGAGUCGGCGAUGCAUGAUUUGGUUUUUGCUGGCGGAAGAAAUGAAAAAUUAAAAAGAAACACAGAGGGUUUGUGGAAGGGUACAGAAAGGUUGUGAUUACUUGUAGCAGAUUUGAGUUACAAAGUUGUUGUGAAGAUUCCAGCUAGAAAGGGACAGGGAGAAGGAGCAUCUUGUUGGAGGGGGGAGUAGUAGCUAGUAGAAAUUAGGUUUACGCGAGUGGCUAUGCUAUCCGAAUCCGGGACCGAUUCCAGCUUCUUAAUCAGAGAUGGUCCUUCGAUCUAUCUCUUCCCUGAGCUCUGUAAUUUUUGGCUGUGAUUCAUCUUCGUCAGGAACCCAGAAGAGAAAAUGAUACCAGAGAUCUUCUUAUACUUAUCGGCAUAAGAAACGGUGACAUGCCCAGUUGAGCUUUCAGAGAGAGAGAGAGAAGGAAAGGAUUAGCUUAGGUAAUACAUGUGCAGCAGUUGUAGUGUUUUAAGGGGUCAAGUGAUGUGAGGAGCUAUCUAUCUAUAUUUAUGGAGGAUCCAAAUGCUAAAGUUGGAUAAAGGUGUUAUUUUUUGGAUACCUAAUCAUGAUUAAGAAUUGGAAAAAAGUUCACAAACCUCAACUCAAAUUUUGUAUUAGAGUUUGGUGUUUCAGGUUUACAAUCAUCAAAAUUUUCUCUAUACCUCAAUAUUAUGCACUCAGUCUAAAGUGCAAUUAUUUUAGUCGAAGUUUGUAUUGAAUAAUGAUAGGGUGUGUAUGUGUUUAUUUACUUUUUAUUUUAUUUGUUUAUUUUUGAAGGGAACACACAAUACUUGAACUCUUGAAGCUUGAAGGAGACCAUGAAUAAGAGAAUUGGCGACCCAUCAUGCGAGAUAGGAAUGAACUUCCUUGCCUAGUCUGCUAAUCGUCUUGUUGGAAGAUGAUUAAGCAUAAUUUCUUUAAUCAACAACGUUUGCCCAAGUGAAUACUGUUCUUUACACCUGAAUAAAUAAAUCUUAGGCCGCUAACUCAUCGUCUCUUUUCUUGUUUGACCGUCAACUCCGGAUCUGCCAUGAGAAUCCCAACUCAGCAAGUUAGGAGUGUCAUCUUUGCCGUACCUAAUGCAUGAUUAAGAAUAUAAUAACCCACAAUUAGGGCUAAAGAUCGAAGCUUGACUCCAAGGUAAGCAGGUGUAGAUACAGACAAGCAAGUCAUAUGUGGUAUCAACCAAGUGACAAACUGUUCGAGUUGUUAUCUGUUCAAAGAAAAAGAGAUGCAGAAUCAAAAGGCAUAGUGGAGAGAUUUCGUUGCCAAUAUCCCAUUCGAUCGGUUUGUACGUUACUUUUGACAUCAUACGUACAGAUGGAUAAGUAUGAUCGAUGUUCUUAAGCUAGAAAAGCACAAAAGAAAACUAUAAUAAUCCCCCAGGAAAUAUCAUUUUGCCUGCAAAAGAUGAUGGUCACGCAUUUGAACUGAUUGAUCCAUGUUUAUCUAUUUGGUUCAUCUAUUCAAAGGUUGCAAACACUUUAACCUAACAAAAAUGGUCCGACUUGGCAUCGAUCUCCUAGUUUUUGCAAAUAUCUUGGUGCCUUUUCCCCCAAACUAAAGAGAUCUGUACUUGAAAAAUGGUGUCAUAAUUCGGGUUGAUGGGCAAGCAAUAUCCCCAUAGGUCCAUGGGAAUUGGAUUCUCUCUGCUUCGUUUCUAUUUUAGUGCGUGGUUUCCCACAGAAAUUAGUGCAACAAAUGGAUGUGAGUUUGAGUUUCUGAUAUAUAUCACAGUAUCUUUCCCUUUAUUAUGUUAUCAAUACAUGUUUAUUCAGAGUUGUCAUGUAUAUUGUAUGUUCUUAUCACUUGUUUCAUAUAUAUUACAACACCAAUCCAUUGCUGAAACUAAUCAACUGUUAAAAAGGACUAAUUAACUGAUUAUGAGUUCCUAAAAUUUCAUAUUUUUUUAGUACUGCACCAACCUAAUAAUUGGUGCUCAGGAGGCAUGUGAUAGAACAUAUACCAAACAGUUUUGGAUUGACAUUUGCUAUUGAUCCAAAUUUCGAGCCUUAAUUGGAGAACAAAUUAACCAAUUUUUUGUUUUUGCAUCUUGGUUUGUAGAAAAAUUGAAUAUUUCACUAUUUCAAACUUGGUGAAUAUGAACAAUGUUGAGCUUACAAGAGCUGCAUGGGACACAAAAUACUUCAGAAUUGAUCAUUCACACAUUUUUCAGACACUCAGCCAACAUUAUCAGUGUUGAAUUAGAUCUAAAUCAUGAUAGUGGAUUUAUGUUGAUGAUGUGAAUCAUAGUUUUAUAGUUCUAAUAGGAAUAUGAGUAUCUCAGUUGUUUGUAAUAGGGAAUUGUAGUUGUGGUAGGUUUACUUUUCCUAGUAGGUUUAUGUAUGGUUAGGUUUUGUAUAUAUACACCUUCUCAUGUCAAUAAUAAGAUCAUCAGAUAUUAUUUCCAAAGCUUCGCAUGCUUCUUGUUUCUUUGCAGAGCUUCUUUAGUUUCAACUUGGUAUGAAAGUCUAGGAUCCGAUCUUGGAUUUUUGGGUCUCAUCCUUUCUAUUGCUCUUGCAAUUUCGUACGUUUAGGUUGUUUGUUUUCCAGUCAUGAUGAUCGAAUUAAACAAUCUAAACGUACGAAAUUGCAAGAGAAACAAUGAGACUUAAAAUUCAAGAUCAGAUCUGAGGCUCUGAUACCAAGUUGAACCAGAACCACAAGAUCUUGAAAACAAGAAGCUUUGAAAUAAUAUAUGAUGAUCUUAUUAGUUAUUAUUGAAUAAAUGAACUAUAAAACUAUGACUCGUAUCAACAAUAUAUUUAGACACAUUGAUGAGACUUUUUCAUAGUUUAAAACAUGAGAUCGUCCACGCUAAAAUGAAUAAACUUGAAACUUGAAAGUGAAAAUUUUGAUGGUGACCUCUAAAACGAAAGUUAUGGAGGAGCGUUUGUUUCAAGCAUUCGAAUUUGUUUCUGCACGGUCUCGUAGACCUCGUAGAAGCUCUUGGUGUGAUCUCUGCCUUUGAUUGUCGUUGACUAGCUACCUGCAAGAGGAGAUUGACUGGGACUUUCCGGUCUUUCUCUCUCCGAUGAUUAAAUCAGUUACGAGGUUGGUAUAAUAUUUAAUGUUAGGAGAUUUUUUUACCUUUUUGGUUGACUUUAGCAUUGUACUUAUAGCCUCGCGUUGACUUAUAUUUUGUCUGCUAUGCGAUGUGGGACAUAUAUGCUACUGAGAUCUGUUUAUUUGGCCUUCUGUGGCGUGUCUCCUGCUCGGCCCAAACUGCUAUGACCUCCAGGAUGAGGUUUGCUCGGUCUACCUCAUGUUGGGCUUUCUGUAGCAUCAUAGACCAGGGCGGUAUUUAUCAACUACCGACUACAUAAUCUAAUUUCUUAACAUUAGAUUUAGCGAUUGAUUGCGAAGUCUUAACCGGGGAUGGGUGAGAUGACCACAGUAUAGUGUAGUAUUAAACCCUAUAUCAUGUGUCGGUUCCGUUGCUCUUGUUGUACAGUGUGUGUAGAUGAUAAUACGAAUAGGACUAGGAGUCUAGGAGUUUCUGUGUGGCCACAGAUAUCAAUAAUUCAGUUCAAAGUAUGUACGUUUUCUGGGUUUAGUGAAGACGACACAUGGAACUAGGAAGCGAACAUGGAACCUGGGUCCGACGUUCCUUCAUGAAUCAUGAAUUAUGGGGACACAUUUCAUCGGUCUCAGCUCGUCGACGCUGGUGGUGGUAGACCCUCCGGAAGUGAUGUAUGUAUGCCUAAUUGCCUAUAUAUAAGUCGCACUCGUAAUAAGGUCAUUAGAUUUGGAGGUGGGCAUUUUUGAUGCGUGAGAUGUGAACUACUACAUUACCCGACGAUGGAUCUCAUUGAUCAUGUUGGUUGGGUUAGGUGGGAAAGAAAAGAUUCAAGAAUGAAAAAAUCAGUUGGCAGUUGAAACAACUAAAGCUCCGGCCAAACCAAAAUCAGGUCCACCACCACCACUGCUCCCCAGCCGCUCCGGCGGUUGGGUCAUGGUUUAGUUAGAUUGCUGCUGCUGCUACCUGUUACGACGCUACCUGAGGCCCUGAGCCCCCUCAUGUCACUGGCUGUUCCAUAUUUGGUAAUGAACUCCAUCCUCACUAUUGUUAAUUCGUCAUAUAUAAGGUGCCUUCUAUCGAAUAAAGUUUUUUCUAUUGUUGCCAUGUAUAUAUAUAUAUAUAUUAUUUUUUUUUUUUUUAAACCUGUAUAUAUUGAGGUUGUUGAAGAUACACUUGAUAUAAACUAGGCACCACUUAAACAAGCGGAGUCCAUCACCAAAGAGAUUGCAACCCUAGCAAGUUCACAUUAACCCAACGCAAAUGGUGUUACUUACGAGUCUUUAUUGUUUUACAUUUAUAACGAAACGUGUGAUGGUUUCUCUCUCAUUUUGGCAUUUUAAAAAAUGUUUAUUUAAAAGUCCGAAGACAAGAUUCAUUUUAUAGUAUGAUUAGUAUCAUCAAGUACUGUAGGUUGGGGCACGUACAUAUGAUGAACAUUUGUUAAACAGGAAUGAUGUAAUUAUUGUUUGUAUAUAUAAUUGUUUGUUGAAAUGGCAUCAUCUGAUGAACAUGCAUAUUGAUCGACAAUUCGACAUGAAUGCUAGUAUUACGACGUACGUCCUCGCGCGAUCACUUUGUGACGGUCAGUCCUAGCUCUACAAAUCUGAAGGGAUAAUGGUAAGGUUAUACAACCGCCUGCCUUAUUCUUUUUUUCUUUUCUUUCUUGAUUUUCUGGGCAAGUCUGGCCAGUUUCAUCUAGAUCCAUCGGGACUGGAUAUGUCUUGAUCUGGAAGCUAGUUUCAUUUAGGUAGUCGUACUCUUUGUUCACGUUAAGGUCAAUUGACAGCCAUAUCUGAAUUGCUUGCCCUAGAUCCUUUUCUCCUUCCUAACAGUUACAGUGGAUCAGACCCAUACGUACAUAAAUUAAUACAAACAGAAAUGAUUGAAAUUCUUUUUUUAUCCUCGAACUAUAGAUUUUCUGCUAUUGAUCUAUGCAAAACCUACAUGAAUGGGUCACCAACAUAUGUAACAACUAAGUGCUUGCCAUGUAUAAUCGCCUGCGUUCGAAUUCAUUGCUGAUUAAUUUUGUUAUAGAAAAACGUGUAUAUUGCGCUCCCUUCUUAGAUCAAGUUCAAUCUCUUUGCCAUCUUGGGUCAGUUUGGUUUAAUAGGCGCGCACCUAUUUCUUGUGCCAAUCAAGUAGUAAAUCGGGAGUAAUGUCAAGCAAAAAUAUGUACAGAGUCCAUGAAUAAUUACUUAUUAGAUAUAGGGAAAGUGGGUUGAUUUAACAUAGGCCAAAUCCAACCUCACUCUUGAAGUAAAAACAUGAAAGCUAGCUACAACAAAGUAGCUCGAUGAUAAAGAACACAACGUACAAUACUAGCUAUAGAAGGAUGCAGUAAUCUACCGAAGCCAUCACCAGCGCAUCGAUCAGGUACGUACUAAACCACCACCUUAUUCUUAUGUCACAAUAUAUAAGAUCCUGUAGAGGAAGUCAAGCAUCGCGUGGUGAGCUUCAUCAGCAACCUAGCUAGCCAGCUCUCACUUGAUGCUGCAACAAAAAAAUCACAAACAUUAGGUCAGAAGUCACUGCAUAUAUUUGAAAAUGUGUGAUGUAUAGUUUUUCGAGUAACAUGUAACAAGACGCUCAUGUAUACCUUUUGCAGUCAGUAGAAGGGUUGAUCUUGUAGGGAAUGUUGACACCACACUUGCCAGGAAGGCCUGCAGCAAGACCGGCGUUAGCUCCGGUGUAGGGAAUCCCAGCGAUUGCUUGUUUCAAACAGUUGCACACGCUCUGGCGGUCAGGGGUGGUUUGAGCCAUGCCAUAGAGGGCCCUGAUCCCGCCGCAGCAAUUCGCCGCGGGAGUCCCACCGUUUUGGACGUAGGAAACACAAGGCAUCAGCUUGUUCACCACCUGACCGCACGUAAGGGCUGCUUCGGCACCACCAAUCGAUAGUGCUGCCGCCAUGGACAGCACCACCAAGAACACCACCUUUUGAACUCCAGAGAACGCCAUUCCUAUGUCGUAGAGAUAAUAUGCUUCAAAAUACUAGAACUUACUCAAGUGUGUAGAGAGUAGAAGCUAGCCAGUGAAGUAGUGUGAGUUGAAUGGUCUAAGGAAUGCUGUAUAUAUAGAAUAUCUUACUCAGUGUAUUCAUGGUGAUGGGUAAAUCGGUAGUUGGCGGAAUUGAAAUCUUCAGAUGAGAUUGGUUGAGCAUUAUAAAUGCUAAUAGCUAGAACUGGUAUACUUGGAUUCAUAGAUAUAUAUAUAUAUAUAUAUAUAUAUAUAUAUAUUUGUUGAUANNNNNNNNNNNNNNNNNNNNNNNNNNNNNNNNNNNNNNNNNNNNNNNNNNNNNNNNNNNNNNNNNNNNNNNNNNNNNNNNNNNNNNNNNNNNNNNNNNNNNNNNNNNNNNNNNNNNNNNNNNNNNNNNNNNNNNNNNNNNNNNNNNNNNNNNNNNNNNNNNNNNNNNNNNNNNNNNNNNNNNNNNNNNNNNNNNNNNNNNNNNNNNNNNNNNNNNNNNNNNNNNNNNNNNNNNNNNNNNNNNNNNNNNNNNNNNNNNNNNNNNNNNNNNNNCGCCACUAUCCGGGAUUCCCGCAAGCCUACGGCACACUUUGUUUCUAGAUCACGAUUAUGAUUUAUGUGCGUGCAAAGGUUGAUUAGGGUUAACUACUUCAUUAAGAUUUAACCACCUUCUGGCUACGGCACCGCAAAUUAUUAUGUGUACAAUAACUUCGGUAAAUCAUGUCGAUCUGGGAUGACGAAUUAUCAUAUUUUAUAUGUGGUGAGUUUAAUGUGGAAUGAUUAAUUUGAUUGAGCAAACAGUAAUUCAGUUACUUAUGGGCCACGUGGUGUUCCCAGUAAAGGGAAUACUUACUAUAAGUGAACCCAAUUUGUUUCGAAGACAUGAAUCAAUGAAUACAAUCUGAAUAAAAUUUGGAUAUACACAAAUUUUUGAGAAUACAAAUCCCACAAGUGAAUAUGGUAUAUCACAUUAUAUUAAUUAGGUCAGCUUCAUCUUUCAUCACUUGAUUUUAGUUAAGCUCACAUAUAUUUCUUCAUCUAUACCUGACGAGUCAUUUGUUGAGUUUGUCCAGAUCACAAUUUAGGCCUUCUGUGGUUUGCAACUUUGCACUUAAUCCAUCUUGUACGUACAUGCUAAGUCACAUUUUAGCUAAGUGCAUGAUUAACCAAAUUUGAAACUAGAUUAACAUCUUUUGAUUACCUUUUGGCCACACCCAUUUUGCCAUGAUGUGAUCAGCUCCUCACAUAUAUAUACUACGUUGCAUACGUUGCUUGGUAUAUUAUGUAAGGUAGACCGAAGUUGAACACACAUAAGUUCAAAUAUAACCACAAGUACUAAACUAUAUGACUUUUUGUAUGUUAGUUUAUUUUGGUUCAUCUCCGAGUUCAGCACCUUCAGGAUAUAUUUAGAAAUUGUUACUACAAAUAUGUCUUCUUAUAAUUGAAAGAUAAAACACAGAUCUUGUGGAGAGACUUGUUCUAACAACCAUAAGACAUAAACCAAAGCUACUCGAUCUUCAUGCUAAGGACGUACUUCACAAACUUCCAUUUUAUUCGAUCUACUGCACACUUGAUGAGAUUUCAAGUACUUCAAUGGAUCCUGCAUGCAUCAGAAUACACAAUGAAAAACAAAACAUCGAAUUAGCUCAAUUAGGACAUUUGUGUUCAUAAUGAAAAUAGACAAUACGUUGUUUCUAGUUACGUACGUGUUACAAUCGGUGUCCGGCUUAAUUAUGUAAGGAAGCCUUACACCACACCGGAUUGGGAGACCAGCCACGAGGUUAAGCUUGAGUCCACCAGUGCCUCGAACAGCAGCAACCAAGCACCAGCAAACGGACUGGCGAUCGCCGGAGGUCUUAGCCGAGUUGCUAAGGUACCUGACUCCAUUGCAACACGGUACGGUGGAGGGACAUUGAAGGUCCUGGGGGGGGGGGAAUAGGCAUUUAUUACUUUUUCGUUCAAUUCCAUUCACAAGGAUAGUAAACAUUUAGCUAUCCUGAUAACAGGGAGAUGUAGUAAUAAAUAAAAGAACAAGUACUGGAAAGUAAAAGAAAUAACACCAGUACGUUUUUUAUUCGCAGAAACUCUGCACCAUGGAGAAAAACUGCGUGCCCCUAACUUUUGAGGGACAAACCUUUCCACUACCACUAUGUAAAACUCACUUCUUACAAGAUUAUAGUCUAGGGAUACAACGACGAUUUGCAAUCCUGCCUAGUCUACCCACUAGUCUAGAUCUAUCUCUCCUGUCUCUGAGUGACUCACCUCACUCCUCACAAGAUUAUAGUCUAGGUAUACAACAACUACUUGCUAUCCUGCCUAGUCUACCUACUAGUCUAGACCUACCUCUCUUGUCUCUCAAGUGUUUACAUAUGAAUGUAUUAGAAGAAGUUUCAACUCAGAACUCAGCUAACGCCUUUAACUGAUUUUUCUUGAACACUUCUCAGAAUACUCAACUCAGAACUCAGCUAUCCUAAUGAGAGGGAUUCUUCAGACUUCAGCUAACACCUUUAACUGACUCUCUAGAACUCAGCUCUCCUCGAUCAACUGAUCCUUCUUGAGUACUUCUGGGGUUGCUGCACUACCAUCACUCAUGAUAUGCAGAAUGCUAAUGGGUUUAUGAAAAGAGUUUUUGCUUUUGCUCUUGCUCUAAGAUUUACAAUCACCAAGGGAAGACUUAGAGGCAAAUGAGCAAUGCAAGGUAAAACCUAGACCCAGCUAAAACAAUGUAGAAAACUACAUUUUGAACAACCAAGGAGCAAGAAGAGACUUGCUCCAUAUAUAUAGGCAAAGUGCAAGCUAAAGGAGAGCAUGCCCGUUUACCAAAAUGGGAGGCAACUUUUGGACUUUAGUCCUUGUCCAAACUCAUAAAGUGAGAGGGCCAAGGGAUAAACAAAAGGCUCCAAGAGAGUAAAGACAAACACAACUCUCUUAUAUGAUAAUGGUCCAAUAAGAAAGAAACAAAAGGUUUUGUGAAUGAAGGAGACACAACAAAACCUAUUCUUAUACGAGGACACAUAGGCCAGCUGAUAGCUUGGGCAGUGCAUCACAUGGCUCAGCAACUGACUUGGUUUGAGUAUCACAAAACCUAGCUGGACUCAAAAAGGAGCUGACCUAAAAGUGUUUUAGUCAUGUGCUCAUGGGUUGGAAGAACAACACAACCCUAGACUAACUUGGAGCUCAAGCACGAUGAAAAAUGUUUUGCUAAAAGAGAUUUGAAAUUCAAAUAAUGAAAAGCUGAAGCAAAACCAUUUAAAUCUGCACGAAGUCAGACUCAGAGAUUAGGAUAGAUACAACAAGGGUAUCCACCAAAUCUGGAUGGCAAGCAGAGCUGCCAUCCUGAAUGAAUGUGAUGCACAUGCAUGAACUACCUGAUGUACAUGAGAUAAAAACAAAGAGCCAGCUAAUAUAUUAGUUUGUGUAUCACAAACCUAGCUGGAGCCUCUAAGCUCUAGUCAUGUGGUCACGGGUUGGAAACACUACACAACCCUAGACUGACUUGAAGCACCAAGGCAACGACAAAUGUAUUGCUAAAGGGGAUUUGAAUUCAAACAGGGGAAUUCAAACUAAUGAUACACAAAUACCAAAAGCAUUUAGACAUGUAUACAUAUAGACCCAAUAGAUUAGGACAGAUACACCAAGAGAUAUCAUCUGAUCUAGGAGGACAAGCAAAGCUGCCAUUCUCAGUGAAAAACAUGAGAUGCAUAUGCAUAAACUACCUGAUGUACAUGAGAUAUUGGCAGAUCUUCAUUCUUCACUUGUGAUAUCCUUACCAUCAGGAUAUGUAGAAUUCUCAGUGAAAAGCAUCAGAUGCAUAUGCACCAGUUACCUAGGACACAUGUGAUAUUGUCAAGUCUUCAUUCUUCACUUGUGAUAUCCUUACCAUCAGGAUAUAUAAAAUAGCUUGUGUCCUGUAUUUUGAUCAUAAAAGGGAUAGCCAACAAUCUUUAUACCAACAGACAUUUCCACCGUUCUGCAGGUAAACUAUGCAUGGUCUCACGCUUUGUGAUACCUGACCACAUGUGACGGUGUGGGCCGGUACCGGUGCACGAGCAACCACCAGGCACAUGAGGACCACGAAGGCCAACCUAGAACUUGUCAUGGAUGUGUCGGUAGGGAAGGCCGGACCUAGCUAGUUUAUACUGUUUCUGGAUUUAUGCCUAACUUGUGAUACUGGUAUGCCAUGUCGAACAUUUGGUACUGGUGGUUUCAUAAAUGAAAAUGUUAAAACGUGGGAAUGUGAAAGAGUGACACGAAAUAGGAUUGUAUCAGUUGGGAGCUAGCUAACUCGGCGCUAUAGAUUGAAUUCUGUUAAUUAUACUUGUUGUUUAGCACCUUAGGUAAUAUAGAUGACUAGAAAUGUUUGUCUCCACCGUCUGUAUUUUUUCACAGAACAAUUGAAUCUGAUUAUAUGUCCUUAAGGUGUGAGAUUGAAUCUGAUUUUAGUUUGAGUUACAACUUACAACUGAGAUCGAGUUAAACUUUAAAAAACAAUGGAUAAAAUUAAGUUUGAGACUUUGAGGUGAGAUAUAAUUGAGUCAGAUAACACAUUGUUUUUUAACAAACUACUGUUUAAUUUUAAUUACGAUUGUUACUACAACAAAGUAUAAUGAAAAUCCCAUUCUUGAUUAUAGCCUAUGAAUUACAAGUGAGAUUGAGUUAUACUAUGAUUUGAGGUACUAGCUAGCUGGAAGACAAAACGAGUACACAUUUUAAAAGCUUUUUGUUGAUCGACUGCUUAAAGCCAUUCAUUAUCUCAAACACAAAGUGCAACUGGAACGAGAUGGAAAGCUAGCUUGUCUGAAGUCUAAGCAAAGAAAUAAAGCAGAGAGCCUAAUCCAAAUUUCAAAUUUGUAGUAUUAUAAAUAAACGAGUACAUUACAUGGAUCAUAACUUCAGAAGUUCAUAACCUAGUAGAUUAUGGAGUAACUUUUGGUAAUACUAUCACUGUGGACGUGAUCACCCACACUUUAUUUAACGCUCGAUACUAUCACUUCAAGGGAAGUUUACUUUCCAUCGAUUUAGCUCUUCACUUCACGCUGCAUCACCAAAAGAAGAAAACCAUGAAAUUAGCUCCGGUGUUCCGUUUGAGAAAAACACGUACAACAUAAAAACUAAAAGCAAUUGCCAAUUCGAUCGAGAAGAAUAUGAUCGAGUGUACUUACGCAGCGCAGUUGGUGGAGGUGCUGAUCUUGUACGGAACGCUAACCCCACACUUGCCUGGAAGCCCAGCUGCAAGGCUAGGGUUGAGUCCUUUGAUGGCACCGGAGGCCUGUUUGAGGCAAUUGCAGGUGGCCUGGCGGUCAGCAGUGGUCUUAGCCGCGCUGUUAAGGGAUCUAAUUCCGUUGCAGCAAGCGGCAGGGACAGCGCCGCCACUCUUCACGUAGUUUACGCAAGGUGAAAUGCUACUCGCUACUUGGCCGCAGGUGAUGGCUUGGGCUAUGGGCAAAGCAACAACAAUGCACAAGAGAGCGACCAAAGAAAGCUUCAUAGCAGUAGAGCUAGCCAUAUUGCAGUCUUAGCUAGGAUGAUGAGCUUGGAAUAUAUGGGUAUGUAAUGACUUGUUUUUGAGAGCUCGAGUGAGUAGUGAAGGUAACCCGGAUGGGGAUUAUAUAGGGAAGGGGAUGGGGUGAGUCUCUAACUAAGUUUCCUUACUCCUUGGGUCGAUCACAUCAAUAUCAUCACUUAAUAGUUAUUAGUUUUGUUGAUGAAAAUGCCACAUGUUUUAAUUUUAAACCAUUAGAAACUUCUGGACCACGUACAAGUUCAAUUUCAGUGUUAGAGUUAUAUGACUUUCAGCAUUUUUUUUUGUUAGAAACUGGUAAAAAUAGUAUCUAAAUUACGUUUGCAUGCACUAUAACUUGUUAUCUUCUUCUUCUUUCUUCUUCUUCUUCAUGAAAUUGAAAAUACUUUCUCCAACAUAGAAAAUGAAUUCUCUUUCUGUUAGGAAUAACGAGAAUAAUUGUAAGCAGAGAAUGCAUUUUCCUUCAUCAAUAGUGAAACAUCGAACAAUAAGGUUAGUGUGAUAUAUCUAUCAAAUUAUAAAUGUCAUUACUCAAAGUGUGUACGUGUAGGAGGAGUUGGGAGGUAGUUAGGUGGCAGUUGUGCUCGAUUUAAUGCUUUGGUACUGUAUAACUUUGGUUUUUAGAUAUAGUUGAGCACGUCCCUUCACAAUAAAAUGGCAAUAUAUAUGAUAUCCUAUUGAAGGAACAACCUCGAUCGUUAUAUUUCAACCCCCUUCUUGAAAAAUAUACACAUAUGCAAACCGACUAAAUAAUUUCAACUAAUGGACAAAUUAAUUGAAGAAGUAUGAACUUUGAACUACUGAAAAUCUACUACUUGUUGGAGACAACUAAGAGCAACCAAAUAGAAGGUCGAUAAGGAUUCGUUAUAGAAAAUAUGUAAACGGAAUAAAAAAUUAUGCAACCAUCUAUCUUAACAUAUAUAUAUAUAUAUAUAUAUAUAUAGGAUUUUUCUCAGCUACAAACGUCUGCACCAAUGGUUUUGGUGCGGAUUUUCAUUUUUGCACCACUUUUCAAUCGAAUUUCCUCAUCUCCACCGUCUACUAUCUAGAUAAUAUUGUGUAGAUCAUCUCUGCAAAAUUUCAGCCAAUUUAAUAAUCGUUAAGGCCCUCAAAAUUGUGUCUUUAUGUUAUAAACAUGAACGGUUCAUGUUUGACAGAAUUCAGUCCGUCUAUUUGUUUUUCGAGUUUGAGGGCCUUAACGAUUACCAAAUUGGUUGAAAUUUUACAAAGAUGAUCUAAACAAUAUUAUCUAGAUAAUAGACGGUGGAGAUGAGGAAAUUCGAUCGAAAAGUGGUGCAAAAAUGAAAAUCCGCACCAAAACCAUUGGUGCGGACGUUUGUAGCCAAGAAGCCCUGUGUGUGUAUAUAUAUAUAUAUAGGCCGGAUAUGAAGCGGACGUCCGCACCGGCCUUAAAGUGCGGACGUCUGUCCGUUCUCCACCCUCCGACGCCGGCGACGACGUGCCUCCACCACAAAAGACUCCAGCAGCGUCCCCGACCACUUUCCCUCCCCGGCGAGUCCGUUCUUUUCUAGUUUUCUAGCGAGAUCACCCAAAACUUCAAACAAAGUCGAUCUCGCCGGAAAACUGAAAAAAACGGACUCGCCGGGGAGGGAAAGUGGUCGAGGACACUGCUGAAGUCUUCUGGAGUGGAGGUGCGCUGUCGCCGGUGCCGGAGGGUGGAGAACAGACGGACGUCCGCACUUUAAGCCGAGUGCGGAUGUCCGCUUCUCAUCCUCUAUAUAUAUAAACAUUCGACAAUUAACUACGAUUUCUAAUCAGUGACAGACUCAAAGAUUAAAGUUGGGGUGUCACUAUAUGUUAUUAAGUAUUAACCUAAGCAUGAACUCAUUUGAAUCAACUUACAAAGAGACAUAUAUACAAGCCAAAUUGUGGGGUGUCAUGGCCCCUUUUGGUCUUCAAAUAGCUCUGCCAAUACUUCUGAUUCAAAUUACUGUAUCAUAACUGAACUUUGCAACGGACAACAUAACACAUAAUCGAGUAGCAGACAAUUGUAAGCGAGCAACAAUGACUUAUGGAUUUAUGGGAAGCAGAUCUGUUGAUUCGUAACCGAAGAAGAAAUUUCUUGGGUUUGUUGUUACAAUUUGGGGGAAGUAAAUGAAUUGGGGAACAAAAUUAAUUUUGGAUGAGAUGAUCAGAAUAAUCAGACCGAUGCUAAAGAAUGUUGUAAAUAUUAUAAUAUAUGUGGAUGUCCUUGUAAAUACUCAUUAGUUAUGUCCUUAAGAUGUAAAUCAUACUCCUAUAUAAAGGAGCCUAAUGAGAAUGAAAGUGACACUUCUUCCUCCUCCUACAUUUUGUUCUUCUCUUUUUUCUCUAUCUCAUUCUUAGUUUAUAACACGUUAUCAGCACGAUUUCGCUCAUUUGUUCCAUAAACUCCAUAACGAUCUAUGAGAUAUUGGUGCAACUUUUGUUGCUUAUUAUCCAUACUCACGAUCUAUGAGUUCACUUCUAUUUUGAUUAUAUCUUGUCUACAUAUAUACUUUGUUUAUAUUACUUAAUUCUAUGUUUACAAUUGCUUAUAUUAGUGAGCCUGAAGUUUCGUUAAUAAUUCUCAAAUAUGGAAUUUUUGAGAUUAUGAACCUGAAGUUCAAAUAUUAUAGUAGACUUGCAAUUCUAAUUGUUUGCAUAAACCUGAAGUUUUGUGCAUGUACAUGUGAUCCAUUGUUCACAAAAUUCGAACCUGAAGUUUCGAUAUUGAUAUUACUUUCAUAUGAACAUGAAGUUUUAAACAACAUAAUUAGAUCCAUGAUGAUCGAUGUGGUCUUGAAAAAGAGUCUGAAGGACAUGUAUCUAACGGUGAGAUAUCCGCUUGAGUUUUGCCAAACAUCGGUUGAUCAGUUACCAAGAGCAUGAUAUGAAUGGAUGCUUUUGCGCCUUCUAAUAUGGAUCAUGAUAUGGCUAUAGUUAUGGCUUAACCAUUUUCGGCCCAUUGACGCAUGUCCUAUAAUUUAGUGGCAAUUUACAAAGCCCUUUUUGAAUGGCAAUAAGACCAAAAUUAAUCAUAUUAAUCAGUCUCUUGAGAAAUCUGAGCCAUGAGUGGAUGUCACUUCACCUAAGUUGACAAUGUUUUUGUGGCUAUAUUGAAAUGUUAAAGACAUGAUCAAUGGGGGUGUUCUUAACACCGAUUAAUAUUAAGCCUAUCAUAAUGGAAUUUUGGACACCGAGUUAUUGUGAUUGAUAUGAGUGCCUUCAAUUAAGGUUAUUAUACGAGUGCAUAUGGUUAAUUUUCUUCCCAAUAAGUGCACAUAAAUAUUUUUCAGGUCAUUAAUCUAGCAAUCAAAUGUCAUUGUUCACAAUUAUAUGCACCAUUUACAAGCAUUUAUAUAUACCAAAUUUCAGUUAUUAAUAACAUGGAAAUUCAUCGGUUUCUUUAUGCGGUUUUUCCCAUUAACAGCCCAAAACAUCAUCAUUCUUAGGUUUUGAAUUAUAUGUAUAUUAAUUACAUUUUAUUGGUUUCAUUACCUAGCCUGGAUGGAUGUUUCCAUAAUAAGUAGUAGUUUUGGAAUUUUAUGACCAUUGAUAACCUCUAUUUAUUGUUUUAUCAAUUCAGGUCUAGUAAUUGGUUUUUUACAGCCUUUUUGUUGUGGUAUUAGUCUUUCAUGAAACUUAUUGUUUUCAUAAUAUCAGAUUUAUUAAAGGGACUAAGGUAUGUAUUUUCCCAUUUCAUUAUUUGCAUGAAUUUAAUCUAUUCAUUUCACGACAUUCUUCGUUUUAUGAAUUCCGAGAGAAUUACAGUGAACUCCAUAAUUGAAACUUGAAGCCUCUUUAUCCAACUACAGAGGGCCUGAAGUUCCUCACGAGUAUUUUAUGAAUUCCGAGAGAAUUACAGUGAACUCCAUAAUUGAGACAUGAAGCCUCUUUAUCUAACUAUAGAGGGCCUGAAGUUCCUCUCGAGUAAUAUGAUAAAUGGGGAGAUGUAGGGUAUCAUAGUAACACUAUGGACAUAAAUGAAGGACAUAAAAGGUGUUCUCCAGUGACCAUGUUUCUCGGUCCUUUGUAGGCCGAGACUUCCUCGCUUUAUACUUGAGUGGAAAGAUUAAAGGUUAUGAUAGAAAAAGGGCACAUAUAUUGUUUUCUUUCCUCUGCCGGUUGCAUCUUUUGUGAUGUUGUCCAGAGUAUCUGACCAUUGGCAAGAUGUUUUUGCUAGAAAUCUGACUACCGGCAGUUUUUUUUCUGAUCACUCAUCUUAUUGAAAGAUGGUCCUUAUGCAUAUUUAUGAGAAUUGGAGGAAACACGUAGCUAUUUAAGCUCUGCAUGUACCCAUUGCAAAUACACUCAUUGUGCAUGUCAUGAGAAUAUGACUAAUUCGGCCCACAUAUAUUAAAGAAACAAUAUCAUGGUAUGAGAUUAUGAAAUUCAAGUAUGUUUUAUUUUUCUUAACCUUAUUCGGUUUUAUAAUUAAAAUUGAUCGAAACCUGGAGUUUCUUGAUCAAACUAUAUGAGGGCCUGAAGUUCUUUGAAAGUGAUAUUGUCAAAUUAUUGAAAUGAAGUUUCUCAAAACUUAUGUAAUCAACAAGGACCAGAAGCUCCUUAGAGCUAUACAAUAUGGUUUUCUUGUGAUCCACAAUUAUAUGAGAGCAUGAAGCUCCAAUUUAUUUUGAUACAAUGUUAUUGUGAAAUUAGAGGAGAGAAACAAGAUUAUCAUAUUCGUGAAGGUAACUAGACCAGAAGUUCUUGUACUUUUUCACCAAUAGAACUAUAUGUUUCCAUUCUCAGAUUUUACUUAUCCUUGUUCCUUACCAUUUUAGAGUUUGUUAAUUAUUUUCCUCUUCUAAAUUUUAUUGUUACUCAUACGGGCCAGCAACUUUAUAGCACGAACGUAUGAAUUUCAAAUGUCAUGUUUUUGAACCAGAAGUUCAAAUUACUGAAUUAUAGAACAUAAGAAUUCCAGAUAACGUGUAAAUUAAAAGCUCAAGCCCGAACCUGAGUAUGUAAAUUAAAUUAGUGAACUUGAAGUUUCAGUUCAGUUAUCUGGAACCUGAAGUUUCCGGCACCAAAUUUAUUUGAACUAGAAGUUCAACAUAUGAAAUCUGAGUACUUGAAGUUCUAACAUUAUAAAUUUGAACUUGAAGAUUCGAUUACACAUAUGAUUGAUGGCUCCGGAAUAGCACAUAAUAUCCCCUCUUUACAAGAAGUGGCUUCAAUAUGGUUCCAAAAUAUGUAUUGAGAUCCCACAUCGCCCGAAGGAGGGGAGAAGAUGUGUUGCAAACAUACCUCCCCAUAGUGAGACUAAUUUUGGGUUGGCAAUUCAAGCACAAAAUUGUAAAGCGAGCGAGAUCCAAAAUGGACAGUAUCUCGCUAUGUCGCCUAUUACGUGUGUUAAAUUCUAUAAUAUAUUGAGACACAUAAUGUCAUGAACCAGAAGUUCAUUGAACCAAAUUAAUUAUUUUGGCAUGACUAGUUAUAUCAUAUUUUACCUACAGUGUUGUUUGAAAUUAGUAACAACUUUUGAUGCCUGUUAGCUAACGCUACUCAUAGCAAAUUGUUUAUUUGCUGCAUAUUUUUUUGUUGGUUUGUCACUUUAAUGAGACACUUCUCUUGUUAUGAAAGGGAUAAAGAUUGUUCCUGAAGAACAACAUGAAUUAUUGUGGAAUAUUUACCUAUUGUCUCAUUUUGAGCUUGAGGAAUAUCACAGCUAGUGACUUAAUAAAAACUAUUGAUGACAAAAUUAUAUGCUAGCGGAAGAAGAUUUACUUGAGUAAAAUCUUUGAGACCAACCAUAUUAACAAAAAUAACAUUGCCCUGUUUGAUUUGUGGGAAGAAUGAGAAUCUAAGUGACAUGGUUCUUUUAACGUGAAUGUCAUUAAAAAUGUCCGAGUUCCUAAUAUGGCGGCUACAAUAUUACACAUACAAAAGUUAAAAGUACACUAUCAGAGGAUGAUAUCUUGGUGGUACAAUUAUACAUCAAUAUGGUUGAUACUCAUGAAUUUAAUAUUUUUUGACCUUAAACUUGGUUUGGGUUUGCCACCAGCCAAUAGACAUCUUUACUCGAAAGUAAGUGAUAUACAUUUAAAUGCAUUUUUAUGCAUGGUCAAAAUAAGACAGUGUUUCCGCCGUUAGGGGGAGAGAAAAGACUACUGUCAUUUGAAUAACGGCGUGAAUUUGGAGUGGAAUGUAUCCACUAGGUCUAAAAUUUUAAGCUCCUGAAAAUGGAAGAUUAUACAUGUCCUAUAAUGUUUUAUGAUAUUAUGAAUAUAGAUCCACAUUCGUUAGAUAUAAUUCAUUUAUGAGAGAUGUUUGUCGUAGAAGUGACAAUAUUUGCCCCAAAAGUGGCAUGGGUACCCAAUAUUAAUAAGCUCAUAAUAACUAAUGCAUGCAUAUAAGAAUGUGUGGGAUCUAUGAAUGAUGAUCAUCGAUGAAAAUUUACAUAUGGUAGUUACCAAAGACCGUUAAGGACUGUAUGAUGCAAUACCACGUUUCAUUAUGAAUGUCGACAAUGCAUAUUAUUGGCCAAAUUGGAUAGAGGCAAUUCCAAUGAACUGAAUAUAUAAAACGUGAUGAGAUAAUUAGACCUUUAACCCUACAUGAUUCAAAAGGGUAUUAAUCACAGUGAAAAUAAAUCACUAUAUAUGGCACAAUGUCUACAAGACACAUGGGGAUUACAAAUAUCUUUCCUUAUACGUGACAAUUUUAUGUAAGUACAAUGUUACAUAUAGUUAUUGACAAAAGACUUACUGCAGUUGUCAUCGUAUAUUAUAAAGAUCUUAAAAGACUUUGCUAAAAGCAAAACCCCAAAAGUACAACGUCAUCAUAAGCGUAUCGCGUAUCAAAUCCUUAAAUGAUUCAAGUACAUGAAUGAUUCAAACGUAAAUCGAUCCAUGAAUACUUGAGAGAGUCUAAAUAUGAGAUUGCUUAUCGCUUAAGGGAAAUGACGUAAUGUGCCUUAUACAUGCAAACACAACUCCCAUUAGUGAGACGUGUCUUGGGUUGGAACCCAAUAAGAAAGCCAUGAGGAGGAGGCCCAAAGGCGAGCAUAUCUAGUUAUGCUGGGCUGUUAAACUAAAGUUAACUCAUGCAAUCUAUAGUCUAAAACUAGCUCAUAUAUAUUUAUUCUGUUAUAGUUAACGUGAUCAAAAUUGCCUUAAUGAGUAUUAUGAUUGGACUACAAAACCGAAUUCGGAUUAUGUUGCUACAUAUUCUAACUUUCGCGAAGUUAUGAAUUGCUUAAAGCUUUUAAAGAGCAUAUACGAGAUGUAUCAAUCAAUAAACGAAGAUAUUGAUAUGAGUGGCUCGAUAUGCCAUGCUAAUCUUCCAAUGGUUUUGAACCAUACAUAGUAAUGUGUUGAUUAGUUUCUACUGCUUAGUUAUUACAUAAUGUAUGAAUUUGAACAUGUGAGGUUGUUUCUAACAUUAUAACAUGAGGUAAGACCUAUUAAAUUGUAUAGCUCUGUUGGUAUUGUCUUCACUUUGCAGGUAUGAAAAUCUUGUGAUGAGCCCCUGUAUGCAAAAUGAAUAAGAUCUCACUUCAGUGAUAGACAAAUCAAACUGCUAUUUAUUAUACAUGAAGCUUGCAACGAUCACGGGGAGAAUCUCAUUAGGGGGAGCAUCCAGAAGUAUGCUACCUAGGACAUAUGCGCGUUGCACUCUUUUUCUCCUUUGACCAGGGUUGUUUUUUCCCACAGGGUUUUUAUUACCUGACAAGGUUUUUAACAAGACAACACUAAGAUCGUCCAACAUCAGAUUAUUAAUGGACAUCCAAGGGGGAGUGUUGUAAAUAUUAUAAUAUAUGUGGAUGUCCUUGUAAAUACUCAUUAGUUAUGUCCUUAAGAUGUAAAUCAUACUCCUAUAUAAAAAAGCCUAAUAAGAAUGAAAGUGACACUUCUUCCUCCUCCUACAUUUUGUUCUUCUCUUUUCUCUCUAUCUCAUUCUUAGUUUAUAAAAAGAACAUAAUAAGUGAUGAAAAGUGCAAAAAAGGGAAAGUCAUCCAUGUUCGGGUUUUUGGGCCUAAUGAAUUUGAAGCCCGAGCUUAGACCGAGCAUUAAGCAAUUGGGUCGAGAUUGACUUGGACCAAAAAAUUUCACUCUAGGCCUGGCCCAUUUAGAGUUUUUCAGAUUCAUGCAGUUGUCCCUAGUUGUAAAAUGUGUUGUGAUAAAAUUAAGUUGGAAUUUUAGGCCCCUCAAUGCCUAUAUUGUAGAUAUAAUGGGAAGUAUUAUCACGGAACAGAGUAUUGAAGGCCCCACUAAAAUAUUAUCAUCCAUCAUCAAGUUAGGCAACUCAUAAUCCAUAUUCCUAUUAUAAAAAAAGGUCGCCUAUGGUACUUAAAUGUAUGUAACUCUUAGUAAAACUAUAUAUACCAAAAUUACAAUUUCAUUGAACCAAAAUUACAACAGAGUUACCAUAUUCAUUUUACAUAUUAAGUCAUUAAUAUUUAAAUAACCAAGUUACAACAAUUUGUUCAUAAACUUAUAAAAAUGUCACAUAUGGAGAAAUUAAUCAUCUCUGAUAAAAUUCUAAUUACCUAAAAGAUGAUUUUAUUUAUCACAACGAUAACAAAUUUGUUCAAACCUUCUAUCAUCUCGUGGGAGUAAUUAUGUUGUUGUCAUUUUUCUCCAAUGAUAUUUGAAAUGAUGAAAUCUUGAUGUACCCUAGUGAAAUGCUAUUGGCUCAUAACAUUUAUAUUCCAAUCACCUAUAGUCCUAUACCCGGCUUCAAAUCCUCUGUUUCCCUAUCUCCUAUCCCUGUAACCCUAUUAAAAUUUGACAUUUAGCACUUUUUGCUUAAUCCUUAACACCCCUUCUAACCUCUGUUAACCUUGUUAAACCCUCUCACUAACUUUAAUUCUAACCCAACUCUAACUCAUCUCUAAUUUGUAAUUAAAUAUAGGGUAGUGCUUGAGGGCCUUAAUAAGGCCUAAAAUUUAUGGUCUUAAUCCUAUGUGGCAUGUCAUGUCACAUAGACACAUCAUCAAUUUAUUAAAUCAUGACGUUUCAUUCUUAGAUAAAAAUACAAUCUUAACCCUAACAAUUAAUGGAUGCUACAUACUAAUAUGAAAUAUUUUCUUACCAUUUUAAUAUGGAUGCAUAUACCAAAUUUAAUUAAUUUAUUAAUAAUGACCAAGUUAAUUAAUAAUCAUACCAAAUUAGGCUUUUAUACCAUAAAUUAAUUUCGUAAAUUUAUUAAAAUUUCCUUCUAUCUUUGUGAAUCGAAAUUUAGUUCUAGAUAUCUAUAUUCCAUAUUCUAUAUCGAAUUUUAAAAAUAAAAUAAAAAAUAGAAAAAUCUCUAUCGAACUUCUUUUGGAUGAUUACAUAUAUAUAAACUUUAUUUUUGAUGAAUUAUAUAUAUAUGUAAAUUUUUUAUUCUGUACGAAAUUGUUUUUUCUUGGACAAAUUAUAUAUCCGUAUAUAUAUAUAUAUAUAUAUCAUAAGAAUUUGUGUUUUUUAAUAAGUAUAUUCUCAGAUUUAUAUGUAUUUUUACACUGUAUUUUAGUGUUCAAUUUAAACAUGAUAGUGAUGAAAAAGAAAAGAAAAAAAAUACUAGAAAUUAUAUAUUUUUUAAAUAUAAAAGAAAGACAAAAAAUCAAUUUUUUUUCCUCUUAAUAAAAAUUCAAAAUAAUUUAAAGUAAUUGGAUUUAUAAAGAUAAGAUUGUCUUUUUGCUUAAAAAAGAUAUGACAUAAUCUUUUUAAUUGAUGAUGUGUUUAGGUGACAUAGGAGAAAUUUUUCAGUGCUACGGGAGGACCACGUGGCAGUCUGACGUGGUCCUACUUUCCAAUCAAAUUUAGACAUGUAGAUUUUCUUCACGAAAAAUUAUUUCAGCUAUUUUGUCAAAGACCAUUUUAGGUUUUCUGUUUUUUUUUUAAUACUAAACCCUAAGCCCUAAACCCCAAACCCUAAACCCUAAACCCUAACCCUAAACUUUAAACCCUAUACCCUAGACCCUAGUUUAAACUUGCUAAAUACCCAUGAAUGUCAUUUCACAAAAAAUAGAAAAUAUUUGUUUAUAUUUUAGUUGUAAAAAAUCCACAUGUCUAAAAUUGAUUGGAACGUAGGACCACGUCAGACUGCCAUGUGGUCCUCCCGUAUCAUUUAAAAAUUUCUCGUGACAUAGCAUGCCACCUAAGAUUAAGGUUAUAAAUCUUAGGCCUUAUUAAGGCCAAUAAUCAUUUUCCUUAAAUAUAUUUAGCAAAAUCUAGGUGGUGAUGACCCUCUUCUUCUUUUUUCAUUGACAAAAAAAAAAAAGAACUCCCUCUUUCUUCUUUGUUUGAAACUCCUCUUUCAAGUACAACAAAACUAGUUUCAUUUGCAACUUAGAAUGACAUACCGAAGAAGCUUUCCAAAAGGGACAAAAGUACAUGAACAUUAGUAAGCUUCAAGACAUCUUUGUUUAAUCCUUGUAUUAAUUUGUAGAAGAAAACUAAUGUACAGAUAUCAGAGGGGCAUGCAAUUGGAUAUUAGACAACUACAAUAAAACAACCAUACAAAUGAAAAGCUUCAGAAACUAAUUAAUCGAGCAGAGAAGAGUCCAAUGGAGGCUUCAAGACCAAUCUGACUCCUGGGCUCCUACUUAACGAACUUCACAAGAAAAUCCAUCUUCUUCUUUCCAAUCUUCUUGAAGGUAUAAGGAUAGUUGGCAAUCCUUCUAUCCCACAAAACAUCUGAAGUUACUAUUCUCUACCAAGAAGAACAAGCUCUAAAGUCAUUAACUCCCUCAUGGUCUCAGGUACAUCAUGCAUAUGCAUGUCAUGUGUUUUUCACAGAGGAUAGCAGCUCUGCUUGCUAUGCUAUCUGGUUCUGAGUCCUUGGUUGUCUUUGAUUUCAAAGAUCCUGUUAGCAUAUUCUAAUAGGUAUGUGCUUGGCCUUUAAAACUGUUAUGUAACAACUGAGUUUUUUAAAAGCCUUGGUGCUCAAAUCAGUCAUGGGUUGAGAUCUUGUGUUGUGCCAACCCGUGACCAAAUGUUUUGCGGUCCAUGGCUCCAGUAAGCCAUAAUGAUGCCCAGACCAAAGGUAAGGCUGGAACUGUCUGUGUCCAGACCAGUUCUCAUUGGCUGAGUCGUGGUCCAUUGAUGGACUGAGUAAGAGGUUGUAUAACCUUAUUACUCCAUGUUUAAAUCAAACAUGUUUUAGGAAAGGUAUCAUUGUGUCCUUGAGUUGGCUCGUGACAACUGUGUUGGAUCUGCAACAUAUCACUUCUGUCCAAAACCUUUCUGAAGCAAGUUGGCAGCUUUGCUGGCGUCAUUCCUUUGAUGCCUGUCUGCCUAUAUAUUGUUAUAGCUUUGGCUAUGCUCGUUGGUUGUUGAAAUUUGCUGUAUUGCAUUUUCAUUAAUUGAGUAUAGUUUCAUGCUUGCAUUGUUCAUGCUGCUCUAAGUCUUCCCUGUGAUUAUAAAUCUUAGAGCUUGAACUAAAAACUCUUUUUAUAAACUCAUAUCAUGUUACAUACCAUGAGGGAUGUGUAGUGCAAUCAAUCCAAGAAGUGUUCACGGUUGAAUCAGCUAGCUGAAUUCACGAACAAGGCUUCUGAAAUCGUUUCCAGCUGUGGCUGCUUAGAAACAAGAGAGGAGAUAGGUCUAGACUAGUUUGGGACUAGAUAGGAUAACAUAGUGUUGUUGUAUCCCUGGAUCUGUUAUUCUUGUAAUAAGUCAGUUUUAUAUAGUGGAAAGGUUUGUCCGUCAAGAGAAAAGGGGCACGCAGUUUUUCUCCCUGCUACAGGGUUUCUGCGAGGAAAAAACAUCCAUGCGUUGAUUAUUUAUUUACUGCUAUUUACUUACUGCAAAUUCGUGUUCUGUACCCUAGGAUAGCACAAGUCAUUGCUAUCCUCUGAAACAGUAAACGAAAAUUUGAAAAAUGCCUAUUCACCCCCCCUCUAGGACCUUUACUUCUUCUGUAGGGUCUGAGCCAAAACUGAAACACAAGAAGCCUAUUCUGUGCUAGCCUCACCAGCUUUCCUUGAGCUCUUCACCGUUCUCUCAUACUCUUCAGGAACCAACAUCGCGAUAUCAGCUAUGAUAGUAUCUCUUCAGGAGUUUCAGACCAAGAAGAAGAGGGUUUUUUUUUGUUGAUGAAAAAAGAAGAAGAUUGACGUUUGAUAUUCACCACCAGAUUUUGCUAAAUAUAAUUAAAUUUUAGAUUAGAGAUGAGUUAGAGGUGGGUUAGAAUUAAAGUUGGUUAGAGGGUUUAAUAAGGUUAACAGGGGUUAGUGGGUGUUAAGCUGAGUAGGCAAAAAUUGCCAAAUGUCAAAUUUUAAUAGAAUUCAGGGAAGGAGUAGGAAAUUGGUGACAGGAUCCCCUAUACCCACCUCUCACCAACCACUUCUUUACCAAAACAUGUUCAAUUUAUAGCAGAAUGGUCUGCAAUAACUUUUGGCAUUGCUGCAGGUCUAAAAUGUUUUCUUCAAAUAUUAACAAUCUUUCAUAUAUUCAUGGAUCAUUCCUACACUCAAUCCCAUAUUUAGGACAAUCUUUAGGUAUAUUAUAUUUCAUCUGCUUAAUCACACCUAAUCGGUGAUAAACCAUUUCCGACUUGUGAGAUUGCGAGUUUAUUGGCAAUAAGCAAGAUUAUAAUCUUAUAUAGAGCUCAACAGUUCCUCGAUCUUUAUUUCCCCCCAAUUCUGCUCAAUAUGAAUGAUAGAGGGAGGGGCUGGAAGGUUGCAAGUGAUGAAGGAAGCAUAGGAGAAGAAAACGACAGAGCUCGGCAACAACAGUUUGAAAUUUAAGUACUAUUAUUAAUUUCUAAAUAGACGAGCUACAUAGAUUGUGACCUAGGAGAUGACAUACAGAACGAUAACUUAAGGAUUCCUUCAUGAGGAAUCCCAAGUGGAUCUCAUAAACACCCACAACUUUAUUCUCACGUUAAUAAUAAUAUGAUCUCUGCGGCCGAAAAAUGACUUCUCGUCAAGCUCUUCAUUUCACACUGCAACACAAAACCACACGAAGUUAGCUUUCAUCGACUUCAUCAUAUCAUAUUGACAAAAGCAAACAGAUAACUAAAACAAGAACAAAGUGAAAACAAUCGAUAUUCUGCAGCACAAUGCUUACUUGUUGCAGUUGGUGGAGGUGCUGAUCUUGUAGGGAACGUUGACACCACACUUGCCGGGAAGACCGGCGGCGAGGUUAGCGUUAAGUCCCUUGAUGCUUCCAGCUGCACUCUUCAGGCAAUUGCAAGUUUGCUUGCGGUCAGCGGUGGUCUUGGCCGCGCUGUUGAGGCUGCGAAUUCCGUUGCAGCAAGCGGCAGGGACAGCGCCACCACUCUUGACGUAGUUGAAGCAGGGUGCCACGUUUUGGGUCACUUGGCCGCAAGUGAUGGCUUGGGCGACGGGGACGGCUACCACAAUGCAAAUGAGAGCAACCAAAGCAAGCUUCAUCACUGCAGAGGCCAUAAUGGAGUAUCGAGAAGAUAAAGAAAUAUGUGUAGGAAUGGCUUUUGUGAUCACUAGAGUUGGGAGCUUGAGUGAGUUGGAAUGAUGCUAAGGGCUGGGUUUAUAUAGAGAGAAGUGGGUGAGUUUCACUAGCUUAAUUAACUCAUCGUGUGGGUGAAUAAUUCUGCAAAAAUUAAUUUUCUCGCCCCAUACCGAGUCACAUCAUGUAUAUGAUACCGCUUGUUCGUUUGUUAAAAAAACAAAUAUGUUUAACUGAGUCUGGGGUGAAACUCAGUAACAUUGCUAAGAUCUUUUCUCUUAUUAUAUAUGUAUAAUCUGCAUUCGAUCAAGUUCUCCCAUAUUUACUCAAUGACAAAUCACAAGUCUUCAAUGUCGUAAUAAAAAGAAAAUCUAUUGUUCGAUCAUAUGGAUAGGAUUCUCGAGGAAGUAACUAGCUAGCUUGUAAGAGUACUGAUACAGCUGAACUUUGUUUUAAGAACCAAUUCAACUAAGCAACUGCAUUUUAUUCCCUAUACAGUAUAUGAUAUAUCCAUGUUACACUAGGAGAAAAUUUGAGCUUGAUUAAUAGUGAUUUUAAUCGAACAAUUACAAAUCCUUAGAAUUGCUUGGUUGAACUUGUAAAAAAUGUCAAGUUCUUAAUUUAUAGAAAUACAUCUCUAAUACACUUAAGAAUUCCUUCAUUCACCACAGUACAUAAUGAAGUGGUUGUUUUACGUAUAAUUCAUAAGAUACUCGGUAAACUUUCAUCAAUUUAGUGUUAGAACACUUUUGGAAAUGUGAAGGCACGUAUAAGACUACUGAAAAUGACAAAUGCAAUUGCUCCAUAAUGAAGAAUGGUAUUUAAAUUCUCAAUCUCUAAUCAAACAUCAACUUUCACAUUUCAAUAUGAUUGGCUUUGUACUAGCUAUAUAUCAUUGCUCGAUAAAGAGGAGUGAUAGAAGUCAAAAUUGUACGCGUGUACAAGAUGGGAAGGAGUCAGUUGGCAGUUGUAUGCAAUUGAAUGCCUUCGUUGUAACCUCUAACCUCUAAUUGUAAGCGAUUACUCCUAAUUAAGGGGCAUUAAUAAUCUCAAUCAUACAGUUGGGAAGUACACACCUAAAUCCUGCGAGGCUGCAAAUCUUAAUUAUUCGAUCACUGGUUUAGGUCACCAAACUGCAAAUAUUAUAUUCUUAUUACAUUCAAAUAUUAUAUUCAAUACAAAAAAAAAAAAAAAAGGUCACCAAACUGCAAAUAUUAUAUUCUUAUUACACGGUAUAGGAAGUUACCGUUUUCAACACUCAACACUUUUACCUGUGAUAACUUGGUACGUAGGACGUAACAAUAGAAACUAUACAAAUUGUACCAUAUAUGUAUCGCUGGAACCAAUAAUCAUUUGCAUUUUUGUCAUAAAAAUGCAAAACGAGAAUUCCCCUAGAUCUAGAUCGAGUUCAGAUCUUACACAAGGCCAAAAGUAGUCGGUGAAGGAUUGAAAUCGGGGUCCAUUAGUAAUUUCAUUAUUCAUUUCGUUCCAAAAUUUCAUCAAUGUCGUCGUAUUAGAAGUUUGCAAUCCAAACACAACAUUUCGUAUCAAAUCUAGGUUUAAACGCACGUACUCAUUUUCAUUAAUGUCAAACAAUAUACAUUAACCCUUAAUAUGGGUUUUAGGUUAGCUAAAGAAGUUUGUGACAUCUCAAACUCAAAGACAAUGACCGGCACAAAAUUAGCAAGUCUUUGUCCAAACUUGUAAGCAUUGGCAAAUAGUUAGGUACAAUAAUUAAGAUUUUCGGUCCCAUGAAAUUAAAGAAUGAAAACUUGGUCUGCUUGAUCUGAUCAUCAUGCACGUUGCGAACCAGAAGUCUUUUGUCCAAAAUCAUGUAAAAUUGAGGCCGAAACUAGUGCGUAACAGAUUCCAUGGAACAUGUCACUCAAAGAGUAUGGAGCUGCAUGCCUUCCCUCUUUCAAGAUCAUCAUCAUCAUUUAUAUAUGAGAGGAGGAGGACUAAUCAAUUUUCUCAACGAUACAUACACAUAUUGGGUACACAAUAACUUCUUUGAUAGAGAUGACGGGAUCCUCUCAUAGAUUUGCCGUACGGUACACGAAUCCUUGUAGUACAAGCCCUUUAGAACAGGGAUCCAUGAUCUUCAUAUUUCAUCUGAUUUAUGAAUAAUUGAUUAACUAUUCAUGAUUUUAUCAGUGUGAGUUUUUCUUAUUCUUAGCAUACCUACGAUCGGGUACGUAAUGUUCAUUUACAUUUGAAGUUUUGAUCGAUACUAAUCCUAGCUAAUUUCAAAGAGAUAAAAUAAAAUGAUAACCAUAAGUUAAUCAGAUCGAAAUCAAUUUAUUUUCUCUCAUCAAAAUCUUAAUCAGAUCGAAAAGAUCCAUACGUCUUAGAUUGAUGAAGAAAAUACGUACUACUGUUUACCAUUAAAAUGUCGGCAUCUGCCGGCAUGGUGUAUGUACGUAGUGAUUGCAGUCCUAGCUUGCAUUAUUAUCUUUUGUAGUGACUAGAGAAUAAGAAAAAUAAAUAUUGAAUAGAAGAAAUUUAAAUUAGUAAUAGAAAGCAAGAGAAGGGAUUCUUCUGCCAGGAACAAAUUAAAGAUAAAAUUGAUAUUAUUAGAUGUGACCAAAAGUAGCAGGAGAUAAAUUUCCUGAAGAUAAUAAACAUACACCCGAAACUGGUAACAUGAAAAUAGAAGCAGAGUACUUUUAUAAACGACAGGUUUUGAAGCCUCCCAAUCGAUCCCUUAUUAUUUCUCAACUUAAGUAGCUACUAAUCCUAGCUUCAGAUCGAUCCUGCUCUUCUCCAUAUAUCAUCGACUCGAUCUUCAUUUCACGCUGCAAGACAUAUAUAAAACAAAGAUUAUUAGGAAGACGAGCAGCUAGGGUUAGCAGUCAUAUAUGAGUGUAAAAUUUCGAAUACGGGUACCUGUCGCAGUUGGUGUUGGUGCUGAUCUUGUAAGGAAUGUUGACAUUGCAGUAGGAAGGGAGCUUAGCGGCGUUGUCUGGGUUGAUGGUUUGAAAUUUGGCAGCAGCUGCUUUCAGGCACUUGCAAGCAUUCUGGCGGUCAACGGUGGACGUCGCCGAGUUGACCAUGUUUCUCAGGUUGGUACAGCAACCCGUGGUGGGGGUGCCACCUUUGGUGAGGUAGCCAAGGCACGGUGCCAUCCCACCCUGGAUCUGGUUGCAUGUCAUGGCUGCUUCGGCGACCACCAUGCACAUCACGAGCACACAUGAAAGCUUAGCUAGGGUUCCGGCCAUCUUGAUCGAUCUGUUUCUUAGUUAUAAGUUAUAACGCUCGGAGUAGUAUUGCUGAGUGAUCUGUAUGAGAAGGUGGCCGGAGCUAGACAUUGUGCUUAUAUAAGGGGAAAUGGUGGUGGCAAGUGGCAGCGUUGUGCUGUUCAUUGCGUCGGAAUCAGUGGUGGACGUGGUGACGUCCUGGUUUGAAUGAGCUGAGCGCAUGCAGAAGAAGAUCGAGACACGAUGAAACGGUGCUAAAAACGACGAGCUAUAACCCAUUGAAAGAUGUGUUAGGGUUACCAAUAGUCAAAAACCCUAAUAAUGUUCAUACAGUACCGAUGAGCGAUGAAGAGAAGGUAGAAAUUAGUUGGGAAAAAAACGAUUGGAACAAAGAAAAUUGAUUUUGAAUUAAACGUGAGAGUUGAUGAGGUCCUCUAGCUUGCUACUGAAUACUGACCAGUGACCGUAGUGACUACGUACUCUGGCCUGCAGCAAGCCAGCAAGCAUGGAUAACAAAACCGAGUGGUUGAGCUCAUUACUGCAUUAAGUAGCAGACUUGACCUCUUCGCCAAAUGAGCUAAUGUAUUUCUUCUCAUGAAAUUUUUUGAUUGUUCUUUAAAGUAUUGAAACUUGAGAAGUUAAGAGUCGUUAAAUUAGUUCAUUGUAUAACGAUGUAUGUGAAUUAUGACUAAAUUUUGAAGUGUCGGAAUCGACGAAUCGUAAUUCGGUCUCAUUGCCUCCUUGUUGAAAUUUAACCUAUAGAACUUAAUUUGUAAUAUAUAAUAUGUGAUUAUUACUGUUAUAUAUAUGUGAUUAUUUCCACAUCUCAACCGUACAAUAUAUAAAACACAGUGGGUAGAUUAUUCAUGCAAAGUUUCAUCAAAUUUGAAAAUGAAAUACGACCUGAAAAUGAGCGAAAUAAGGAGUCUCAUACUUUAAUUUCAAAGUGGGAUCCCAAUCUGAAAUGAGACUAAUAUAUAUAUAUAUAUAUGGAUCAAAUUACCAGCACUGUACGUUUCUGAAUAGUCAUAUCUUACAACUUCUACCAAGAUUAAUCACUCGUGUAUUGUUUGGUGUGGGUUAGUGCGCCGCUGCGUCUCUGCUAGUGAGCCAACUACCAUUUGACAUUUUCCCCAUGCUAUGCCAUUGCCGUAAAUGCAAUACCAUUGAAUGGUUAUGGACCACAGCUGCAUGCAUAAUUGAUCAUAUUUUGGAAGAACUCGGCCUCUAGUACUUUCACCAUUUCACAUUGUCCCUCAUAAUUGAUCAUACAAUGCCUUUUACUUUGGUUGGUGUAGCUUAGGCUAGCGACCUCUCGAUUAGCUAGCUGGUUUUGUAUGUUGAUGUAUCAUCGAUAUUGGUCGCUAGAGAAGAAAAAAAAAACGAAAGAAAGUUAAUCUUGGAUGCACUAGCUGAGUAGCUGGAUCGAAUAUACCUGAUCAUUUUGGUUCCUCUUUUUUUAUGCUCAUACUUUUUCAAAUUCAAACCCACCUAGAAGCCAGAAAGAAGUACUGAAAAAACUCGGUUGGAAGAAGCCAAAGUACGUGUAUCACAAGCAGUUUUUUUAAAGAUUUUUACCACACACCCUGAAUCCCAAAAACUUUUUUGAUAUGAAAAAUGCGUGCAUAGACAAACUAGGCCUAAAAUACUACAAUGAUGAUGAUCUAGCUAGGAAUAAUUUAGGCCCAUCCAAGCCUCAGCCCACAUAAUAUUGUUGCCCAACCUUCAAUGACACAGACCUUUUCUAAUCCUUCUCUCUCUGGUUACCAUUUGGAGGUGAAGAAUAGCUUUAGCAACCCAAUUCCUAUUUGUUCCUGUUAUUCCUCGGCAGCCACAGUGUACCGGAACCUUAAACCCAGAGUCUGCUCAACCUAUCAGGUAUUAUCCCAAUUCUAGAAUGUCCUUGUUUUCCAGUUCUUCAAGUUUGCAUUACCCCUCUGUUCUGUUUGGUAGGGUUUUGUAUACUCUGGACACUAAGAAAGUAAGAAACCAUUAUAGACCGAAAGGCUUAUACUCUAUGCUGUCUUGUGCCAAAGUUUUAUGAUUUAUACUGUUUAAUGGAAAACCAUUAGAUCUUUAAUAUGGACAAAUCUUCAUGCAAAUAAUGUGAAAUAAUUCUGAGGAGUUCCCUGAAUUUGUGUUUGGGCAUUUACAGACAUUGUAUCAGAUGAAAAUGGGUUCGAACUCAAAGCGUAGUAAACGAUGCGCUGAAGAUAGAAUCAGUGGGUUGCUAGAUGCAAUACUCUGUCACAUUCUGUCAUUCCGUUCAACAGUUGAGGCUGUAAAGACCAGUGUUUUAUCACAUAGAUGGGAGAAUUUGUGGGCUUCUGUCCCCACUAUUGACGUAUGUGACUAUGAUCCAAAAGAAUUCGACUUUGAUAGUUUUACAAUGUUUCUUGAUCGUGUACUUCUCGCUCAUGACUCCUUAAAAGUUCAUCGGUUCCGUAUUUGCUGUACUAAGAUGGUGGAUCCCCUUCUGUUUGAUUAUUGGGUUAGCACUGCCAUUGGCUGUAAUGUUGUUGAACUCGAUCUUGAUAUUUAUCCCUUGGGUCCUGAGCACUCAUCACUUCCACCCCAGUGUUUUGAGUUGCCAGGAAGCCUUUUCAUGCUGAAAAGUUUGGAGAAAUUGAAGCUGAGCCUGAAAUCGUUCGUUACCAUUAAACCCGAACCAAGUUGGUUCCCAAGUCUCAAGUUUCUCCAUGUUUCAGUCGCAUAUGCCAGCUCUCAUCUGAUGGAGAACCUGUUUACUUGCUGCCCUGCACUUGAGGAGUUGGCAUUUGAAGCAGAACCUGAAUAUGAUGAUGAUUCUAUUUUUAAUAUGAACAUCUGUGCACCGAAGCUGAAACGACUAGAAAUAAGCUUCUUCCUGGAUAGACAUGAUCUAGAGAAACUUGAAUAUGAGCACAAACUUUUUAUCAAUGCCAAUGCUCCUAAUCUUGAAAAGUUCACUUUUUACGGCAAUCUUUUGGCAAUCUAUAUCUCAAACAAUGCAAAAUCCCUGAAUGAAGCCAAGAUUGAUUGCACGGACCUGCAUGCGGUUCAAGAGCUUGACGAUCACCUUGAUGCUGCUGAUAAUUUGCACAGGCUUUUCACAGGAAUUUUGAAUGUUACAUACCUAUCUGUUUCAGCUCCUAUUUUGGGGGUAAGUAUAAACUAGCUGGUCCUUGGUGGAUUAUAUCCUUCCAAGACACUCAACUUUGUUUACUGAAAUGCUAUAUUGUGCUGAGGAAAUGUUUAAGUUAUGGUUUUUAAUUGAUCUUUACUUCAUAAUUUGUGAAGGAUCCCCACAUUGUACAUCAGUAUCUUCUGCCUACAUUUGUUAAUUUGCAGCACUUGGAGCUACUUCUUCACGCUUGCUCCUCUUGGCAACCAUUGAUUAGUUUUCUGAAUGCAUCGCCAAAUCUGGAAUCUCUUGUCUUGAAAAAGGUAAGUGUGCAUGGCUUUACACCUUACUAACUGUACUGAUAAAGGUGAAUUCUUAAGUAUUCUAAUUUAUCUCAUUUUUGUUAAUCUUUAGAGCCGCGAUUGCCUAUGUCGACACGAUCCGGAUGAACUACAUCAUGAAUGGAAUCCACCAGAGUAUGUGCCUGUUUGUUUAUCGUCACAAUUGAAGAGUAUUUGCAUACGAGGGUACAAGGGGACGCCAGAUCAGAUGAAAGUGGCAGAAUAUUUGUUGAAUCAUGGUGAGGUUUUGAACAAGGUGACAGUUCAAUUAUCUUCCAAAGAUACGACUUCAAAAAAAGUGAAGAAACUAUGCCGGGGAUUAAAGAAGUUGCCAAGGGGUUCGAAGACAUGUCAAAUUGUCUUUCCAUACCUCUAAGUCACAGCAUAGCCUUUUAAUUGUCCGAGUUCCAUUUCAAAGUUGUGAAAAGGAUCCUUUCUUGGUAGAUCAGACAACGAAUUGAUACAACUUGUGUAAUUUUAACUCUUCUUAUCUUCCAUCAUUAACUUCUCAAACCUCGGAAGAAUCUUUUUGACUAUGCAUCUAUGUUUGGAUUUAUAGGAUACUCAUUUAUUUGCAUCUGUUGUUCGUUUUCAUUUGUUUCACAUUUCUCACGAGCAUUGCAACUUGGCCGUAUGCAAUAAGCUUAUUUCCUUAUGAAAGUUGGCUUGCUACCAUGAGCUUUACCACACUGUCAUCCAUAGUUCCAUACUUGUGGAUAUGUAGAUGAAAACAAUUACAAUGGUAGAAUGGACAUCCAAGAGCAUCUUCAGCAAAUCGAACUGUCUCAACCUUUUUGAUCAAAUAUAACAACUAGUCUAUUUAUGAAUCGAUUUCACGACCUCUAGAAACUGAUGAAUCACACGGUACUGGACUUGAGGAACAUCAUUCAGGUGAAAAAGCACAUUUAGCUCAUGAAAUACAUUUGGGUUAACUAGGCAUUGAGGCCCAUCCUUGUAGCCCAAGCUCCAUUGACACAAAAACCUUUCCUCACCAUUUUUUCCAAGACAUUUCUGAUUUCUCUCUCCCUCGCCAGUUUACCUAUUCGAGGGCUCUUGUUCUUCCUCAGCGGCCACACACAGUGUACCGGAACCCUAAAUCCUGAAAUCAGGGUUUGUUUCCCAACUGCUUAAGUUUGCAUGUGCUCUGUUUUGUUUGGUAAGGUUCUGAAUACAUUACACCAAGACAGUAAGAAACCCAGAAAAAAGAACAUGCAUAAUGGCCAAAGGUUUAUAAUUUAUACUGUUUGGUGUUAGAUCUAUAACAUGGAUAAAUCUCCGCGCAAAUAAUGGUAACAUCAUUUUGGCUAGUUCCAAUUCCUCAAGUUUGCAUAUCCCUCUGUUCUGUUUGGUAGGUUUUUGUAUACAUUCUGGAGUUUAAGAAAGUAAGAAACCCAGAAAAAGAACCAAGUUUAUAAUAUAUAUUUUUUAAUGGAAACCAAUAGAUGAAUAGAUCAUUAAUAGGGGGACAAAUCUUCAUGCAAAACAUGUUAAAAUCAUUUUAAGAAGUUCCCUGAAUUUUGUGUUUAGUUUAACUAGCUUAGAAGUUCUUUUGGCUUUUACAGACAUUGUAUCACAUGGAAAUGGGUUCAAGCUCAAAGCAUAGUAAACGAUGCGCUGAAGAUAGACUCAGUCAAUUGCCAGAUGCAAUUCUUUGCCACAUUCUGUCUUUCCUUUCAACAGUUGAGGCUGUGAAAACCUGUGUUUUAUCACAUAGGUGGGAGAAUGUGUGGGGUGCUGUGCCCACUAUAGACAUAUCUGAUCAUGAUCGUGAUGGAAAAGAAUCCGACUUUGAUAGUUUUUCGGUGUUUAUUGAUCGUGUACUUUCCACUCAUGAGUCUGUGAAAGUUCAUCUGUUCCGUCUUGGCUGUUUUAGCAUGGUGGAUCCCCUUCGGUUUGAUUAUUGGGUUCGCACUGCCAUUGGCUGUAAUGUUGUUCAACUCGAUCUUGGUAUCUUUCCACCCCAGAGUUUCGAGUUGCCAGGAACCCUUUUCACGCUGAAAAGUUAGGAGAAAUUGAGCCUAAGCCUGCACUCGUUUAUUACCAUUACUCCUGAACCAAGUUGGUUCCCAAAUCUCAAGUUUCUCAAUGUUUCAGUCACAUUUGCUAGUUCUCACUUGAUGGAGAAUUUCUUUUCCUGCUGUCCUGUACUUGAAGAGUUGAUUUUUGAUGCAUGGGAAUAUGAUGGUGAUUCGGAUUUUAAUAUUAACAUCUCUGCGCCGAAGCUGAAAAUACUACAAAUAAGGUUGUUCCAGAAAUUAUAUGAUCACGGGCACAAACUUUUUAUCAAUGCCUAUGCUCCUAAUCUUGAAAAGUUCACUUUCAAAGGCCAUCUUUUGGUAAUCUACACCUUGAGCAAUGCAAAAUCCCUGAACGAAGCAAAGAUUGAUUGUAAUACGCUGCAUGCAGGUCAAGAGCUUGACUAUCACCUUGCUGAUCAUUUGCACAGGCUAUUGAAAGGACUUUUGAAUGUUACACACCUGUCAGUUACAGCUCCUAUUUUUGGGGUAAGUUUGCACUAACUGGUCCUAAGUGGUUUAUAUCCUUUCUAGACACUCAACGUUAUUAACUGAAACGCUAUAUGGCGCUUAAAAAAUGUUUAAUUCUGAUAGUUUUUGAUUGAUUUCUACUUCAUAAUUUGUGAAGGAUCCCCACAUUGUUCAUCAGUAUCCUCUGCCUACAUUUGUUAAUUUGAUGAACUUGGAGCUACAUCUUCAAGCUUGCUGCUCUUGGCAAUCAUUCUUUAGUUUUCUGAAUGCAUCGCCAAAUCUGAUAUCUCUUGUCUUGGAAAAGGUAAGUGCACAUGGCUUUACACCCUUAUUAACUGUAUUGAUAAAGGAUAAUUUUGAAAUUUGUUAAUGUAUCUCAUCUGUAUCAUCUUUAGAGCCAUGAUUGCCUACGUUUACACUAUCUUGAUGAAGUAUACCAUGAAUGGAAUCCACCAGAGUGUGUGCCUGCUUGUUUGGUGUCACGCUUGAAGCUUAUUUGCAUAAUGGAUUACAGGGGGACGCCAGAUCAGAUGAAAAUGGCAGAAUACUUAUUGAAGCAUGGUGAGGUUUUGAGUAAGGUGAUAGUGCAUUGGGAAAGUUUUUCUUCCAAAAAAGAGAAGAAAUUAUGGCGGGGAUUAAAGAAGUUGCCAAGGGGUUCAAAGACUUGUCAAAUGGUGUUUCCAUGCCUCUCUGUCGCAGCAUAGCCUUUUAAUUGUCUGAGUUCCAUUCAAAGUUGUGAAAUGGAUACUUUAUUUGUAGAUAAUACCAUGCAUUAGUUUUGUGUAAUUUCAAGUCCUCUUAUAUUCCAUCAUUAGCUUUUCAAACCUCUUAAGAAUCUUUUAGACUAUCACCCAUGAAUGGAUUGAUCUUAGGAGACUCAUUUGUUUGCAACUGUUAUUCAUUUUCAUUUGUUUCACAUUUCUUAGGAGCAUUGCAAUUUGGCCAUAUAAAGAGCUUAUUCUCUGAAACUCACUUUUGUGUUAGCUAUUUAUCAAUAGCUUUCUAAACUGUCAUACUAGUAGUAAUGUAAAUGAGAACAAUUACAAUGGUGGAAAUUGAGGUAGAGGGCUUGUUAAUGAGAAAAUGGGUCAUGGAGGGGCACUUUAGGAAUGAUGGAAGGGAACUUAUCCAUUUUAGAUUGAACCUCAAACUAGCUAAUAUCGUUAGAACUUGUAGCCGUGGAUCAUCUCGUUCAAGGGAAAAAACCAAAAUUUCAAGCCAUGUUCAGUGAUUUUGACACGGUUCUACCACAUCCUUCGUUGCUGUUUGUUAGAGAGGAGAGAUCCCACAUUGGAAAAAAAUAUAACUUAUAAGUGGGUGGAUCACUCCUAAUUGUAUCGAGACCUUUUGUGGCUAAAACCUAAUACCUUAAAGGUGGUUAAGUUGGGACAGUAUCGGUACAAGGAUGAUCCACGGGCCACGCUUGUCGCUGUUUGACAUGGUAUUAGAGCGGAUCCCUCUCCAGUUGCGUCUCCACGAGCCCGGGUUGGUUCUUUCAAAGGUCAUGGCCCUGGUUUGAUUCUUUCGAGUUUGGAGUUAAUUCAGUCUGGUUGGGUUCUUUCGAGUUUGGGGUUCUUUCGGUUGUCAUGUAGCCCGGGUUCAGUUUCAGUUUGUUAAUCAGUUUCACGUGCAGACUUAAAAGUUAAGUUGCACGUGAGGGGGAGUGUUGGAGAGGAGAGAUCCCACAUCGGAAAAAUGACAAAUAAAAUAUAACUUAUAAGUGGGUGGAUCAUUCCUAAUUGUACCUAAAAGUUGUCAUGAGGAGUUCGGGGUUCUUUCAGUUGUCAUGAGGAGUUUAGGGUUCUUUCGGUUAUCAUGUAGCCCGGGUUCAGUUUCAGUUUGUUAAUCAGUUUCACGUGCAGACCUAAAAGUUAAGUUGCACGUGAGGGGGAGUGUUAGAGAGGAGAGAUCCCACAUUGGAAAAGUGACAAAUAAAAUAUAACUUAUAAGUGGGUGGAUCAUUCCUAAUUGUACUGAAGCCUUUUGUGGUUAAAACCCAACACCUUAAAUGUGGUUAAGUUUGGACAAUAUCGGUACACGGAUGAUCUACGGGCCACGCUUGUCACUGUUUGACACUGUUUGCUAAAUUUGGAGGAAUAUAAUCACAGAUUCAGAGUGGUCCUUCAGUCCUUCUCCUUCAAGUGUGUAUGGUUAGGCUUUUAGGUGCAUCAUCAAAACUAGCUCUAUCAAUUAACUGUCAUUUACCAAAAAGCUACACAAGAAGAGUUGAGUUUUAAGGGACAGUUAUUCACCACCUAGAAGCAGUUAUAAAUCUGUCGUAAUCCAACCAACGAUUCAAUGAAAAUGAAUAUAGCACUACCAAAACGGUAGCUGCUUAAACGUUCGCAAUUUGCAUGGUAGAACUUCACCUAUCUGUGUUAGUUUUUCCAGUAUCUGACCUUAUUGUGGUUGUCUACUUGUCUGUGUGUAUUCAAAAUUAGUCUGAUUGCAAUAGCUGCAACCAUUCUUGUUUUCUUAUUUCAGUAAAAGAAUAGGGUAACUCUGCCAGCCACAGGAGUAAAUUGAGUUAAAAUUAGAACUCUCAUGCCUUCAUCCAAAUUGAACUACAGGAAAUCUGAAUUCAUUUCUACUCUAUAUAAAGUUUGACAUCAAGGAAUACUAGUAAUGGGGAGCUUCUAAUGAGGACUUUAUAAUGAGGACCAAGUGAGGACUUUCAAAUGAACGGUUGGAUUACAUGCACAUAGGAAUUUGAAAAUAUCAAUUAAAAGUUAAAACAUUCAUCCAACUAUUCAUUUGAAAGUCCUCAUUUAAUCCUCAUUAUAAAGUCCUCAUUAGAAGCUCCCCCGUAUAGUAAUCAUGGCUAUUCCACUAUUCACAUGUCUCAUUCAUAUUUUCCUCCAAAAAAACAAUGAAAGACGUCUACAUAUGUUCUGCAUGUAACUCUGGACGCCUUGGAAUAUAUAUUUAGAACAGAUAGAUGUAGCAACUUUUCUUUCAAAAAGGCUAAGAGAUAGUUGUCUAUAUUAUUUGUUUAUCUUUUUUUGAGACGAUUCAUCGAACACUAAUCUGACAAUAGUCCAUCAAUACAUAGUUCUUUAUGGUGGGCAGUUGGUCAACCAAUCAAAACAUCUCGUUCAAUUGACUUCAAUAAUCUAGCAAGUCUAUUGUUCUUCCUCUUUCGUGAUCCUUCAUACUCAAUUUUCUAAACCUACUCCACCACCUCCAGUUUAGAAACAUGAUUAGUUUACAUUAUCAUGCGAAAUGUAUUCGCUAGGGGUUUGACAUUUGACAAUACGAUUAACUAUAUGGUUAGGGAUGUAUGCAAACCUACUUGUCGGUUAUGAGAUAUAUAUGAUGAUAAUCAAAUGGCAAUGCCGGCUCAAAGUAAGCAAAACAAUGAGGAACACGAUUGAGAAUAGAAGUACUUGGAGAAUAUUACGACCACAAGACGCCAAAAUGUCGUUCUAUUCGAUUUUACGUUGAUGAGGUCUAGAAGGCUAGACCUAACUUGCUCUAUGGUGAGUUUGGAGUUUAAUUAGUUAUCGUACUCAAGACGUGAUGAUGGAGUUUUAAUUUUAUAAGAUGGAACAUAACAUAUACAGGUCAUAUCACUUCUUCCUAAAUUACUUAAACUUUCUCAAUUGACCGAUCAUUUAGAGUUAAAAACUUAGAAUCUAACUUAUCGCACUAAUUUUGUCCAUUUUAUUUUAUUUUUGUGAUAUUACUUUACCCACAAGUUUUUUGUAAUUUUUCAUUAUUAUUCUGUUUUCCUGAUGAUCAGUAACUGACCAAAGGAUCUAUAGUCAAUCGUCGUUAGAUGUAAGUUUAAUGAUGAUUGAUCAUGAUUUUCUUGAUCAGUAACUGAUCAGAUGAACGCUACCGUUACUAAGAAAUCAUUCUCUAAAACACGUGGUAUAGUUGAAUGAUAUUCAAGUCAUUUAGUAUGGCAGUUAGGCUAGCUUAAACGUGACAACCGCAAAGGCUCCCAAACAACUAAUUUCAUUUCAAUGCUCCCUCACUCUAGCUACUCCAUCUCUAUCUUCCUUACUAAUAUAUAUAUAGCAUUUCUUCCACUCCCACACUAUACACUCACACUCACACUUACAUAACUGAAUAUAAGACCAACGGAAUGGCUAAGAAAGCAAUGCAGAUCCUGGAAUUGCUCUUCUUUAUGCUGAUCCCCUUGGCUAGUUCUCAGGGAAGUGGUCGAGGAUACGACGAUUGGCAAACUGCACACGCAACAUUCUAUGGUGGAAGUGAUGCUACUGGCACUAUGGGUAAGCUAUACAAACUAUUCAACUCGAUCUACAUGUAUUUCCAUUUGUACAGGUUAUUACUGAGGUAUAUGGUCUGAUGGAGGUUGAAAGAUUAAUGCAGGAGGUGCAUGUGGUUAUGGAAACUUGUACAGCCAAGGAUAUGGGACUCGCACCGCAGCUCUAAGCACUGCUCUCUUCAACAGUGGUUUGAGCUGCGGUUCAUGUUACCAAUUGCGUUGCAACGACGAUCCUAAAUGGUGCCUCCAUGGUGACAUCACUGUCACUGCUACCAACCUCUGCCCACCUAAUCUAGCUUUGUCCAACGACAAUGGUGGGUGGUGCAAUCCUCCUCUCGAACACUUCGAUUUGGCUGAGCCUGCUUUCUUGCAGAUUGCUGAGUAUCGUGCUGGGAUUGUCCCUGUACUCUUCCGAAGGUAACGAAUUGUAUUUUAUUUCUUCGUUAGAAUCACAUUCCCUCGUAGAAGAAAGAAUAAAGAAUUAUCAAUAUGUAUAAAUUUUACGGCUUUCAUAUGAGAUUGUGAUAUCCAUUGGGUCAAAUGAAUCUCUUGGUCCGAUAGUGAAUCUAGCUCUAUUAUCGAUCAUAAUAUGACAGUUGCUUAAUCAAGACUUAAGAGACUUCGAGUUCCUUUGUGUUGCUUUCGACAGGGUUCCUUGUGUGAAGAAAGGAGGCAUAAGGUUCACCAUCAAUGGUCACUCAUACUUCAACUUGGUGUUAAUAACAAACGUUGGAGGUGCAGGGGAUGUUCAAAGUGUGUCCAUCAAGGGGUCUAGGGCAGGGUGGCAACCAAUGUCAAGGAAUUGGGGACAGAAUUGGCAGAGCAAUUCCUACCUCAAUGGCCAAACCCUCUCCUUCAAAAUCACAACCAGCGAUGGAGCUACACUCAUCCACAAUAAUGUCGUUCCUGCUGGUUGGCAAUUUGGACAGACCUUUGAAGGUGGUCAAUUCUAGAUUAAUUCCGGAGAGCAAUGGUUUAUAUAUAUUUACACAUCUCUUUUCAUAAAUUAUCAAUAAAAUGGUUUUGCAUUAUUGAUCUUGUAAGAUAAAGUUACAAAUCUGACAUCAGCGAGAUAAAAGCUUACUUUUGUACAUCCCAACUAACUAACUGCUAACUAAAUUCUAACAUAAACCAAGUGAUACACCAGUCAUUGUUACUAUUUAGCUACUACUAAAAUUUGGUUUCUUUUAAACAGAAAAUGGGAGGCAACAGAAACAUAUAUAGAAUUUACUUAAUUAUGAUCUACAGUGUGGUUUCAUCAAACUAACUGGAAUUUACAAGAUACUUACAAACACAAUCCAAGAGGCAGCAUCUACUCACUCUAAUAGAGAAUCAGGUAGUUUUCUUGGACUAAAGAAACUCAAGCAACUUUUAUGUCCAAAAAACCAAAUACAUCCUCUUCUCAAGUGCACUACAAAGCGGAAGUAUGCUAGAUGAACCUGAAAAGACGCUGCCUCUUUACCUAACAAAAAACCGAAACUGCACAUCAUCAUGCAAAUGUACACACUCAAUAGUUUAGCAGCGAAUAUUUCACUCUCAAGACAAUUUUUCCUUUUUCCACACCAAGCUUUCCACCGGUAACCAACCAAUGACCUGGAUGAUCUUGAGGCCCCUUGCUCAUCUCAGACAUAUCCAAAAAUUUCGUCAAUUUGUUACCCGCAACAUUUUCUCUUGAACCGGAACUUGAGUCACCGGCAUUGAAAUUUAAACUAGUAGAUGUCCCUUUCUUUGAUUUUUCAUUUGGGGAAUGAUCCCAGAAAGAUCUUCGUAUAGUGCAGCCCGGCAGCCUGGAAUAUAAUAGCUUCAUGUACAAAACAUUUUUUGAUCCGAAAUCCCACACUCCAAGCUGUGCUCCUGUGACUAUGUAGACACCAGAAAGAUCGCCUAUGAAGGUUUCAGGAUUCUCAAUAGGUGUUGUGCUCACAUGAGAGAAAUUUUUCCACUUCACUGGCUCAAACCAUCGGCUAUCCUGCUCCUCAGGGCCUUGCCACUUUGGAGCACCGAUUGCUACAUGGGUAUCCCAAUAUGGUAGAAGGAUCUUAGGAAGAGAUGCCAAGUGUUGAAGAUGGAUACAAAGACGAUUCUGCUUGCUUCCUUCAAGACAUAACCGCAAGCCCGUCACUGGCUUCCGUCCAACUGUAAUCUGCAUGCAAAAAGUUUGCUGAAAAUGAAUACAUAAAAUUAACUUGAACAACAAGUGAUAUUUACACCUACAUGUUCAUGUCAUUGAAUAAUGUAUUAAACCCACAAUGAGAAAAUAUGAAAUGCAUAGCUCAUCUUUUGAGGUCUCAUUUGGUGCUGCAGAGUCAUUUAGGCAUUUUAAGGAGAUGAUAAGAGACCAUUGAGAUUAAACGAAGAGUCUCAAGUAGCUGAAGAAUAGCAUUUGUGCAUUACAUAUAUGUUUGUCUCAUUUCUGUCCAAUACAUGAUAGAAGUCCAUCUUUUACGGGUAUGAACCCUCCCAAAAGUUGAAUGGCUCUGUGAAAAAGUAGUUAUUGCCACAAAAAGGCUCUUACCUGCUCUUGGCUGACAUAGAGUUUUUGCCCCAUUAUGCUGAAUUGCAAAGAUGGGCAAACAGGUUCCUUUCUUUGGUGGGCAAGAUUUCUGUCAUAUACAGGAGCCCAUAUUCGAGGAAUUUGAAACUCUAGGAAGUAUCUGAGUUCUUCUAUUGGAGGCUUAUCUGAAUGAAGCAUUUCAAUACAGUUAGCACGACUACUUUGUUACUAAUGAUAGAGCACAAAAUCAGUUUUAAGCCAUCUAUGAUUUAUCUUUGGUUGUCUUACAUUCAAGAUAAAGACCAAUAGCUCGAGUAAGGUGCUCCCUUCCAAUCACCUCUUCAAGGAGAGCUGCUAUAGGAAAAAAUGUCAUCUCAAUUACAUCUGGAGAGGACCGGACAGUUCUUGCCCACCGGGUGUGGUUUUGUUCCAGCUCGUCUCCUCCCCUUCUUCGAAAAAUGACAGUCACAUCCUGAAUCAAUAACAAUCAAGGUAAACUAAUUCUGAUUUUAAGGUUUAAGGUCUUAUAGUCAUUCCUGCAACGUAACUGUCACAUAUAGAAGUAAAGCAACUUGGGACCAAAAUAAAACAAACGUAUAUAUCAUCUUUGAUCAAGGGAAUAAAAAUAAUACAUAUAAAUGCUCAUUAGUUGUUACAUACUUCUUUCACAGCAAGAUAUGGUGCCGUAGUGGGUUGAGGGUAGAUCCCCUGACUGUUGAAUAAACCGGAAUCAGACCCCUAAAAGUUUGAAAAAUAUAUAAGAUAAUCAGAAUUUAAGUUUCCAACAAAAUAAAUAAAUAAAUAAAUGAAACAGGAGAAAGAAAGAAGAAAGAAACAAGCCAAAAGCCAAAACAAAAAGGGAAUGAAACAAAGUGGAACUAGCCUUAUCCUUGAAAUUCAUUUGACCUGAACUUGUAUUGCUUUCUGUGCCUGAGAACCUCUGAUUCCCAAUGUUUUGGAUGUAGUUCUUGAUCUCCAUGGUUGACAAAGGAGAAGACUGGUGUUGUUUAACGUAAAUUACAUCUUUGCCGCCAAUAGUUACAGAUGUUAUGACAUGAGUACCAAAAUUUUCAAUAAAGCUGGGAAGUAAGAGAAACCAAUAGUUAGGUGAUACUUGAAACUCUUUCAUCAUUAAUUUCCUACAAAAGUUCCAAAUAUUCAUACCUUGCCAAGGAUGUGGGAUCCCAACAAGUUGGGAUAGCCUGUUUCACAUUUUCUUGUAACAUUAGUGGGGAUUUUAAAAGAUGGACUUUAGCAAGUGGAAUAUAGAGGCCAUCCAUAGAAAGUGUCUUUGUUCCUGCCAUAUCAACAUGCUUUGAACCACUGAAGCUAAAUGCAAAAUUGAAACUCCCCACAGGAUAGCUUCCAGAUAUAUUAGACCUAUCAUUAAAAUACUCGACCAUCUGCAAUCAUUCACCAGAAGAUUAUGUCAAAUAAUUGCAAAACAUUGAUAGUAUCUAUGCAGAUGAUGCACACGUUAUUCUAAAUAUUAAGAGAAGAUGUUAAGAUGUGCUCUUUAUUGUAAUGAUUUGGAGAAUGAUUCCAAUACAUAAUUGAGAAAGAUAUCAGAUAUAUGAUUAACAUAUAUAUUGAUACACUGAUAGAUGAUAUGUAUUGACAAUUUCUUCAUGGGAUGUAAAGGAUUUGUAAUGAAGUUGCAACCUUUCAACAGUUGCAUGCAUUUGAGAUGUACUGAAUAUUGGGGUUGCAAAGUUUCCAGCAGAAGCAAGCAUUGGUUACAGACAACUCCGUACCAUUUCUCCAAUAUCGAAUGGGAGCAAUUGCACCCAUUAAUCUCUAUAUGAGCAGCCCAUGGAAAUUACUCAAUCAACAGAAACCAAAUUCUUUCUUUUGAUUCUUCUCAAUUCAUACACCAGCUUCCUUACAGACAGUCAGAAAUUUUAGUUAUUGCUAAACUAAAAAAAUCUAUUCUUUGUUGUAUUCGUGAAGAGAUUUGUCAUAGACCUAUUACCAAACUUAAAAGAAGUGGGGAUGAAAUGCACUUUAAGGAAAACAAAAUAAUGCUUCAAAGUCAAAAUUUUGAAAUUUCUCAAUCAAGUUCUAGUGUUCCAUCUUUGUCUCUCACUUUAACACAAAAAGUGCCUUAAAAACCAGUGCACACCAAUGUCCUUACAAAUGUUCUUCACAUCACGAAUGAUGCCCGAGUAUCAUUCAAGUAUUAAAGCUUCUAUUGCUGAAGCUAUAUUCUUUUGACUAAAACUUAAAUACUGAUCCUCAGUUUGGGUGGUAAACUAGCUCAGACAAGUGCAUAACAAGCGGAACUUGAAAGUUGAUGAAUAGCUUGUCCAACUGUAAUAAAAAUGGGUUACAUAAUGAAACUGCAAGAUUCAUUUUACCUAUGGGCUAUUAGGGCAGCAAUAUUGUAAGAUAUUCUUUCAGAUAUCAACGAAGGCCGAUGGAAAAAGUUGGGCCACUUGGAGCAAAAGUCCAUGUCUAUAAACUGUUCAGAUAAUCUAAAUUACAAAGGUAUCUACGAAGUUUCAAUCAAUUCAGCGAAGCUCCUAACUGCUAUCUUUCUCCAUUACAAGAGGUAUAUUUCUAUGAAAAUACCAACUUCCUUGGUUCAAACACUUAUCUUGAUUUCUUAAUCCUCGCACUUUCUCCAGCUAUAGUUCAUUAGAACUUAAAACUUGAUCCCAAGUUGGAAACCACCUCAAACAAGUGCCUAACAAGCUGCGCUUAAAACUGAUGAACGGACAAGCCAUUUUCUACUCCAUCCACAAAAUUCAUUUUAUCUAUCAGGGCACCAAUGUGGUAACAUUUUUUUUCUUUUUCUUUUCGGAUAUGAACCAAAGCAGACUGCAAAACAUUGAGCCACUAGGAGAAGAAGUACACGCCUUUAACUAGUCCGAUAAAUAUAUGUAGGAAAUGAUACUCGAAUUCAUUUCAUUACAUACUUUCUAUCUGAACAUCAAUUACCUUAAAUCAUCACAACAUACCAAAACCUAAUGUAUCAAACAACAUGCAGAAAUCCACCACCUCAAAACCAAUACAAUAACAAGGCACAAAAUUAGACAAGCAUAAAAGAGAAGCACAGUACCUCAUUAAAACUGCAGACUCCAGUACUCCGCCGCUCACUGGACUGGUGAGAGUGCUUAAUAUCCCUGGAAACAUUAGGCACAACUACAUCAUCAUAAAGGCAGAGGUUCCUGGUGUGCUCCUCAUCAACCUCUAUCACCCUAGACCCUGCCACACCCUUACAAUAAAGCAGCCUCGUAUCAAAGUUCACGUCAAACCCUCUUCCCAGUGCCUGUACAGCGUUAAUAGCAGUAUGCAAAGCUGCUACAUUUUCCCCCAUUUCUCAUCACACCACCUCCAAAACCCCUUUACUCUUUCUCUUCUCAGAACCAGACCCAGUUUGGUAAACUCUCACCCAAACCCAAAACCCAGUUCCCUGUUUCCUUUCCAAACCUCAAUUACCAGAACCCAACUGGAAACUUUCCCGGAAACCCACCAGAAACUGAACAGUCAUAACGUUUCCGGUAUUGGGUUUCUGAAGACUCCUCUUUUCAACCAUAUUCUAAUCUCCAGCUUGGUUCUUGACCAGUCUCCCCUAUCUUUCUCUAUCCAAAUCCUUCUUGGUAAGUUGUCCAAUACAAAAUCUUCAAUAAAGAUUCGAACUCUGAUACAGUGAACCACUCAAUCUGCUUUUACUUCUCUAGAUCUCAAAUCCAUGGAAAAAGAUUACCUAACCUCUCUUUGCUGCCUACCCUGCUUCUCCUCUGUAAAAUUUUCCCUCUAAACAUGUACAAGUGCAUUGACUUGGAAGCUUAUUUACUUUAACGUGUAUUCUCCAUCGUGAUCUGUCUGGACACGUGUGUCUCUGGUUUGAUUAGAUGUGUCUGAGGUUAGACUUUGACUAGGUCUCUUGAUUAGGAGUGAGGAAUCAAAUUUGCCACAGCACCAGUGUUCGUAUGACCAGCCAAUCAACUCUCACUCUCUCUCUCUCCCUCUCUCUGCUCUCUCUCUCUAAAGCUAUGGGAUGGAUUGGAGCUACAUGUCAGCCUUGGUUUCUUUUCUUUUCUUUUCUAGUCGAAAUUCUGUUCAAUGCUCAAAAUUGAGAUCCAAUUUUGCCAACCAGCAAAACUGAUGACCAUCAGUGACCAGCCAAUCAACUCUCUCUCUCUCUCUAUCUCUUUUUUGAUUAGCUGGUCACUGAUAGUCAUCAGUUUUGCUGGUUGGUAAAACUGGAUCCUUAAAAAUGUCGAUUUGAUCAGAAUCUUGGACUAGCCGAUUUGAAACUUUGAGUUUUCCCAUGAGCAAAAUAAGAAGGGAGGAUGCUUCUUUUGGCUUUAGAAAUGAGUGCAGUUAGAAAAAGGGGUUUAGAGUUUAGACCCUUGAAUAUCUCUGCAUUCCUUGCUUGCUUGAUUGUAGCUCAAUCAAAUGCUAAAUUGAGCUACAAUUCUUACACCCUUUUAACCCCUAACUCACGUAUGUACAAAUUUAGAGGUACAUGAAUGAGAGGAAUCUUGUAUUCAUUUCUUACCCAGAAAACUACAAAAGAACCAUGUACGUGCACUCUGACUUGUCCCUGUAUGAGUUUGGCCGAGCUGAAAAUGUCGUGGUUAUUUUACCCUUUUACCAAGGGAAUCUUUGUAUAUGGCCAAAAAUCCAAAGUAACAGGAUGACAUAUCUGCGAGCACAGAGUUUUAUUGUACAAUGUCCUACUUUCAAGAGAAAUUAUGGUCCCUUUUCCGUUUGGUUACAAGAAAGGGAAAUUAUGGUCAUUUUUGGACCACCGUUUACCACAAAGUAAAUAGUUGUGUGCAGAAGUUCAUUACUGAACUGAAUUUCUAGGCUGUCAGUCAAAUUCUCAAAGUAAACUACAGUUGCAACCCAGAUAUGCACGCAUCAAUUGUUGACUAUUAUUGCCUUUCAAUAGUGACCUUCUAUAAAUGUAAGUUACAAGUUACAUGUAGUAAUGAUUUGCUGAUGAACAAUCAACAAUCUGAAACUUGGCAUACCAAACUACAUGGCUACUCUUUAUCUACCAAGUUAAGCAUUAAGCUUACACAUUUAGUUUAGCUUGCUUGCGUGAUAAUAAUACUAAAGCGGGUGACCUUGCACCGCACAUCUUUUAUUUCAUCUCUACAUGGCUGAAGCCGAGACUUUUGGGAACUCCCUUACAAACCAUCUCAUUCCUCAACCGCUGAACACCAUCCCAUUUCUUGGCUUCAGCGUAGAUGUUUGACAACAACACAUAAUCUGCAUCCUUAAGAGGUUCCAAUUUGGCUAGCUGCUCAAAGCAUUGCUCAGCCAAUUCAACGUUUCCAUGUACCUUACAAGCACCCAACAAGGUUCUCCAUAACAAAGAGUUUGCCAUUGAAGGCACAGCUUUGAUCAUCUGGUAGGCUUCAUCUAACAACCCCCACCUGCUAAGAAGAUCGACCAUGCAACCAUAAUGCUUAAUAUCAGGCAUAAUUUUGUAUUUUUGAAUCAUGUAACUGAAAUACCGGCGUCCUUCUUCCACCAAACCCUUGUGGCUACAAGCAAUGAGCACCCCAACAAACGUGAUCCUAUUCGGCUUCACUUCACCAACCUGCAUUUCCAUAUCUGCAAACAACUUCAAAGCUUCCUUGCAGUGACCAUGGACAGCGAAACCCAUGAUCAUGGCAUUCCAGCAACCAACCGGUCUCAUUUUCAUCCCACUAAAAACUUCCCAAGCCGAACUCAACUUCCCACAUUUCGAAUACAUAUCCACAAGCGCUGUCCCCAAAUACCCUCCAAUCCGAUUCUGCUUUCCUUUCAACGACUCAUGAAUCUUCCUGCCAAUCUCCAACUCACCAAUCUCAGCACAAGCACCCAAAACCGAUAUCAGCGUCACUUCAUUAGCUUCCACUUCAGCAGCCUGCAUUUCCCGAAACAGCUCCAACGCUCCACCAUAAUCUCUAACCUGAACAUAACCAGCAAUCAUCGAAUUCCACGAAACCGCAUCCCUCUCCACCAUCUCUCCAAACACCAUCUUCGCCGCCUCAAUGUCCCCUAACCUAACAUGCCGCCCCAACAAAGUAUUCCACGACACCACAUUCUUCUCAGGCAUCAACCGCAACAGCCCAUCCGCCGACUUGAAAUCCCCAAUCUGAUCAUACGCAGAUAUCAUGAUAUUCCAAGACGACACGCUCCUCUCAGACAUUUCAUCGAACACCUUCCGCGCAAGUCCCACCGACCCACCUUGCGCGUAAACAAACAGCAACGAAUUCCGAACAUACAAAUCAGAAUCAAACCCCAGCUUCAAAACCCUUCCAUGAAUCUCCCCACCUUUACAAUCAAUCCCCGAUUCGAAAACCUCCACAUCAUCUCUCCUCAUGCCUUUGAUCACUCUCGCGCAAGCCUUCAGCGCAAAGUUGUAUGUGAAAUGAUCACACCCAACUCCGGUAAUGAUCAGACGAUUGUAGACAUGAAUCCCUCUGAUUGGGAAAUCGCUGUUGGUGUAGGCUCUGAUCAUGGUGCCACAGAUGAAAGGAUCAUCCAUGGCGGUUUCUUCGAACAAGGACUGAGCGUGGGAGAGGCAGCCCAGCGGCGAGAGAGAUGCGAAAGCGAUGAGCUUGGCGAGGAGAGGCUGCUGGGUGAAGAAGAGGCCGGUUUUGGUGAGGAAGGCUUGAGCUGCUUCGACUUGUUUCAUGGAGGUGAGAGGUUGAAGAUGAUGACGACGAAGAAGCAUGUGGGGAAUGGUGCGGUUCAUACUCAGCAUCUUCCAUUUCCAUAAAAGAAAGAAGAAGCUUUUGGUUAUGGAGGAAGGUUCAGGUUAGUGUUGCUCUAUUUAAAUUGGAAUUGGGGGCACUUUUCCCACCAAAACGACGACGCAUAGAGAGCAUCUCUAGCAGAAUGCUUAAUUAAAAAAUUUCUCUUUUAACUUUUAAGAUAAAUAAGAGCUCUAGUAGAAUGUCUAAAAAUUGCUAAAUAGAAUUGAUAAAUUUAUCAACCUAGACAAGAAUUGCUAAGGAGAAAUAUUACUUAAUUACUUGUCAAUUUAUGAUUCGUAAAAAAUAUUACUUAAUUUACAUUUAACAAUUAUUGCUAACUGUUAAAACACAAUUGGUAUUUCGAUUAGUAAAUAUCCUAACUAUUAUUAAAUUUAACAACAAACUAACCUAGACAUGCUCCGAUGGAAAAUAUAUAACUGAGUCAAGAUUAGACUAGAUCAUGGAUUCGAUAGCCUAAAAGUGAAAAUGCAUAAUGCUUAUUGAAAGGGAGGUUUCCAUUGAUAUGAGAAAUUUCGAAAACCAAAGUAGUUUUUCUUUACAAUCAAGUCACCUAGACAAUGGGAACCGAUUCCGAAUCCAUCCCUUUCAGUGUUAUCCCAUCCCUUAGAGUUUGAUCAUUGUUUGCGUAGUUAAAUCAUAAAGUCACUAAACAUUGAUUCUACAAAUGCCCUCGCGAGGUGUUGAUUCAGGUGAAACAGAGCGAGGGUUUCGAAAAAUUUGGUCAGCUUGAUUGUGUGUUCUUGUUCUUCUUAGCAUUGAAGAGUUGCCUAAUGAAAGAAAACUUCCCUCUUGCCCGGACAGAUAGUGCAGUAAUGGUACCGUUACUUGCUUCUGCUUCGUUGCUGUCAUUGUCUGGUAGGGGUGGUGAGGGGGGUGAGAGUUUGAAGAGGAAAGAGUUGAGCAUGCGGAUGAUCUGGCUGAAUGUAGGCCUUAGAUUGGAGUCCUCAACCCAACAUGACUGGAUGAUGAAGGCAAGAUCAGGGGAGACAUCCUCUGGAAGUUGAGGCCUCUCUUGCUGCAUUCUCAGAUGGAAACAAUAUACAAGAGUAAGCAACAAACAAGGAUAGAACUCUUCUAUUCUUUACAGAUGAAUGAAAAGCAGAGCGGCAAACUGCACAUAAUACACUAAUAUUGAUAUCUGGAAUAACAGAAAUAACAUAUUCAGUCUCACCUUGAAAGCAGCAGCAUAGGCAGCCUGCAAAUUAGACAUGCCUUCAAAGGGCAUGCGGUUGGUCAACAAUUCCCAUAAGACAAUCCCAAAGCUAUACACAUCCACUUUGUUAUUGUAAUGCUUCUUCUCUCCUUGCCGUAGUGUGACAGUGCUAUAUAGCUGCAAAUGGUUAUAGUUGGUCAAAGGGGAAUUACUAGCAAUCAUCGUAGGAACAAGUGUGCAAACAUAGCAGGAACAUUACCAGCAAUCCACUAUAUAUAACAUGCACAUUCAGUAACAAAACCAACCACAAUGUUUAACCAAAUGGGAACCAACACUUUAUCACAUCAGUGGACAGGGGAUGUCAAAUGGACACCCAAUUUGUGUUUAACUUUGUGCUAAAUGAUAUCAAGAUUGUCAGUGAUCAAUUCAACUACCAUUCAUCUAAAAGUCUAAAACUCACUCCAAUUCAAGCCCUAGAAUCAAAAGAAACCAUGCGCUGCUAAGAGUUGAACCCAUAAACUAAGGUGAUAUAUACCAGGAAGGUGCUAACCCUCCCCAGACCCCAAAGCACUCUUCACCAUGAGAGUAGUCAAGGUUUGGAAAUGCAGGCACCACAGAGUUAAACAUAUAGAGGAAAAAUGAACCCAAAGAGAUUUGCAUUUGCACUCAUUCUUGUGCAAAAUGAAACAUUAUCAUUAUCCCUGAGUGUGACUAAAUACAUUCCAAAGCCAAAAAGAAAGUAAUGACUUUGUUAUUCUGUACUCAGUCAAAUAAGCAGCUUUCCAAAAAGAAUAAUCCGAUUAAUUCCACUUUCAAAAAUCUCAAAAAUACCCAAUAGACCUGAGCGGAUGAAACAAAUUAAAGGUGACAUGCUAGAGAAGAGAGGAGAAGCAUUCGCAUUCACCCUCACCAGUUUGUUGAACUAAACAUCAGAUCUUGAUUAAGACAUAAAAAAAGUCAUGCAUAAAGAUCAAGGUAAAAAGGUAGACAAACCUCAGGAGCCAUCCAACGAUAAGUCCCAGUCUCUGCAGUCAUCAUCUCAGUUACUGUUUCUUCUCUUGCAAGACCAAAAUCUGCAAGCUUCACAGAUUUCUGAUUUUCCGUAAGCAACAGAUUGUCUGCAAUCAGACAUUUUCAUAUGUAUCGUUAAACUAGAAAGAAAUGAAUCAUACUCAAUGAGCCAUACAGCAAAUGCUUUAUAAAAUGAAACCUACUAAUCAGCAGCAGCAAAUAGAUUAUAGUUAACCACAUCAAAGCUCCAGUUAAAACAUAAAAAGCUACCAUCUAAGAGUCUUGUUACCAAUAUUUAUAUCUAAAAUGUUGGUCCUAAGAUAAGUAGGUAACAUUACGUAAGUGUGCAGUACAAUGUUCAGAACUACGAGAAGAAUCCAGCAGAAUCAAUAAUUGACAAGGGAGAAUCAUAAACCAUGUCUGCAGCCUACUGGUAAGCAUAAUCAAGAAAGAAUAUUAGGAUAUACAAAUUUCAUUAAGCUAGGGAAACUCAAGGCUCAAGCAGUGCUGCAAUUUCUACCACCUUCAUGAACAGAGAAUCAUAACUAGAGCAGAAAGUUAAAGUUAAAGUUAGAAAUACUAAAUGUCAUUCAAACUCAACUAUGUCAAUGAAUUCAAUAAGCGUUAACAAGCAAUUUGUUACAAUACAUAACCCAAAAUAGAAAAUACAGUAGUCAAGUACAACACAAACUAGCCGUAUGGUACCAGGUUUUAGAUCUCUAUGUAUAAUGCCAUUGGCAUGUAAACAUUCCAUUGCAUGGGCGAUGUCAAGAGCAAAUUUAAUGGCCACGUGAAGGUCUAAUGGAUUAGGACGAAUACUAAUUAGGUACUUCCGAAGUGACAUUCCAGGUAAUAGCUCAGUAACUAUCACCAUUAGAGGAUCCUUACAAGCUCCAAUAAACUGUAGAGACAAAAAAUGUGGUAUUACAUCCAGUCUUCCAGUGAAACACAAAAGCCAAAGGCCUACAACAGUUAGAGCAGGCAGAACUGCAUAUAUUAAACUUGCAGUAUAUAUGUUUUAUGCGAAAUGAACUUGUAAGGACAUGUUUUAUCACAGCACUGACCUUGACAAGAUUUUCAUGCUUUACUCGAGUCAUCAUAUUAACUUCACGGGCAAACCGAUUCUCAAGUUGAGCUCUUUCUUCAGAAGUGCUCCCACGAUUGAGAACUUUGAUAGCAACAAUUCGAUUACCAUACCUGGAAAACAAUUAGACAACAAACUAGUCAUGAACACUCAGUGUGAAAGCAAAACAGUAAAACAUGAGAUUAUAUCAGAACUAGUAACUCCCACAAGUUACAAACAAAAUAACUCAGAAUCUACUUGUCAAGAUUUGUAUUCACACAAGCACAGUGUUUCAAAUGGUUUCCUGCUGAAAGAUUUACCAAAAUAAACUCACAAGAAUGUUACAUCACAUGUACCCCACAUUGCCUCAAACAUAUCCUUCAUCACUUCAACAUUAUUCAAAUAAACUAAGCAACAAAUCAAAAUUCAAAUCAGUAAACACUUCCAGUUCAUCACAACAAAUAAUGGUUUGACCAACAACGAACUGAGCAUUACCUUCCUUGAUAAACUUUCCCAUGAGCUCCCUCACCAAUUUUCGCCCCAAUAAACAACAACUUGGGAUCAACCAGCAGGCUCUCGUCGAUUGUCAGCUGCUUUGCCGUAAUUGAACCAUUCGAACCCGAAUUCCUCUGCUCUCUUCCUCCACUGUUCACACUACAACUCAUAUUGCAACCCCCUCAAAUCAUACCUGAAUCUCUAUAUGCUUCUCCUCCACAAUUGACAUUAUCCAACAAACACUAACUAUCCAGUCUCAGUGAACAUUUGGCUCAAUUUCCAUAUCAUCCUCAAUUUCCAAAACCCAACUCUCUCAAAAAUCAAUACUCUCUGUUCCACACUAAACAUUACCCAACAUCAACCCAGAAACCACUACACCCCAAAACAACAAAGAAACAAACAAACAGCUCUUUAGAUUAAAUUCUUUCAAACAAGAAAACAAACAAUCAUUGCUUGAGCUCGAAGAAGCCUCGGCUUCCGUGCAGUUCCAAGAACCAGAAACAAAACCAAGAUAAACACAAACCCACAAAGACCAAACUUUCCGGAGACAAAAUUGACCCAAAAGAAACUAAAAGAUAAUAAAAAUCGCUAAUCUAUAGCUUCCAAAUAAGCUCCAAACUUCUUUUGCUUCCUUUUUUUUUAUCUUGUACUCGCUCGAAUGGAAACCUAAACAGUAGAAAAGCACUAGUGUGAAGUCUCAGAGUUUCUCUCUCUAGAAAAUGGGCGCUUUUCUCUCACUACCCACUCAGAAAGAGAAGAGCUUCCGAUGAUGAUAGAUAUUCCGAGUAUCUGUUCCGACGAGGACCGGGGUUUGGUUAAAGUAAGAGAGCCAAUUUUGAUUUUGAUUUUUUUUUUCAAAAGAGCAAGCGGAGUGGCCAAUGGGAGAGGCCCACGUGGAGGGCACAUAUUGGACUUUUCGUUGUAGUAUAGCGUCAGCGAUUUGGACGUUCUUGGUUGAGAAUCUAUUGGCUCGGCUCGGCUUCGGCUCGGCUUGGGUUGGAUUGGAUUUUCUUCUCCUUUUUCUGCCUCGUGUUUAUUGCUUUUUAUUUAAAUAAGAUAAGAAGUUAGGCCAAUCGUUUUCUAUUAUUAAUGUAUUUAUUCUUCUUCUUUUUCAUUUUUGGGUUUCUAUUGAUUUUUAAAGAGAGAAAAUUAGAGAAAGAGACAGUCUUGAAGUUGCAUUUGAGAUUAGUGGGAUGUUGAUGUUGAUAUUUCUCCAAAUUGGUUAGAGUUCUAAUAUCCUGAAAGCUUUUAAAAUUAUAUGUUGCUUCUUUUUUUUUAGAGGAAUUUGCUUCUUCUCAUCUUGAUAGGAACCUCUAGAAAUUGGGAUGCUCCUCUUUGACAUUUGACUUUAGUUUUUUACCAGUUCUUGUUCUUAUAGUUGUUAGAUUACUUAGAUAUAACUUUCCCUUUUGAUUAGGCAACAUAUAUGAACUAACAUUUGGUUCGUUCAAUUGCCUAUGGAGGUGAAUAUAAUACAAUGUGCAAUGAGUUGACCUUACUUUAUGAUCUGAAAACUAAGACCAAUUCUCAUAUCCUUCCCGCUAGAUUCUAAGAAUGAAUAUGUUUUGUAAUUUUGAAGUGUAAUUAACUUAUUCGCACAAAAUAGAAGUGAUUAGAUAGUGUUUAUAUUCUCUUCUCGAAUGUUUUUAAGGGCACAAUUAAGUUUAGGCCACAAUUAGGUCAUUUGUACUUAAACUAGAGACUUUCACACAUGAAAAGAAAAAAAAAAACAUCACAGUUAAUAUGUUUCCUUUGUUAUCAAGCAAAACAAUGGUUUUCUUGGAAUGUAUGCAAUUACUCAUUCUUAAACGCAACAUAUAUACAACUCUCUCCAAAUGAAUAUUAUAAGUUUGGCACUACAAUAUACAGUAUUGGGUUCAUAUUGUAUCUAAUAUUAUAGAAUUAGAAAUUAAGAUGAAUGAUGACAAAUAUGAACAUAUCACGAAACUAUACUUUUUUCUUCAAAAUCAAAUUUACUAUACUAUCAUCAAUUUUAAGAAAUAUCCUCAAUAAAACUGCUAUAAAGUAAUUUUCAAAUAUUAUAAGGUUACUUUUCAUAAGUAGAUGAAAACUUAUGACUGUUAUUUAAGCAGUUAGAAGCAAACAUAAGCUGGUGAUGGGAUGAAUAUCUAGCUAGAGAGGCACGAUCAUUCUUGAUGUCUGAUUAUCAUUAUAUGUAAUGUGAAAUCUUCUCAUUGAUAAGAAAAAUCACUAAAUCGUAUUAGAUUUCUAUCUUAACCCUCAUCUUACAUUUACCCUGAUUUUUUUUUUUCUCUAGAAAACAAAUAAGACGGAGACUCUAGCCGAUGUGAGAGUCACGUCUUAGCCAUAUGGCCCAUAUUCCUCGACAUGUAGUACAUAGUAUAGUUUGUUCGGACCCCAAGUACUAGAUGAUUUGGCGGUACAAGUUCGGUUCUUAUACUUGUCCAUGCUGCUAUAAAUCGGUUGGGAAUUCCAGCCACUCCUUUUUACGUUUUCAAAAUAUGAACCACCGCUUUCAAUCAGUACACGACACGUGUGAGUGAGACGUGCGUGCAGGUUUAUGGCAUGGGGCAUGGGUAGCAAUCAUUAUGUACGCACUACCCAAUCAAAUCUCUUGGUUACACUGACGUGUCAGGGACUCAGUGGACGAGUGGUCCCACGUGUUCCAUCACCGUCCCGAUUGGUACAAGUGUGUGGAUGGUUCUGACCUUUGGGACGAUUUCAUUGGUUCAAAGUAGCUAGGCCUAGCUCGUUCUCGGGUGCUGCACUCGUAACCAUUCAACAGGACUAAGAAAUUCUUUCAUAGGAUUCGAGAUGGACAAGUUUGAAUUCACUUGGAGAAAAAAGAUCCCAAUAUAUUCACUUAGGAAACUAACUAACAAAGAUUUGUCGAUGAGCCCCGUAACUUGUGAUAUAAUUAAGAUCGUACGUGAAAGUCAUGGGUUUAAAAAGUUUAGUUAGUAUAGAAAAUACGGUCUAAUUUUUUUUAUCAUUAUUAAUUAUUUUGACUAAAAACGAAGGUGUAAUGAACUAAUAAUCAAUAAUCGACAUAGUUACUUAAAACCUGAGAGUUGGACAAUGCAGGUAUCACAUGUUGGUUAUGUACAAAUUCCAUUUAAAUCUAAAGUUCGAUGAGAGUGACCAUUUAAAUCCAUGUUGGUUAUAACAUUUAACAAACAAAUGUUUGGAAAGAUGAAUGUAUCUCUUUAAAAUUUAUUAUGUUUAAUUUCUCACUGUUUAAGCAACAAAAUGGAUUGGCAUAAUUUACUAUAUGAAAGCUAACUAUUUAUGUACGUAUGAUUUCAAGUUGUAUCUAAUUAAGCAGAAGUGGUCUUUAUUUGAUCUCCUGGAGCUACUGAUCGACCCUAUAUAUAGCAAUUACUCCAAUUAGGCAUGCCUUGAUUUAGUGAUCAAAUCAAGCAGAGAAAGUGAUCGAGAUCCAAAACAGAGCGUGAGGGAUGGAGACGAUAACAUAUAUAGCACUUGGGUCUAGAAUCAGCAUAAGUUAUAAUUAACAUGCUGAAACACCAAACCUCUGUCCCUCUCUCACUGUCUCGUAGCAGCUAGAUGAUGCCCAUGCUUUGAUUCAAAAGCCCUAGCGAAACAGCCCCGGUUUCAAUAAGAUCCUAUUAAUCCUUGAGUUAUAAAAAAAACCGAAAGAAAGGAGAUGAUCGAUCGAGUCUGGUGCCUCUUCAGAAUCCAACAACAAUGUUCAUCAUAAUAUUUGAAGCUAAUUGAAACAAGACUACUGACGGGGCCUGGUCAACAGUAGUAUUCAUAUUUAAAAAAAGAUUUUUUCUAUUAUACAUAUGUGGUAUGUAUAGCCUGCAUCAAGUCGUGAACCGUCCGAUCGUCUUAAGUUUUAAAUUAUUGUUAAAUGAUGAGACGGUUCACGGCUUGAUGUAUGCUAUACAAAUGUGUAGCAGCCAAACCCUAUAAAAAGAAUGCAUGCAGUGACGAUUGAAGCUGUACGUACUUCGUAAUUAGAAUCUGCAUGUAUGGAAACUUGUUUGAAGGGCUUAGUCCCAUAAAAAGAAUGGGAACCCUAAAAGAAUGCAAGACAGAAAAUAAAAUUGGAAAGAAAAUUAUUUCAUUUCAAGUUAAUUACCCGCAAGCAAAGAGCUUUAAUUAGUUAUAAACAUAGAGCUUAAUUUGUUCCUAGGUUGGUCUUCCAUGCAUAUGGUUAUGAUCACUAAUAUGGUUACCUCAACAAAAUCUGAAUACAGCAGGAUCACUAAUAAAUCAAGCAGAAGCUGUUUUUGAUCUGGAGGAGCUUUGGGCCUUAUAAAGAUAAGCCUGUCUGAGCCGCUUCGUCUUUUCCUCGAGUUGCAAAUCGGGAACUUCCUCAACCAGCUUCCUCUCCUUCUCCAAUAACUCCAGCUCUUCUUCGUUCUUCCCGGAGUCCUGCAUGUAUGAUGUUUGCACACAUUAUUUUUCAUCAUACAGUCAUUUCAGUAAGACAUUUUCUAUAUUUGUACACUAAGAUAUUGCUUGUAAGAUCCCCUCUACUUUAGGAUCACAAUCUAGCCAUUCAAGACAUAUUAGUUUUAAAAACUUUCAGCCGAGUUAGAAAUCAUCAAAACUUAUUGAAUUAAAAACAAAUAAAUGGAUCGAUUAAAUUUGUCAUACUUGAACCAUUCAUACUUAUAAAGCUAAAUCAUGAUUUUAAAUGCCUUAAUAAUUAAAAAGUCGAGAUGCAAGUUUACGAAAGUGAUCUACGUACCUAUGCUAUGUUUUGCACAUUAUACCUGAAUGCUUUUUUCUAAGUUCUUUAAGCUGUUCAACUUUCGAUUGGGCCAACGUUUAAUGCGCAGCUCUCGACAUCUUUUCUUAAGAGUUGUCACACUGACAUUCAUUUCUUCAGCUGCUUGAGCCAUCGGCAUGUAGAAGUAUUGAGAUAUGGUUUCUAGAGACAACAUUUUGGCUCUUGAUUUUGAUGAAGAACUUGCACCACUUCUAUUCAGUAUUGCAAGGAGUGGUAUUGAUAAUGUUGGACGACAUACUCUCUUCUCCAUCAAUCCCAACACCGUAACCAUCUCCCAGGACAGUCAGUGGCGUAGGAAUGGUAGGGCGAGAAGGGUCAAUUGACUCUUCUAGCUAUUUGAAUUAAGCAGCCAUUGGUUGAAAUGUUUGGUAAUCACAUAUCUAAACUAUAAUUAAUGACCCUCCUCACAUAAGAUAAUCUGUAAAACUGAAAGGAAACAAGAUCAAAAGUUUUGAUCUUAUGACCCAUUCAACCCACAAGUCCAGUAUUUGGACAAGUGUCCAUCAUGUUUUAACUUUUUAUUGCAUUUUAUUUAUUAAGUUGUCAAUUAAUAAUGAUUCUAUCCCAUAAAUCAACACAAUUAAACAAUAUAUAUUUAGAUUUAUACACCCUUUUUUCACUCAUGGUCUCUAGCAAAUCAAGUCAAAAUUAGAAGAAUGAAAUAUAAAGUAAUGUAUCUAAUAUUUUUUUUUAAAUGGAUGUAAUUUAUGUUAUUUGAUGAAGUUCAUCUUUGUCCAAACCCCCACAAUAACUAAGAUUGAUUGGGUUGAAUAUUUAUUAAAUGCUGAUUUAGUGUGAAGGAUAUAAGUUGCUUAAGAAGAGUUAAGUUUUGACCCUUCUAAAUAAUAAUUCUGGCUACACCACUGAGGACAGUAUCAUCUAUUAAAGACAAUUCAUCUUGCCAGUCUGAUGGAACGUACUCACUUCCACUGAUGAGAAACAUCGUAAGGAAAUACACAUUAGGUUAAACCAAGAUCAAAGGAAAAGAAUUUACUUCAAAACUAAAUCAUGUUCGACUUGAGAAAGGUAAACUAACUUGUAUCUUGCAUCCAGCUCUGAAUGUUAAAAAACGAACACAACCGAACAUUAUUACCUCAAAUCAAGUGGAGUUAAUUGGCUUGCAAAGGAAAAUAGGUCUUCAUCAUCCUUGGACAAACAAGCCAUUAAAGCUGAAGAGAUCUAGAAUAAAAACUAUGGAAAGUACUACUGAGACUGAAGAAGAAGAAGAACAACAACGAGCUCGAGAGAAAGAGGUAGAGAGGGGAAAACUGAUAAUUGUAUUCUCGAGUACAGGAUAAGGGUCAUUUAUACUAACUUGAAAAUGAUAAUUUUAUAUUGACUUUGACCGAUAUUUACUCUUUUAGAAAACGACCUACGUAGUCUUAAGUCUUGGAGGAAGGGACAAGUCCCAUAUAUGGAACUACGUACAAAUUAAGCAAGCACGCAAGACACCAAAUAUGAAAGGAAAAAAUGUUCUUCGUACUUCAUUCUGCUAGCUACCUACAGUUGACAACCAAAUUGACCGAAUGAAUGAUCUUUUCUAGCUCUUGUUUCUCUAGCAAGUACGUUCAGUUAUUUAGUUUCACCUGACAUCUCAUGUAUUUUACUUAGUUUCAUAUUUACCAAAUUAUUUAUUACCAAGUUUCAAAGAUGAAUCGUUCACAGGGUUGUUCAUCCGUAUAUCGUUUCAAUAUAAGAAUCACCCUGCUGCUUGAUUAGAGCUUGGCUAAUGACUUGACUUUGGCCAGAGAUUAAAGUGCACGAGUGGAGGAAACAUCCGAUCAGUUUCAUGAGGACGAGUUAGGUGUCACUUAGCCCUAAAAUGGUAAGAAAAAUUGACAAAUGUAAUAACCAAGAAACUUUCAUCAUUUUUAUCUUGGGUAAUUUCGCUUGGCUUACAUCUUCCAUGGGAAUCCGAUAUAAUGAACUAGGAUGACAAAGGAGAACAUUAUCAUGGCCUUUGAGCAAAAAUGACACAGAGAUGACUACAUAUACAGUAGCUAGUCAUCUGUUAUUUCUGGAACUCUCCAGCAGGAACAAAUUACUAGCUAAUUACUGGGAACCUUGAAGCAAAAAUGAUGUAUUCACAGGAAUAUGAAUUUAUAACGACCAUUUAAUUUGAACUUUUUUCUUUUCUUCCCAAUGCUGUGAACCAAAAAAUGAGAUUUCUUGAGCAAAAGACUAAUUUGUACUCGGUUAACUACGUAAAUUGUCCCCUGAAGGCCUGAAAUUUGUGAUGACCAGCUCAGAGAUCAGAAGGAAUUAGCAGGCCACUUUCUUCAUCAUCUUUCUCUUCGAUCCUAGUCUCUUCCGCAGCCAAAGUAAGCUCCUCUGCCCUUCUAGUUUGGUGCUUCCAAUCUGUGUGAACCAAUGUGUACACCAUCAUACACACACACGAAGCCUGUGCAGAUAGUAACCCAAGCCACAGCCCCAAAAACCCAACUUUGUAUGCAAAAGUUGCAAUAAUAGCAACUGGUAAUCCAAUAAGGUAAAAUGAAUACAAGUUAAUUCUUGCUCCAAGCUUAGGUCGUGCAGUACCUGUCAAGACUCCGCAUGCAGCUGUUUGAGGAGUGUUGCCAAGUUCACAUAGCCCCAAUAUUGGAAGUGCAGCUGAAAUCAGUUCAAGAAUUUGUGGUUCAUUUGUGAACAUUGUCCCCCACACAUUUCUCAUACAAGUCAUGAAAACAAAUGCGAACAGCCCGAAAACAAACGCGACAAGAAGACCGACGAGGGCAGCCCAUCGUGCUUGGCUCGGUUGCCCCGCCCCCAAGGAAUGUCCAACCCUAGUUGACAAUGCCCAGCUUAAUGAAAUUGGAAAGAUGUAUAACAUUCCUGUUGUUUGAAUUAGGAUGCCCAUGGCUGCAACACUAGCUUGUGGGUUACUCAAAAGACCACAGAAGAACAACAUGAUUUCAUACCACCACCAUUCCAAGCACACUGAAACGCAACUGGGUAGUGCUAAACUUAGCAAUGGUCUCCAUCCUUGAAAAGUAGAGACAAUUGUGAGCCCGCUCCAAGGUUUCAAUGCUCUAUUUGAGAUAGCUAUAUAAAUCACCAAUCCCACAUUCAAAUUCCAAGUGUUCCAAGCAAGUCCCAAAGCAAUACCUUCCACCCCCAAGUUCAAGUAAGAGACUAGAAAAUAAUUGAUGGGUAAGUGCAUGAGGGCUGAGAAACAUGCAGCUAAAGUAAGUGGGGUGGUAAGGCCUUGAGUUCGUAAGAAGACUCUCAAUGGGUUGAGGUGAGCUUGAGCUAGCAAUUCAGGGAUCGAGCAAACCAUGUAAACCCUAGCAACUCUGGUAAUCUGUGGGUCUUGACCUAACCAUAGGAAAAUUGGCUCGAUAUUGAGCCACGCGAAUGAGAUCGGAAUGGAAACUAAUAGAAGCAGACAGAGGGUUUUCUGGAAGGUUUGGCUGAGAACAGUCCAUCUUUGAGCUCCAUAAGCUUGGCAACAGAUUGGGUCCAUACCAGUAGUUAGUCCUCUGAGGAUUGAGAUGCCUGUAAUAUUUGCAAACCCAAGUGCUAAUGAGCCUCCUGCUAACUCUGCUUUUCCGAGCCGACCUAAGAAGAGCAUUGAAAUUACAGACCUUGAAUAUAUAAGUAGGGAUGAUAUCACUAUUGGACCUCCAACUUUUAUCAGCGACCGUAACUCUUCUCCUAUCUACAAGGAUUCAACAAUAUGAACAGAAAGUAAGAACACUGGAAUUGCAUUACCGAAACUCAGAGAAGUUAAUUAGGGGAAUUUUUCAACUUGCAUCUUAUUUUUUUCUCGAAUAACAUGCAAUUACCUUAAAACUGUGACUCAUGUAACAUGCAAGAGCCGACAUUCCAUACAAUGUAGAGGAAUCUAACAGUAAAAAAACUCUAAACUCAACUGAUGACAAUGUGAGUUUAAAUUAUAUAUGCUUAAUGAUCUACGUGAAAUAGUUAAGCUUUUAUGUUUAUUUAUAUUAGCCUUUUACCCGUGCAUUUGCACGGGCUCACAAUUUCUUAAUAACGCAGUUAUUCUCUCCAGUAUAAAGCCCACUACUCACUUUUCUCUCCCUAAUUAUCUUUUUAUUUUAUUUUUUUAUUUACCAUAUUAACCUUCUUUUUACUAAUCUGAAUCAACUUAAUAAAGGUAGUAUUGUCUAAAUAUAAUUUGAUAAUUUAAGGACCGCUCGUUUUAUAGUAGUAGAGAUAAGUUUAUGUCAUUAUAUUUCUUUCAUUUAUCUACCACUUUACCUGUGUUUCCUUCUGUAUAACUUCUGUUUUUGUUUUUCUCAAUGAAAUAUACUUUAGCUAAAGAAAGAGCUGUGCUAUGGUUCUACCGUAUGGAAACAGUAAUUCCGGUCAUUGCUAUAUAUAAGUCCCAAGGACCCAACAUUAUGCAUUGUUUUUGCAAUUUCGCAAUCAACUUGUGAACUUUUUAUUCAUUAGAAAAACUGCGAGUGGCGAAGGGUGAAGUGGUAAAGUAUCCAACAAAAUAAUCAGAGCAUCGGUUUGUCUUAUAAAGUUAAAAGUUAUGCUAAUAAAAAAAAUGUCAACGUACGCCAAAAGAAUAUUGGGGUUGUCAUAUAAUUGAUUCUAUUUGAUGCAGACUGUAGACUAAAUUAUCAUAUCUCCCAUAAGUUGGUUUUUGUUUCUGUCACAGUGUUUGUACUUUGUACUAGUUAAUAUGUAGGAAAAGAUAAGGAUUAGUUUCAGCACGUUAUCAAAGUUAACUCUAAGAAACAUGUGUUUCAAUCACUUAACUGAUCUAGAUUCUUGAAUUCAUUGAAGCAAAGUAAGCUACUGGAGCUGGUCUAGCUACAUUCAAUACCUGAAUAUGAGAGUAUAAGUUUGACAGAGUAAAAGAACUACUUGAAUAACUCUUUUGGUCAAUACUCAAUACUAGCUACUUGAAUAUAUAACUAAGUUACUGAAGUGGUAAUUAGAUGAUGGUAACAAGAAAAAAAAAAAAAAAUUGUUUUCAAUAAGAUGCUUAAGAACCCCUUUAAUAUAUUCGCUGCUUAACUUUUUCCCGAAUGAGAAAGAAUUUAAGUUGUGUUUUUUACAAGAAUAGUUGAAUUUCUUCUGACUUCUGGGACUGACAUUUCUCGACAGAGAGUAUUUUACUUCAUAUCCUUUUGUUAUAUUCAUUAUAUGUCACUAUGAAAAUAAAAAUUAAACCAAAACAAAACAGACAACUGCCAUCGAAAUGCAUAUGAUGAGUCACACAUGACAUGAAGUUCGAGACCCCAGAAACUUAAGAUUUUACUCCACCCUGCACCAUGCAAACUAAGAAAGAAAUGAAGAGUUUGAGGUUGUGAACAAAGAACCUCCAACGUUUCGAGAGACUCUGUAGUAUUAGGAAAUACCUAACCCAAAAACUUAAGCUAUUGGAACAGGGGCGUCCACCAAUGUUGAAUGUGUAUGAAAGAGGAAGGGAGGGAGGGAGAGAGAUGUUGUGUGAAAAGUAGUACCUCUGUUAGUGGCAGCUGUCGGAGAAGCCCAGUUGUGGGAAGCUGCUGCUGCAGCCGUUGACGGAGGUUUUGAAUGAAGCUAGUGCUGCUGCUGCGGACACCUUCGCUUCUGUCUGACCUCAUUGUCAUGUAUUCUUCUUCAUUGUUAUAGUGAGCUCCUCCUCCAUCUAGCUUCGUUAUCAAAGGGUCGUGACCAUUUAUAAUUCCUCGAGAUUCAGUACUGGGAAGGCACAUGAUUAUCCAACUCUGAAAAGGGACACAGAUCAAAAACAAACCUUUGCAAGUACGACUUCGGACCACUUCCAGAGAUCAGAAAGCAUAUUUAUUACUAAUCUUUCUCAUCUUGUAUUUCAUAUAUUCAUAUUGCUGCAUAGCUAUUCCAAGGUCAUGUGGACGAAGGUUUACUUAAAAAAAUGAGGUAUGAUUACCGACCUUAGAAUUUCAGAGCCUCAAAGCUGGUUGCUGUCUGUCACUUUUGGGAAGCCGGCCCUGUUGGUCUUUUGCAGCCACUGAUCUCUGUCCGCCCUCGAAUUAUUAUUGCAGAGAAGAUGAAGAGCUAUAACGAUGAAAUGGUGCUUUGAAACAUGGAACGAACAUUGAAUUAUAUAGUACAGUAUGAGAAAUAGUUUAAGCAUGCGCAGUAAGCCAGUCUUUUGGCUUUAUCCAAGAAAAUCUGUUGUCACCAUAAUUAUGAAUAGAAAACUGGGUUAAUUGAAUUGGAUAUAUAUAUAUAUAUAUAUAUAGUCCGUUUCAGAUACGGACGUCCGUACAGUCUUAAGGUGCGGAUUUUCCUCCGUUCGCCAUCGUACGGUGCCGGUGAGGGCGCGCCUCCACCCUAGCAGACUCCAGCAGCUUCCCCGACCACUUUCCCUCCCCGGCGAGUCCGCCGAAUUCCAGUUUUCCGGCCAGAUCACCCAAAACUUCAAACAAAGUCAAUCUGGCCGGAAACUGGAAUUCAGCGGACUUGUNNNNNNNNNNNNNNNNNNNNGAUGAUCUACAUAAUAUUAUCUAGAUACUAGACGGUGGAGAUGAGGAAAUUCGAUCGAAAAGUGGUGCAAAAAUGAAAAUCCGCACCAAAACCAUUGGUGCGGACUUGGUGCGGACGUCCGCAGAUGAGACGGAUUGUAUAUAUAUAUAUAAAGGAUCAGAGGCGGACGUCCGUGAAGGUGAAAGAGUGUGGACGCCGACUCAAAAAGGCUCCAGGCGGUGCUAACGGCAUUGGCAACCUUGACGUCGCUGAAGCAGACCUCCAUCAUGUCCUUCUCCUUACCGGUGGACUCUCCGACAAAGAGUUCGAAGACGAGAAUGAGGUGCUUGAAGUUUUAUGGUAAACUUCCCGACCGGACCAUCGAUCUAGCUCACCUCGGCUUUCAAACUCGAGUUUUUCAGGUAUGAACACAACUGGACAGAAUUCAGUCCGUCCAUUUAUUUUUCGAGUUUGAGGGCCUUAACGAUUACCAAAUUAGCUGAAAUUUUGCAAAGAUGAUCUACACAAUAUUAUCUAGAUACUAGAUGGUGGAGAUGAGAAAAUUCGAUCAAAAAGUGGUGCAAAAAUAGAAAUCCGCACCAAAACUUUGGAGAUGACGUCCGCACCUGAGAAUUCCUGUAUAUAUAUAUAUAUACAUAUAUAGGGGCCGAAUAUGAAGCGGACGUCCGCAACUAUGUUAAAGUGCGGUCGCCGGCUCAAAUCAACUUCGGCGGCACCGAUUGCUUCGUUGUUCUUGUUGGUUCCAAUCAAGGGCUCUAGAACUUCUUGCCGGUAGACUCGAUGAUGAUAAGUUUUGAAUCUGGGAUUGAACUUCUUCAAGUUUCUGCAUUUUUUCCAGCGUCGAACCUUCUUCUACGAUCACCUUGGCAUUCAACUUGAUGGUAAUGGCGUCUAAGGAUGGAAGAAGAGCUAUCAUAUGCAACCGCUGGAGUUGAUUUGAGCCGGCGUCCGCACUUUAACAUAGUUGCGGACGUCCGCUUCAUAUCCUGCCUCUAUAUAUAUGUAUAUAUAUAUACAGGAAUUCUCAGGUGCGGACGUCAUCUCCAAAGUUUUGGUGAGGAUUUCCAUUUUUGCACCACUUUUCGAUCGAAUUUUCUCAUCUCCACCCUCUAGUAUCUAGAUAAUAUUGUGUAGAUCAUCUCUGUAAAAUUUCAGCUAAUUUGGUAAUCGUUAAGGCCCUCAAACUCGAAAAACAAAUGGACGGACUGAAUUAUGUCCGGUUGUGUUCAUACAAGAAAAACUCGAGUUUGAAAGCCGAGGUGAGCUAGAUCGAUGGUCCGGUCGGGAAGUUUACCAUAAAACUUCAAGCACCUCAUUCUCGUCUUCGAACUCGUUGUUGGAGAGUCCACCGGUAAGGAGAAGGACAUGAUGGAGGUCUGCUUCAGCGACGUCAAGGUUGCCAACGCCGUCAGCACCUCCUAGAGCCUUUUUGAGUCGGCGUCCACACUUUUUCACCUUCACGGACGUCCGCCUCUGAUCCUUUAUAUAUAUAUAUAUAUACAGUCCGUCUCAGCUGCGGACGUCCGCACCAAUGGUUUUGGUGCGGAUUUUCAUUUUUGCACCACUUUUCGAUCGAAUUUCCUCAUCUCCACCGUCUAGUAUCUAGAUAAUAUUGUGUAGAUCAUCUCUGCAAAAUUUCAGCCAAUUUGGUAAUCGUUAAUGCCCUCAAAAUUGUGUUUUUCUAAUAUAAACAUGAACCGGACAGAAUUCAGUCCGUCCAUUUGUUUUUCGAGUUUGAGAGCCUUAACGAUUACCAAAUUAGCUGAAAUUUUACAGAGAUGAUCUACACAAUAUUAUCUAGAUACUAGACGGUGGAGAUGAGGAAAUUCGAUCGAAAAGUGGUGAAAAAAUGAAAUCCGCACCAAACCAUUGGUGUGGACGUCCGCAGCUGAGAAAAAUCCUAUAUAUAUAACACAGUGAUAUAGAUGCUUGAUGAUAUACAUGAACUAUGUUGCAUAGACCCCUGGAGUGUCGGAGUGUCGGAGUGUGCGACACGCCCGACACGCCCGACACGGCGACACGCCACGUGGCGUGUCGGAAAAUGUUGACCUUUUCGACACGUUCUGACACAUUGACCAACACGUCACCUCAGCCUCCGACACGCCACGCCAUCAAUUUUCAAUAUAUAUAUAUAUAUAAUUAUUAUUUUUUUUUUAAAAGAGAGGUUUAAAUGGAUUAAGAAAUUAUUGAAAUUUUCUUGUCUAUUAGAUAUUAGAGGGCUAUUGUGUUACUAAGUUGAUGCCUAGUUCUUUUUACAACCUACAUCGCUGCCCAUUUGAUUAUCUUUAAUGACUUGCAUUUGAUUUUCCUUAAUGUUAUUUUAAUAUGCUUAUGUAAUUGAUUGAAUUUAGAUAAAAAAUAAAGAAAAAAGAUUGAAUUUAGAACUUUUUUUUUUUUGAUCAAAGGUCAUACGAUUUAAAUCAGAGCAAGCAGUACAAAGACGACGUACCCUUGUAGGGUAGUCAGAAAACAUUGUCUUGCAGAAUUGCAAGUCAUAUACUAGAUAAAGCAUAAGCUUUGAAAUCCUAAGUACACCUACCUUAUAGCGAUUAAGCAUAAUUAUUUUACAGGUGAAACUAGGUUUCGGAGAAAAUUAUCAAGAUUCUACGAAAAUCACUAGUUACCUGGACCAUAACUCAUUCUAAAUUAAGGGCCAAAGCCCAAAUUCAUCCGCUAGAGCCCAAUCAGAUGAAACCCUAGCUGAUGCAGCCUAAGCCCAAACAAGCCCAACUCAUAGAGAAGCCUUGAGAGAAACCCUAGCAACCUUCAUCUUUUCCCUACCAUCAUCACCAUCGGAUAGCAGCGGCGCCGUAGGAACCAAAUCCGGAAUCAGAGCCAGAGCACCACCAUCCUCCCCAACAACGGAAAUAUGGUGAAUACCUGGUGCAUAUAUGGCCUCUUGCUGAGAUCUGAGACGCAAAGAUCUGAAUUGAGGGCUCCCAACCGCCGCCAAACAAGCCACCUCCGAGCGCUCCAAUCCUCUUCAACGUUUCCAUUCCAUCCCAAGCCACAAUUCGAUCGGCCUGUAUUGCUUCCUCCCUUGUAUCAAACCCAAAGGCAAGAACAAAAAGAGAACAACCAAGACCUUUGUUUAGGAGAUUCUGAUGAACAAAGCCGCCAUCACCACCACAAAUUGGACUCAACAUCCACCACCGCCCAUAUAAGGCACGAUAGAGCCAUCCAUCACUGCCUUUGAUUGGAGAAAAAGAGACUGGAGAAGAGAUCUGCUUCCUCGUUAAAAGAGAAUCACCGUUGCUGGUCAGUUUGAGAGUUUUGUCGACUGCCGCCGCCGAGUAAAACCCUAGCAGAGCUAGGGAGAGAGACAUCUUGUCAUAUGCGUUGUUAUUAACAUGUCGCAUAAAACGAUUGAAUUUAUUAGAACAUGAUUUUGGUAAUGUAAUGAACUUAUUUAAUAUUUUAGUAUAUUUUUUAUGUAUUAAAAUUCAUAAAUAUAUUAUUCUAUUUGCCGUGUUCAAGCCGUGUCGAAGGAAACUCAGUUUUUAAGUUUUACCAUGUAGCGCCAUGACCGUGUCCGUAUCCGUGCAACAUAGUACAUGAACUAGAGAUGUCAAUGUAAAUAAUUAAUUUGUUUAUUUCUCAAAUAUCAACUAAAGAAGAUGUAUACGACAAUGCUGCAGCGCUGAAAUAUAUAAAUUACAAUUACUAUCUAGGGUUCUCAUUAUUAACUAAAUAAUUAAUCAGCUACAGAUUGUUAAUUUUAGCAUGCAGCUGCAGAAUGUUAAACUCAUCACCACCCCAGUAAAUACUUGCUUAAUUUGAAAAGCAUUUUUGUAUAUCAUCGGAUAACCGAGAAUUAUUCAACUUAACUUACGGUUAAAUAAAGCUACACCGACAUUGCAUAGAGGAACAGUAAUUAGGACACUUAUACUUCCAAAUAAUGGGACAUUACCCCCCUACCAAUGAGUUUGAGAAAUAUGUGUAGACGAGUUCUACUAAUGAAUAUUCCCCGACAUCCAAUUCUUGUCCUAUUUGCAGUGCAUGUCUUUAGGUACGAAGAACAGAUUAAUAUACCGGUAACUUUGUGUUAAGACACUAAUUCCACUAACUAUUAUCUUAACAUGGAGUUAAUUAAUUGAUUAAUUUAUUUAGGGAUUUAUAAAAUUCCUAGCUAGUAUCAUAAUAGUGAAGAAUGUGAGAGAAUGUUCAAAAAACUCGUACAAUUUAUAUUGUAUCACAUCUUUUAUAAAGUAUCGCAAUCACACAACUUAUCAAUUAUCCUACAUAUAUUGUGAAUGAAAAUAUCAUAUAUUAGUACUUAUUUGUACCUUGAGGCUAUAAAGCAUGCAUUGUCUUCCAAAAUUUCAAAGUUAAAUCAUAUACUUUUGUCUCUUGGUCACUCAACGGGCCAUAUAUCACAAUGCUUUACAACAAAGGCUCCGUCACAAAGCAACGGGUUUUAGAUUCUUCUUAGCUGUGCCAAUGUGAUAUGUACAGUUUCAGUUUUCAUUUUGGGAUUUCAUUUGACUGUGCUGACUAUAAUUGGAAAAGAUGAAGAAUAUUUCUACUUCAAUUCAUUUCUCUUUUCAUGACUACAUACUUUUGGAAAUAUCUAUCUUAUUUUAUAUACUUCCCCAGUUCCCCUGGUUAAUGGGCAGCACCAUGGUUAGUGAACAACAACAAUCAUGAAGUGGAACACUUAAGAGGCAAUCUGCCCUUUCAAAUUGAAGUUUUUCAAUGCUUUAACCCUUUUUUGUACUCUUAAAUUAAGACAGAAUCAUAUGGUAGCUUUCAAAGAAAUAUUUAUUGAUAAUAUACCGGUUAGUCUCUAUAAUUCAUUUAUUUCCAUUAAGAGCGGAUUCUACGCAUUAAGGUACACUUGCACCGCUAAUGUGUAAGUCAUAACAAUUGGAGCUGCGAAGAUAGAAUGAAGACUCGCGAUUCUUAAUUAUUUCUUAUACUUUUCAUUUUUGAUCUGAUCAAAGUAAACGUACAUAAUAAGAGAAGCUCUUCUUUGACCUCGGAUUCGCACAUGUGUCGGAAAUACUUGAACUACCUUAGCGCGUAUAAAAUUUUUCACUUUCUACUUAGACAUGCAUAUAUGUUCUUGUCCUCCCUUUUCUUUAAUCUCUUUUCUUUUUCUUUUUUGGAAGCUAAGAGAUGAAAGACAUGAUUCAUUCCAAAGUCUAAACCAAGUUGUGACUCUAGCAAGUGCAACUUACCACACUAUUGUCCGCUAAGAAAGCUUUACAAGACUAAUUCUGAUGCCUAGCUAAUAGUUUAAUAACUAUCUGCGUUUAAUUAACUUUUCCCCUUGUCAUUGGUUCUCAUAGCUUCAAUUAUUUGUGGUUGUUGAACAAAAUGAUGGAUGUCCAUGCCCCUGUCUCCUUUUCCCCACACAUUUACCUGAAUUGUUAGGUAACAAAAGAGUGCUCCAAUGAUACUUGUUAAUUAGUUGUUUUGUGGAGACAGCUUCAACACGACAUUCAAUUGGUCUGAGGUCAAUCCUCAUUAUAUAAGGCAAAACCAUGCAAGGGUCAAUUAUGAUUGCAACACGUCCUGUUGAGUACUUGAGUUUGAGUCCCUUUAAUUUUAAUUAGGUAGAUCGGACCACGAGCGAUUAUUGAUCAGUUCGUAUAGCAUAUAAUCGUAGCAAUCAUGUCUUGAGCACUAACUCAAUAUUGUGAUCUUGAUGUGAGAAGUAAUGGCUUCUUAUUACUAUGAUGCAACAGACUUUCUUAUACAGGAUCGGAUUUGGGAGGAAAAACCCAAAAUUGAAUGGGGAUGGGGACGAGAAAUGGGAAGUGAGAUGACGAAAAUGAGAAAUAUAGGGUCCUUAGUGAAAAAAAUUACUAUUUGGGGUUAUCUAUUAUUGAUCGAGCUUUACAGCCGAAAGCUAGCUAUUCCAUCACCACCGCCUUUGGCUUCAACUUGGAAGCUAAUGAAAUGAGCUUUGAACCCCUAAACCCUAUUUACUCAAAACUUAUUAGGUUCAUGCAUGUAAAAGGAUGGCCACUGCAACUUGAACCCAGCAGCCUCAUAUAAUUACAUUACUUGAGCUUAUAUAUGUGCAAUUACAGAUAUGAAAGGUUGAUGCAUAGGUUAAGCAAUGCCGUACUAGUUGAGAAAGAAAGGCAAGCUAGCGUGGUAUCUGAGAAAACACAAAGCACGUUGCUAAACAGUUGGGACCAGCACAAAUUGAGACCCUUCACAAGUACGAAGAUGCCCGAUCGAACCAACCAAAGCUUCAGCAUAUGGACUUGACCAGUUUUGAAACACCAGAAAUUAACCAACUUGUCAUAUAUGAAGUUCAGCUUCGUUUUAUACUUUGGAUUAAAAUCUGUGAAGUUUGGUGGUUUCUUUUUCUUUCUCAUUGUGCUGUGGUUAGAUAUGCGCAUGUAGUAGUUUGAGGCAAUAAUUUAGAAGACGAUGACAUAGUUAUAUUAUCAUUGUACUUGAAAAGGAAGAGAACACGUUGGAAAAAGGUUGUUAAUUUCGAAUUUGGAUUCUAUAUAAUGCUGUAAUGCAUAGCACUAUUUGGUGCAACCAUUGGUUGAUUGUACUGCUAAGCUCUUAUUUAAGCGGAAACAUUUAUAAUAUCUACAUCUAAUUACGUAGAUUAAUCAUACCCUUAUUCUAUAUUAUCAUGCAGUUGGUUAGAACUAAUUAAAGUGAAGUAUGUAUCCAAUUCACUGUGAAUUCUCAUACUUUCAUUUCAAAUUGUUUCUCUUCCUCUUGCAUGUCUGAGAAAUACACAUCGAUCUGAGUCAUCUGUCAUGGGGGUUUUGGCAACUAUGAUGAGGUAAUUUCUCAUAAAAAAAAAAAAAAACUAUAAUGAGGUAAUUCUUAUGAACUUCGAUCGAUCUCAAUAACCUGGAUAAUGCAAUUCCAAUCCACAAAUUACUGUCAUUUCUCCCAUGAGAAGGUUCAUAGCAAUUGAUUAUUCCUAAUAAGCAGGCAAUACCUUCCCCAGUAGUCCACACUUUGGCCAGUUAAUUAGCAUAUCCAGAUUAUUUCUUUUUAUUAAUUUAGCAUAUCCAGAUCGACAUGCAUCCACUUAUUUUGCUCGGGUUCAUUCAGAAUCUACGACCCUUUGGCCGGGACAACAAGAAGCUGAUCAAGUCACUGGGACUUCUAUAUAUUUAGUCAUUUAUUAUUCGUUGCUGUACCAUGAAUCAUAGUAGUGGCCGGGAACCAAUCAAUCUACAAUGUGUUGAUAUGCUCACUAAGAUUUAAGCCUAAUGAAAACAAAGCUGAGAGACAACCCUAAACGCUGCCUUGUAGUCACACGGCAACAUCUGUCCAUGUCAAAAUAUGGGGUACCAAGGCCACUAAGGUCUUCCUUCUCACCCAUCAACAAAAAGAAUGUGUUACCUCUUUAUGUAUACAACUAUGAAGUAGCAACAUCAUUCUAGAUCGAGCGUGUGCCAAGGAGAGAGGCGUAACAGAGUAGAAGUUGAAGGCGACUCCAAACUUGUCAUCAAUGCAGUCAAUGGAGUCUCAGCCCUGCCAUGGAGGAUUCUCAAGCUCAUCCAUGAUAUCAAUAGCUUGAGAGAGUCCUUUGAAUUUAUCAGUUUUCACCACAAGUUUAGAGAAACAAACUUUGUUGCAAAUGCUAUGGCAACUCUCAGCCAUAGCUUGAGAAAUUGGUGCUUUAAUUUUGGGAUGAGUGUGUUCCUCCAGAAGCGGCCCUAGCUAUUACCUUUGACGUGUAAACACCGGGUGCAUUAGAGGCACCUCUAUUUAAUGAAAAAAAAAAACAUCAUUCUAGAGUGCCAUCCUCUCUUUAGGUGCUCUACCUAGAGUUGCAGAGGAUUGCGACAAAAGAGAGUGGUGGCGGAGGCGGUCAUCGACGUUGGCUCUAGGAGAGUGUCUGGUCUUCGGAUGAGGCAAGUAGUACCUAAUGUCUCGACGUGUGGGCGGUGUGGCGUCGUGAAGAGUAGGCUUAAUUGGGUGGUGUCGUGAAGCGCAAGCUUGGGAGGCAUAUGGGUUGCUACCGAUGCCGUAAGAGUGGAGACAUGUGGUGGUAUUUUGAAGAAUUGCCGGCUGAGUGAAGAAUUGUUUGCAACAUCAUCUCUCUGGAAAACCUAGCUAAACUUUAGGGUUUUUUUUUUUUUUUUUUUUUCUUGGUUGUGAAAUUGGGGAUAUUUUGUUUGUCGGCAAAAUCUGGCAAAGAAUAAGACAAUAGAAUCGAAGAUAUUCACUAGCUAAUUACCAGGCUAAAACCUAGCUCGAAUAGGAAUUUAGGAAAUUAACUAGGAAACCAUUAGAAUUUAGGAAUUGCUGAUAGGAGAUAUCAACAUCUAUAUAUCUUCAGGUCGAUCUUAGCUUAAAAUACUUCCAAUCAGCUCUAGUUUUUUUUUCGUCAUUAAGGCCUCUCUGGGUUAUCUUCAGGCAGCACGUCAUGGGUUUACUGAAGUCUCUGCGUCAGAAGAUCUUAAGAAAGCUAUGUUUUGGCGGAAGCAAGUUCAGCAGUGAUUCCAACCACUUCAGGCGACUUGACGAUCGUGCCGAAACCAAAACCUGCCGAACUCGGGGAGGUUGUGUACCUGUGUACAUCGGUGAACAGAAGAUGAGAUAUGAAGUCCCGCUGCAAUAUCUCUCUUUUAACAAAUUCCAAGAUUUGAUUCUAGAAUCGUUUGGAGGCGAUCUUGAAUUCGUCAAGAAUGAAGGACCUAUCGAGCUUCCGAAUUGCACCACUGAGAAGUUCUAUGAAAUAUUAAACGAGGCCGAGAAAAACUACAGAAGUACUACGAUUGUGAGCCACUAGCUAGGGCUCAAUGAUUGUGGAAAUUAGUUAGCAUCAAUCUUUAUUUACUAAUCAGAGUAUUUCACGUCCCAAACCCUAGUUUAGCAAAGUUACAUAAAGCAAACCAAAGUAUUGGUAGACCUGACUAGGCCUGGUCAGGUAAGUUCUUUCCCUAUAUGGCAAUGAAUCUUUCUUUUUUGAGUAUCAAAAUCUGCAAUUCCAGAGUAGAUCGAUAUUUAUAGCGGGAAUAUAUAAGCUAGCCAAAUCUUGAUAUUAUUGUGGUUUAACAUUGAAUAAGGAAAUUUGAAGGCAUUUUCUCAUUGCCACCUUUAGUAAUUAGGUCUUAAUGAUUUUUCCUAUUCGGUAAAACAAAUACGCGGUUUGCAUUAAUACAUAUAUCUGAAUCGACUGAAUGUAUUAACUAAUCCAGAGACUCAUCACUCAGAUUUUGAAGAAUCCCAGAUUUGAUUAUGCGUAAUUCCAACGUAUUAUUGGUUACAGCUAAUUAGGUUAAUCACUCGGUAAAACAAAUACGCGGUCUCCUUCUUAUCCUAAAACCCCUAUUUAUAACCCUCGAAUAUUAUACAGGUUCUACUACAACAAGUGCUUCUGAAUCUCUUCCAUCUUCUCUGCUUUCACUACCAUCCUUUUCUCUUCUGUAUCUCUAGAAAUCAUGAUCGGAAAGUGUUGUUGCAUCGUGAUCGGCAUCAUUACCGGAUGUGUUCUUAUCUUCGGCGUUUCCAUUUCAGCCUACAUUCUCCAUUUUGCCAAGUCCUUGCCUAAGGGGAUGGUCCAUUAUCAGGUCACCAAUGCCUCCCUGACCAAGUUCAACCUCACUACCAAUAGCACCCUUCUCGAUUACGACCUUAAACUCGAUCUAACCCUUGAAAACCCUAGCCCCUUCGACUACAACUUCACCCGACUGGAUGCCGUGCCGGUUUUCAAGAGCCAAAACCUAAAUGACAUAACCAAUGUUUCGAAACCUUUCGACCUAGUUCACGAGACCAAUGUGAAACUCCCGGCAUUGUUCUCCGGGAACCAUUCGGUGGCUCUAGGCGCUCAGGAGGCUUCUGAUUUUGGGAAGGCUGGUGUCUUUGAUAUUGGUUUGAAGAUUAACAGCGAGUUUUUGGCUGAGAAAAAGAAGAAGAAGGUGAGUUUUAAGCAUGAGGUGACAUGCGACUUGAAGGUCCCUCUGAAUUCCAACGGAACAAAUGUUGGUGGGAAUUUUCAGAUUACGAAGUGUAAGGUGGGUAAAGUCGACGUUAAUUAGCAGGGACUAGAUUUCGACAUCAGUGAGGACUAGAUUCGUAGUAAUUUCUUGUGUUGUUAUUAUUUUUUUCUUCAAUGGGUGUGUUUAUUUCUUUGAUUUGAAAUUAAUAAAAGGAAGGAAUUUUUCUUCAAUGCACAUAAUCUUUUUCUUUUAUUAUGCUUUUAUUGCUAGUUGCCAUUUAGAGCUAUUAUCCAAUACAGUCAAAUAACCAUGCAAAUUAAGGAGACUAGAAAUCUGUAAAUGUACAUACAGAGCGCGUUUAUCUAACAAAUAUGUACAUAUUGAUUUCCUACAAUGGUGAUUUUCCUUAGCUUCUUUAUAAGCAAAAAUAUUCAAUUCUUGUGAUUCUAUUUUUAAUGGAAAAGAAAAAUGUGAAAGCUUCUCUUGCCGUCAAAGGUGAAAACUUUUGCUUAGCUUAACAACAAGAGAUUUACUUUCAACUUAUGCUUCUCGUAUUACUAUUGUAAUGUAAUGCUAAACAUUAUGGACAUUCGAUGUUUGAGUCUUUUUGUCACACCCCAGGACUCGCUCCGCCGUAACACGAUAUUGUCCGCUUUGGGCCCACCGGCCCUCACGGUUUUGUUUCCAGCAGCUCAGGAGCAGCUUCCCAGGAGGUCACCCAUCCUGGGAUUGCUCUCGCAUCAACAUGCUUAACCUCGGAGUACCCAUCCCCUCCGAAGCCGCUGAGCCACC